rnacentral:lncRNA from 1 species
UAAGCUGGGUCAGGGAGGCUAUGGCUCCGUGUACAAGGGUGUGCUGCUCCCAGGCAAUGUCCAUGUCGGGGUCAAGAUGCUAGAGGGUAACUCCAACUGCAAUGGAGAAGAUUUCAUUAGUGAGGUUUCAACCAUUGGCAGGAUCCACCAUGUCAAUGUGGUGCGUUUAGUUGGCUUCUGCUCGGAGGAAAUGAGAAGGGCGCUUGUCUACGAGUACAUGCCUCGAGGUUCUCUGGACAAAUACAUCUUCUCGGCUGAGAAGACUUUCUCCUGGGACAAGCUCAACGAGAUCGCUUUGGGCAUUGCGAGGGGUAUCGACUACCUGCACCAGGGUUGCGAGAUGCAGAUUCUCCACUUUGACAUCAAGCCGCACAACAUCUUGCUAGACAGCAAUUUCAUCCCUAAAGUUGCUGAUUUCGGUCUCGCUAAACUAUACCCAAGGGACAAAAGUUUUGUGCCAUCGAGAGCCCUACGGGGAACAAUUGGGUACAUAGCUCCUGAGAUGAUAUCUCGUAGCUUUGGUGUCAUAUCGAGCAAGUCUGAUGUUUAUAGCUUUGGGAUGCUCCUGCUAGAGAUGGCCGGAGGAAGAAGGAAUGCUGAUCCAAAUGCGGCAAACACGAGCCAAGCGUACUAUCCGUCGUGGGUGUAUGACAAACUAACUGCUCCAGUGGUGGAUGCGAUAUGUCCAGUUGCUAGCAUGCAUGAAUUAGAGAGGAAGCUGUGCAUCGUUGGAUUAUGGUGCAUUCAGAUGAAGUCACAUGACAGGCCAACGAUGAGCGAGGUCAUAGACAUGUUGGAAGGUGGCUUUGAUGGCCUGCAGAUGCCUUCCAGGCCAUUCUUCUGCGACGACGAUCACACCGCUGUCCCGGAUUCUUACCCUUUGUUGUCCGAGCUGACAGAGAUCUCAGAGGAGGANNNNNNNNNNNNNNNNNNNNNNNNNNNNNNNNNNNNNNNNNNNNNNNNNNNNNNNNNNNNNNNNNNNNNNNNNNNNNNNNNNNNNNNNNNNNNNNNNNNNGUGUCAGUAACUUAUCAAUUACACUUAUAAGUGAAUGGACACAACAGAGUAAAGACCCUCACCUGAAGUUGUAUGGAAACAGUAUGUGGUCACAGAAAUUUUGAUCUAUUAGAAACCUUAGAAGGUUUUCCUCCGUCUCCUUGGGUUUAUCAGUUAGCGUCGCUAUAUGUAUUUUAUCUGGGUCAAUAAACCCAAUAUUUAGGAUGGUCUUACUUUUACAAUCCAGAAUCUCCAUUCUGCAUAAUAGAAUACAAGUUAUAUAUAGACAAUGAAUUGAAAUAACUAAACAAGUUAUAUGUAGACGACGAAUUGAAAAACUUACACACAAUAGCAACUCAUAAGCGAUUUGUCGAGGGCGUCGCCAUUGUACAUCUGGAAGAGUUCAUCAAAGUUGAUAUGGAUUUCUUCGGAGCGGCCGUAGUACUCCCGUGGGACACUCAGCACGAUCAUCGUUCUCCCAUUCUUUGAUUCACUUAAGUACCAUUUAUGCAAGUAACGCAUAUUUGUUGGGAGAUUAUCUUUGCUGACCAAAGGCUCUCCCAUGACAAACUAUGGCUUAGGGGCUACCACAGCCUUGGGUAUCCUGUCGUCUUGGGAAGCCAGCAAAUCUUCAACUGAGAUACCACAUUCAGCCGCCAACUCCUUUGCUCUUUCAAAAGCUUGCCCCUGCACCGGAGGGGGAACAUUCUCGGUUAACACCUUGAGGGGUGGGAUCGACUGUUUGGCCUGUUGUCCAAGCUGAGGAACGUCUGAUUUUUUCUUGCUUGUAGUUGAACUUGAUUUGCUCCCACUUGCACUUGCACGUGAGCUGCUCUUUUUCACUUCCUUCUGCAAUGUGCGUGUAUAGUCAUCAGGCUUAUAGUGUAAGUCAUACUGUGAUGGAAGGGUUAUGAAGUCUUUUGCCCAUGCUAUUUGUUUCUCGGUGUAUUCCGGGCGGGGCUCGGGUUCCUUCUUUUUCAUCUGCGCAUCAUGUUGUUCCUUUGCUAUCCUGGCGUUUUCCUCGGGGGUACGAUCAUAAGGUUUGAUAGGAAGAUUAGCAUGAGGUACCUUUGGGAGUGGCGACAGUUUGCGCUUUGGGGAGCUCCGUCGCUUAAAAAUCAUCGACGGAGCGUUCUUGCUGGCACACUUCCGCUUAGUAUCCUGUGCGGGCGGCGGCGGAGACGGACGACCCAAGUCCGGCGGCGGUGAUCGAGAUGGACUCGUGUUGUGCUGGCCGACGUCAUGUGGAGGGCUUGGAGGUAAUGGAGGUGUAGGUGACCUGCGACGACUCGGAGGCGGUGUUGUCCUUGGGGUCGAGCCUGGAAGCUUGAUGUAGUUCUUGUGCAUCGUCGGGCGGGGCCUCAGAUUCAGCCACGCCGCUUUUCCCUUAGAUGGGGCGCUGGUAAUAUCAAGUGCAGGAUCUUCCUGGCGCGGUACUCCUCUAAGCUCAUCAAUCUGCUUUUGUUGCUCGUUAAUCCUGGCAAGCAACUGGUUGAACUUGUCAUUCUCCUCAUCCUGCUGCCGCUUCUUUGCUCUCUCUCGGCUUCUGUAAGUGUCUUGGUCUCUGGCAAACCCAAGCCACCACGGGUAAGAAGGACCGAAGUCUCGCGUUCGUCCUCCAUGUUCGUCAUUGCCGAGGACCAGUGUGAGCAAAUAUUUAUCUCUAUCUGCAGUGAACUUUCUUUUUCCCUCCUUAAUUUCUUUCACUAUCCUUUUCCAAUUCUCCCUGGGUAUCCUAAGACCGUCAUUGCAGAUGAGCUCCCCUGUUUUUUCGUCGUACGACCCACCAUGCGCAAGGAAUCAAUUUCUUGCUCUUAAUUCCCACUCAUCACGGAGUGGUUCAGGUAAGAUGCCUUUAUCUAGCAGAUCUUGCUCUUUCUUAUCCCACUUUGGGAUGGCAGUCUCAUAGCCCCCUGGCCCCAGCUUGUGGUGAUAUUUCUUCUUGUCGGCAUUUAUCUUGUUCUUUUCUGAUAAUGUCUGGGCAUCUUCUGACUCCUUGUACUCUUGAAAUGCCUUCCAGUGAUUCGCCUGCUUGGCUAGAUACCCCUCGAAUACUGGCACUUUCUUUGUCUUCAGAUAGUUUUCCAUAGCUUCUUCUUCCAGCUACGGAACAGUUCGGCCAUCUUCUUCAGAGUCCAUUGCUUGACUUUGGCCCUCAGUUUGUCUGCGGCGUCUUCAUUCUCACAUUCUGGCAGGUUGAAAUGUGACAUGAGAUCAUUCCAAAGAUUAUCUUUGUACCUUUCGGCGACAUAGUCACUAUCGGCUGCCCUUUUGCGCUUGUUCCACUCCCGAACGCUGAUCGGGACGUGAUCCCUAACGAGAACUCCGCAUUGCUUCUUGAAUGUGUCAGCAACAUUCUUAGGAAGCUUGGGUUCGCCCGUAGGAAAUAUCACCUCAAAGGUGUAAUGCGUCCGUGCAUCCAACUUUCUAGUCGGGCCUCGUUUCGUAGUUUUGCUCGAUGUGGAGGCCUAAGAGGGAGAAACAUUCAUCAAAUGAAUGUAUAUGUAUACAAUAUAGAGCUAUCUCCAAUAUUUUUCACAUAUUACAAGUGAUUGUCGAACUUCAUAUGUAUCCCUCGCCGGACUUUAUUAUUUCUUCACCGGCUUCUCCAUCAGUGGAGCUAUCACCUUCUCCGUCAUUGGACCUAUCUCCUGCCCCAUCGGCUUCAUCUUCGUGUCGCUCGACCUCCAUUCCAACGUCCUGCUUUAGAUAUGACGACGGAGAUUCAGCUGGUUCAACGUCGGGGCCGUCUUUGAUUAUAUCUUCGAGAAGUUCUUCCUCUUCGAGGUUUUUGAUAUGUGGAUCCAUAGUUCUGCAAAAAACGGAUUCUCUUAACCUUUGUACCAAAAAAGAAUUAUUCUAUCAGGAACUCCGUUCGAAAACAACUUAAGUCCCGGGUCGUGGCUCCACCCGGGACUCCUAGAUUUUUGCAUAGUAUUCAAAGUAGGAGUACUUUUCCAAUUUGAGCAUUCAAUAAGCAAAACCAAAUCGUAAAAUAAAGUAGUAUUCAAAUUAGCAUGCAUUCAAUUAUAAGCUAAUACAUCAUCACUUUUGUCCGUACACCGUCGAAUAUUAUCACUAAUACUCCUCGAAUACUAUCAUACAUAUAGCAUCACUGAUACAUCUAGAACCGUAGCGCCCGACGUGUAUCGGCGCGGGCGGUGGACACCCAAAGAGAAGGAACCAUCACAGGAUCAUAGCUCCAGUGAGAUCCCCGAAGAACCUGCCAGGUAUGCUCGAACCUGCCCUCCAAUGCAACCAUGUAGCGACGGACGUGCUCAUCCUCCUCGCUGACACGGUGACGUACCACCUCCGCGGUGUCCGGAAGCCUCGGCACCCUCACUGGCCCACGCGACCGCCACCAAACAAGGAUCGUGUCAACGACGGGCUGGCUCCUCACCAACCUACGCCCCCCGGAAGGUAGCACCUUCCAAUACCAGCCGGGCGGAGCCCAGUCCCAGACAGGGCCCCUCUGAUCAAGCAGGUGUCCUCCGCCGAGUCGACGACGAGGAUGCGGGAUGCAUCGUAAAAUGAACUAAAAAAAUAAACUAGUUCUAUUAAUUUUCUUGCUAAAAAUAAACUAUUAACACUUAAGCAUAUACAAUAGCAAAAUUAAACUAUUAACACUUAAGCAUAUACAAUAGCAAAAUUAAGCAAUAAUCUAAGAAACACUAUUAACACUUAAGCAUAUACACUAUACAAUAGCAAAAUUAAGCAUAUACACUAUACAAUAGCAAAACUAAAUGACACUAUACAAUAUGUCUCCUCUUCUUCUACUUCUUCUUCUACUUCUACUUCUCCUCUUCUUGUAGUACUUCUCCUCUUCUCUUCUUCUACUUCUCCUCUCCUCCUCUUCUAAUUUUUUCUCUUCUUCUACUUCUCCUCUUCUUCUAUUUUUCCUCUUCUUCUCCUCUCCUCCUCUUCUUAUUCUCCUUUUUCUUCUUUUCUUCUCCUCCUCUUCUUAUUUUCAUUUUUCCUAAUCUUAUUUUCUUAUUUUUAUUCAUAUUUCUUCUUCUUGUAACCCUAACCUAAUUCUAAAUAUUACUAACCCUAAUAAUCUAGCACAAACCUAAUAACAAUUGGAAUUAAAUGACAUUUUUUUUCUUUUUCUUCCUUUCUUCUCCUUUUUCUUCCUUUCUUCUCCUUUUUCUUCCUUUCUUCCCUUUUUCUUUUUUUCUUCUCAUUUUUCUUAUUUUCUUCUCCUUUUUCUUCUUUUCUUCUCCUUUUUCUUCUUUUCUUCUUCUAUUUUUCCUCUUCUUGUCCUCUCCUCCUCUUCUUUUCUUCUCCUUUUUCUUAUUUUCUUCUCCUUUUCCUUCUUUUCUUCUACUGGCCGGAGUGUUGGGGAGGAGGGGGCGGGGGGCUUACCGGCCGGAGGUGUCGACGGCGCGCGGCGAGGAGGACGGCGCGCGCGAGGACGACGGCGGCGGCGAGGAGGACGGCAGGCGGCGGCGAGCAGGACGUCGGGCAGCCUGACGGCGUCGUCGAGUUCGUCGCUGUGCCGCACCGGGCAGGAGAACGAGAGGAAGAAGAAGAGAAAUGGACGAUUUGGGUUGGAAUUUUUCGAAGUCCCGCUUAUAUAGGUGGAUCUUUAGUCCCGGUGCGUGGCUCAAACCGGGACUAAAGACACCCUUUAGUCCCGGGUGGAGCCACGGCCCGGGACUAAAGCCCCUCGUUUCCCGCCUCCUCGCCUGCCGAAAAGGGGUCUUUAGUCCCGGGGCGUGGCUCCAACGGGGACUAAAGGGGGUCUUUAGUCCCGGGGCGUGGCUCCACCCGGGACUAAAGCCCCUCCUCGGCUGCACGAUAAGUUUAGUCCCACCUCGCCCAGCGAGGGGGACUAACACUUGUUUAUAAGCCCCGUCGUAGCUUCUCCAUCGAGCUCCUCUCUAAAGCAGGCUUACGGGCCUAAACUCACUGAAAAUUGAAACUAUAUUAGAAAUUAUAGAGAAAAUUCAAUCUAAAUUCAAAUGAGAAUUUAGAUUGAAUUUUCUCNNNNNNNNNNNNNNNNNNNNNNNNNNNNNNNNNNNNNNNNNNNNNNNNNNNNNNNNNNNNNNNNNNNNNNNNNNNNNNNNNNNNNNNNNNNNNNNNNNNNGUUCUUCUUCUCCUCUUCCGUCUCCUUCUCCUCCUCCUCCUACUCCUCCUUCUUUUACUUCUUCUUCUCUUUCUCUUAUUCUACAUAGCUUAAUUAGACUCAUCCAACAAAGCCUAAAUUGGCUAAUUAUCCAUCUAAAUGACAUAAGUAGCUUAGUUAGCUCCUAAAUGGUCUAUUUAAUAAAAAUGACCUAUACUUAGCUAAUUAUCCUCGAAAUGACAGAAUUAGCUCCAAAAAGGCAUUCUUAGCCAAUUUAGCCCCGAAGAAGGAGACGAGAGGAGAAGAAAGAGGAAAAAUGAAAGGAAGGAAGAAGAAGAAGCGGAGAAGAAGGAGAAGGAGAGGGAGGAGGAUAAGAAGAAGGAGGAGAAGGAGGAGAAGAAGGAGAAGAAGCUCCUCCUUCUCCUUCUUCCUCCUUCUUCCUCCUUCUCCUUCUCCUUCUUCUUUUGUUCUUCUUCUCCUCUUCCGUCUCCUUCUCCUCCUCCUCCUACUCCUCCUUCUUUACUUCUUCUUCUCUUCUCUUAUUCUACAUAGCUUAAUUAGACUACAUACCAACAAAGCCUAAAUUGGACUAAUUAUCCAUCUAAAUGACAUAAGUAGCUUAGUUAGCUNNNNNNNNNNNNNNNNNNNNNNNNNNNNNNNNNNNNNNNNNNNNNNNNNNNNNNNNNNNNNNNNNNNNNNNNNNNNNNNNNNNNNNNNNNNNNNNNNNNNCUACGUAGCUUAAUUAGACUCAUCCAACAAAGCCUAAAUUGGCUAAUUAUCCAUCUAAAUGACAUAAUUAGCUUAGUUAGCUCCUAAAUGGUCUAUUUAAUAAAAAAUGACCUAUACUUAGCUAAUUAUCCUCGAAAUGAUAUAAUUAGCUCCAAAAAGGCAUUCCUAGCCAAUUUAGCCCGAAGAAGGAGACGAGAGGAGAAGAAAGAGGAAAAAUGAAAGGAAGGAAGAAGAAGAAGAGGAGAAGAAGAAGAAGGAGAGGGAGCAGGAUAAGAAGAAGGAGGAGGAGAAGGAGGAGCUACCUUCUCCUUCUUCCUCCUUCUUCCUCCUUCUCCUUCUCCUUCUUCUUUUCUUCUUCUUCUCCUCUUCCGUCUCCUUCUCCUCCUCCUUCUUUUACUUCUUCUUCUCUUUCUCUUAUUCUACGUAGCUUAAUUAGACUCAUCCAACAAAGCCUAAAUUGGAUAAUUAUCCAUCUGAAUGACAUAAUUAGCUUAGUUAGCUCCUAAAUGGUCUAUUUAAUAAAAAUGACCUAUACUUAGCUAAUUAUCCUCGAAAUGAGAGAAUUAGCUUCAAAAANNNNNNNNNNNNNNNNNNNNNNNNNNNNNNNNNNNNNNNNNNNNNNNNNNNNNNNNNNNNNNNNNNNNNNNNNNNNNNNNNNNNNNNNNNNNNNNNNNNNAGUUGCGGGAUCUUGUAUUACGGAACGAGUAAAGAGACUUGCCGGUAAACGAGAUUGAAAUAGGUAUGCGGAUACUGACGAUCGAAUCUCGGGCAAGUAACAUACCGAAGGACAAAGGGAAUGACAUACGGGAUUAUAUGAAUCCUUGGCACUGAGGUUCAAACGAUAAGAUCUUCGUAGAAUAUGUAGGAUCCAAUAUGGGCAUCCAGGUCCCGCUAUUGGAUAUUGACCGAGGAGUCUCUCGGGUCAUGUCUACAUAGUUCUCGAACCCGCAGGGUCUGCACACUUAAGGUUCGACGUUGUUUUAUGCGUAUUUGAGUUAUAUGGUUGGUUACCGAAUGUUGUUCGGAGUCCCGGAUGAGAUCACGGACGUCACGAGGGUUUCCGGAAUGGUCCGGAAACGAAGAUUGAUAUAUAGGAUGACCUCAUUUGAUUACCGGAAGGUUUUCGGAGUUACCGGGAAUGUACCGGGAAUGACGAAUGGUUCCGGGGGUUCACCGGGGGGGGGGGGUCAACCCACCCCGGGGAAGCCCAUAGGCCUUGGGGAGACACACCAGCUUUUAGUGGGCUGGCGGGACAGCCCACAAGUGGUCUAUGCGCCAAGAAAACAAAAAUCAAGAGGAAAAGAAAAAAAAGGAGGAGGUGGGAAGGGAGGAGGACUCCCUCCCACCAAACCUAGUCCAACUCGGUUUGGGGGGGGGGGGAGAGUCCUGCCCCUUGGCUCGGCCGACCCCCUUGAGGGUCCUUGGACCCCAAGGCAAGGCCCCCUCCCUCCCACCUAUAUAUACGGAGGUUUUAGGGCUGAUUUGAGAUGACUUUUCCACGGCAGCCCGACGACAUACCUCCACGGUUUUUCCUCUAGAUCGCGUUUCUGCGGAGCUCGGGCGGAGCCCUGCUGAGACAAGGUCAUCACCAACCUCCGAAGCGCCGUCACGCUGCCGGAGAACUCUUCUACCUCUCCGUCUCUCUUGCUGGAUCAAGAAGGCCGAGAUCAUCGUCGAGCUGUACGUGUGCUGAACGCGGAGGUGCCGUCCAUUCGGUACUAGAUCGUGGGACUGAUCGCGGGAUUGUUCGCGGGGUGGAUCGAGGGACGUGAGGACGUUCCACUACAUCAACCGUGUUCUCUAACGCUUCUGCUGUACGGUCUACAAGGGUACAUAGAUCACUCAUCCCCUCUCGUAGAUGGACAUCACCAUGAUAGGUCUUCGUGCGAGUAGGAAAAUUUUUGUUUCCCAUGCGACGUUCCCCAACAGUGGCAUCAUGAGCUAGGUUCAUGCGUAGAUGUCUUCUCGAGUAGAACACAAAAGUUUUUGUGGGCGGUGAUGUGCGUUUUGCUGCCCUCCUUAGUCUUUUCUUGAUUCCGUGGUAUUGUUGGAUUGAAGCGGCUUGGACCGAUAUUACUCGUACGCUUACGAGAGACUGGUUUCAUCGUUACGAGUAACCCCCUUUGCUCAAAGAUGAAUGGAAAGUGUCGGUUUCUCCAACUUUAGUUGAAUCGGAUUUGACCGAGGAGGUCCUUGGAUGAGGUUAAAUAGCAACUCAUAUAUCUCCGUUGUGGUGUUUGCGUAAGUAGGAUGCGAUCCUACUAGAUACCCUUGGUCACCACGUAAAACAUGCAACAACAAAAUUAGAGGACGUCUAACUUGUUUUUGCAGGGUAUGAUUGUGAUGUGAUAUGGCCAACGAUGUGAUGUGAUAUAUUGGAUGUAUGAGAUGAUCAUGUUGUAAUAGAAAUAUCGACUUGCACGUCGAUGGUACGGCAACCGGCAGGAGCCAUAGGGUUGUCUUUAUACUAACGUUUGUGCUUGCAGAUGCGUUUACUAUUUUGCUAGGAUGUAGCUUUAGUAGUAAUAGCAUAAGUAGCACGACAACCCCGAUGGCAACACGUUGAUGGAUGAUCAUGGUGUGGCGCCGGUGACAAGAAGAUCGUGCUGGUGCUUUGGUGAUGGAGAUCAAAAAGCACGUGAUGAUGGCCAUAUCAUGUCACUUAUGAAUUGCAUGUGAUGUUAAUCCUUUUAUGCACCUUAUUUUGCUUAGAACGACGGUAGCAUUAUGAGAUGAUCUCUCACUAAAAUUUCAAGAGGAAAUUGUGUUCUCCCCGACUGUGCACCGUUGCUACAGUUCGUCGUUUCGAGACACCACGUGAUGAUCGGGUGUGAUAGACUCAACGUUCACAUACAACGGGUGCAAAACAGUUGCGCACGCGGAACACUCGGGUUAAGCUUGACGAGCCUAGCAUGUGCAGACAUGGCCUCGGAACACAUGAGACCGAAAGGUCGAUCAUGAAUCAUAUAGUUGAUAUGAUUAGCAUAGGGAUGCUUACCACUGAAACUAUACUCAACUCACGUGAUGAUCGGACUUGGGAUAGUGUAAGUGGAUCAUGAACCACUCAAAUGACUAGAGAGAUGUACUUUUUGAGUGGGAGUUUAGCAUGUAAUUUGAUUAAGUUGAACUCUAAUUAUCUUGAACAUAGUCUAAGUCCACUUUGAAAAUAUUUGUGUUGUAGAUCAUGGCUCACGCGACAGUCAUCCUGAAUUUUAAUACGUUCCUAGAGAAAGCUAAGUUGAAAGAUGAUGGAAGCAACUUUGUAGACUGGGCUCGUAAUCUUAAGCUAAUCUUACAAGCUGGGAAGAAGGAUUAUGUCCUUAAUGCUGCGCUAGGAGAUGAACCACCCGCUACGGCUGAUCAGGAUGUUAAGAACGCUUGGUUAGCACGUAAGGAGGACUACUCAAUAGUUCAAUGUGCAGUCUUGUAUGGCUUAGAACCGAGACUUCAACGUCGCUUUGAGCGUCAUGGAGCAUUUGAGAUGUUCCAAGAGUUGGAGUUUAUCUUUCAGAAGAACGCCCGGAUCGAGAGGUAUGAGACCUCCGAUAAAUUCUAUGCUUGCAAGAUGGAGGAAAACUCGUCUGUCAGUGAACAUGUGCUCAAAAUGUCUGGGUACUCAAACCGUCUAGCUGAGCUGGGGAUUGAACUCCCGCAAGAAGCUAUCACUGACAGAAUCCUUCAAUCACUGCCGCCAAGCUAUAAAGGGUUUGUGUUGAACUACAACAUGCAAGGGAUGAACAAGUCUCCCGGCGAGUUGUUUGCGAUGCUGAAAGUCGCAGAGUCUGAACUCCGUAAAGAGCAUCAAGUGUUGAUGGUGAGCAAGACCACUAGUUUCAAGAGAAAUGGCAAAGGCAAGAAGGGCAAUUCGAAGAAGAGCGGCAAGCCCGUUGCCAAUCCGCCGAAGAAACCCAAGGCUGGACCUAAGCCUGAAACAGAGUGCUUCUAUUGCAAGGGUAUGGGUCACUGGAAGCGCAAUUGCCCCAAGUAUCUGGCAGAUAAGAAGGCGGGCAAAGAAAAAUCAGGUAUAUUUGAUAUACAUGUUAUUGAUGUGUACUUAACCGGCUCUCGUAGUAGUGCCUGGGUAUUUGAUACCGGUUCUGUUGCUCAUAUUUGCAACUCGAAACAGGAACUGCGGAAUAGGCGAAGGCUGGCGAAAGAUGAAGUGACGAUGCGCGUAGGAAAUGAUUCCAAGGUUGAUGCAAUCGCCGUCGGCACAGUGUCACUUCAGCUUCCAUCGGGAUUAGUGAUGAACUUAAAUCAUUGUUAUUUAGUGCCUGCGUUGAGCAUGAACAUUAUAUCUGGAUCUUGUUUAUUGCGAGACGGAUACUCUUUUAAGUCUGAGAAUAAUGGUUGUUCUAUUUCUAUGAGUAACAUCUUUUAUGGUCAUGCACCGAAUGUGAGAGGAUUGUUGAUAUUGAAUCUUGAUAGCGAUACACAUAUACAUAGCAUUGGGACCAAAAGAGUUAGAGUUAACAAUGAUAGCGCCAUAUUUUUGUGGCACUGCCGCUUAGGUCAUAUUGGUGUAAAGCGCAUGAAGAAACUCCAUGCUGAUGGACUUUUGGAGUCACUUGACUUUGAUUCACUUGACACGUGCGAACCAUGCCUCAUGGGCAAGAUGACUAAGACUCCGUUCUCCGGAACAAUGGAGCGUGCAAGUGACUUGUUGGAAAUCAUACAUACCGAUGUGUGUGGUCCGAUGAGCGUGGAGGCACGCGGCGGAUAUCGUUAUUUUCUCACCUUCACUGACGAUUUGAGUAGAUAUGGUUAUGUCUACUUGAUGAAGCACAAGUCUGAAACAUUUGAAAGGUUCAAGCAAUUUCAGAGUGAAGUUGAAAAUCAUCGUAACAAGAAGAUCAAGUUCCUACGGUCUGAUCGUGGGGGUGACUAUCUGAGUUUCGAGUUUGGUGCUCACUUAAGACAAUGUGGAAUUGUUUCACAGUUAACACCGCCUGGAACACCACAGCGUAAUGGUGUGUCCGAACGUCGUAAUCGUACUUUAUUAGAGAUGGUGCGAUCUAUGAUGUCUCUUACCGAUUUGCCGUUAUCGUUUUGGGGUUAUGCAUUAGAAACAGCUGCAUUCACUUUAAAUAGGGCACCAUCAAAAUCCGUUGAGACGACACCAUACGAACUGUGGUAUGGCAAAAGGCCAAAGUUGUCGUUUCUUAAAGUUUGGGGAUGUGAUGCUUAUGUCAAAAAGCUUCAGCCUGAAAAGCUGGAACCCAAAGCGGAAAAGUGCGUCUUCAUAGGUUACCCAAAAGAGACAGUUGGGUACACCUUCUAUCUCAAAUCCGAGGGCAAAGUGUUUGUUGCUAAAAACGGAGCUUUUCUCGAGAAGGAGUUUCUCUCGAGAGAAUUGAGUGGGAGGAAGAUAGAACUUGACGAGGUUGUCGAACCUCUCAUCCCUCUGGAUGGUGGCGCAGGGCAAGGGGAAACCUCUGUCGUUGCGACGCCGGUUGAAGAGGAAGUUAAUGAUGAUGAUCAUGAAACUCCGGUUCAAGUUUCUGUCAAACCACGCAGGUCGACGAGACCACGUGCUGCUCCAGAGUGGUACGGUAAUCCUGUCUUAUCAAUCAUGUUGUUAGACAACAAUGAACCUGCAAAUUAUGAAGAAGCAAUGGUGGGCCCAGAUUCCAACAAAUGGCUAGAAGCCAUGAAGUCCGAGAUAGGAUCCAUGUAUGAGAACAAAGUGUGGACUUUGGAGGUACUACCUGAGGGCCGCAAGGCUAUUCAGAACAAAUGGAUUUUUAAGAGGAAGACGGACGCUGACGGCAAUGUGACCGUUUAUAAAGCUCGACUUGUGGCAAAGGGUUUUUCACAAGUUCAAGGAGUUGACUACGAUGAGACAUUCUCACCCGUAGCGAUGCUUAAGUCCGUCAGAAUCAUGUUAGCAAUAGCUGCAUUUUUCGAUUAUGAAAUCUGGCAGAUGGAUGUCAAAACGGCGUUCCUUAACGGUUUCCUUAAGGAAGAGUUGUAUAUGAUACAACCCGAAGGUUUUGUCGAUCAUAAGAAUGCUAACAAGGUGUGCAAGCUCCAGCGAUCCAUUUAUGGACUGGUGCAAGCAUCUCGGAGUUGGAACAAACGCUUUGAUGAGGUGAUCAAAGCAUUUGGGUUUAUACAAGUGGUUGGAGAAUCUUGUAUUUACAAGAAAGUGAGUGGGAGCUCUGUGGCGUUUCUAAUAUUAUAUGUGGAUGACAUAUUGCUGAUUGGAAACAACGUGGAGUUUUUAGAGAGCAUAAAGGAUUACUUGAAUAUGAGUUUCUCUAUGAAGGACCUAGGAGAAGCUGCUUACAUUCUAGGCAUUAAGAUCUAUAGGGAUAGAUCAAAACGCCUGAUAGGACUUUCACAAAGCACAUACCUUGAUAAAGUUUUGAAGAGGUUCAAAGUGGAACAGUCCAAGAAAGGGUUCUUGCCAGUUUUACAAGGUACGAGAUUGAGUAAGACUCAGUGCCCAGCAACUGAUGAAGAUAGAGAGCAUAUGCGCUCCGUCCCCUAUGCUUCAGCCAUAGGUUCUAUCAUGUAUGCAAUGUUGUGCACAAGACCGGAUGUUAGCCUGGCCAUAAGUAUGGCAGGUAGGUUCUAGAGUAAUCCAGGAGUGGAUCACUGGACAGCGGUCAAGAAUAUCCUGAAGUACCUGAAAAGGACUAAGGAUAUGUUUCUCGUGUAUGGAGGUGACGAAGAGCUCGCCGUAAAAGGUUACGUCGAUGCAAGCUUUGACACAGAUCCGGACGACUCUAAGUCGCAAACCGGAUACGUAUUUAUUUUUAAUGGGGGUGCGGUAAGCUGGUGCAGUUCCAAGCAAAGCGUCGUAGCAGAUUCUACAUGUGAAGCGGAGUACAUGGCUGCCUCGGAGGCGGCUAAGGAGGGUGUCUGGAUGAAGCAGUUCAUGAGGAUCUUGGAGUGGUACCAAGCGCACUGAAUCCAAUAACCUUGUUCUGUGACAACACGGGUGCCAUUGCCUUAGCAAAGGAACCACGGUUUCACAAGAAGACCAGACACAUCAAACGACGCUUCAACCUCAUCCGCGACUACGUCGAGGGAGAAGACGUAAAUAUAUGCAAAGUGCACACGGAUCUGAAUGUAGCAGACCCGCUGACUAAACCUCUUCCACGGCCAAAGCAUGAUCAACACCAGAACUGUAUGGGUGUUAGAUUUAUUACAAUGUAAUUCACAUGAUGAUGUGAGGGCUAGAUUAUUGACUCUAGUGCAAGUGGGAGACUGUUGGAGUUAUGCCCUAGAGGCAAUAAUAAAUAUAGUUAUUAUUAUAAUUCCUGUAUCAAGAUAAUCGUUUAUUAUCCAUGCUAUAAUUGUAUUGAAUGAAGACUCAUUUACAUGUGUGGAUACAUAGACAAAACACCGUCCCUAGCAAGCCUCUAGUUGGCUAGCGAGUUGAUCAAAGAUAGUCAGUGUCUUCUGAUUAUGAACAAAGUGUUGUUGCUUGAUAACUGGAUCACGUCAUUAGGAGAAUCACGUGAUGGACUAGACCCAAACUAAUAGACGUAGCAUGUUGAUCGUGUCAUUUUGUUGCUACUGUUUUCUGCGUGUCAAGUAUUUAUUCCUAUGACCAUGAGAUCAUAUAACUCACUGACACCGGAGGAAUGCUUUGCGUGCAUCAAACGUCGCAACGUAACUGGGUGACUAUAAAGAUGCUCUACAGGUAUCUCCGAAGGUGUUCGUUGAGUUAGUAUGGAUCAAGACUGGGAUUUGUCACUCCGUGUGACGGAGAGGUAUCUCGGGGCCCACUCGGUAAUACAACAUCACACUCAAGCCUUGCAAGCAAUGUAACUUAGUGUAAGUUGGGGGAUCUUGUAUUGCGGAACGAGUAAAGAGACUUGCCGGUAAACGAGAUUGAAAUAGGUAUGCGGAUACUGACGAUCGAAUCUCGGGCAAGUAACAUACCGAAGGACAAAGGGAAUGACAUACGGGAUUAUAUGAAUCCUUGCCACUGAGGUUCAAACGAUAAGAUCUUCGUAGAAUAUGUAGGAUCCAAUAUGGGCAUCCAGGUCCCGCUAUUGGAUAUUGACCGAGGAGUCUCUCGGGUCAUGUCUACAUAGUUCUCGAACCCGCAGGGUCUGCACACUUAAGGUUCGACGUUGUUUUAUGCGUAUUUGAGUUAUAUGGUUGGUUACCGAAUGUUGUUCGGAGUCCCGGAUGAGAUCACGGACGUCACGAGGGUUUCCGAAAUGGUCCGGAAACGAAGAUUGAUAUAUAGGAUGACCUCAUUUGAUUACCGGAAGGUUUUCGGAGUUACCGGGAAUGUACCGGGAAUGACGAAUGGGUUCCGGGAGUUCACCGAGGGGGACAACCCACCCUGGGGAAGCCCAUAGACCUUGAGGGUGGCACACCAUCCCUUAGUGGGCUGGUGGGACAGCCCAAAAGGGCCCUAUGCGCCUAGGAAAGAAAAUCAAAGAGAAAAGAAAAGAAAAAAGGAGGUGGGAAGGGAAGGAAGGACUCCCACCCACCAAACCAAGUCCAACUCGGUUUGGGGGGGAGCCUUCCCCCUUGGACUCGGCCGACCCCCUUGGGGCUCCUUGAGCCCGAAGGCAAGGUCCCCUCCCUCCCACCUAUAUAUACGGAGGUUUUAGGGCUUAUUUGGGACGACUUUUCCACGGCAGCCCGACCACAUACCUCCACGGUUUUUCCUCUAGAUCGCGUUUCUGCAGAGCUCGGGCGGAGCCCUGCUGAGACAAGGUCAUCACCAACCUCCGGAGCGCCGUCACGCUGCCGGAGAACUCUUCUACCUCUCCGUCUCUCUUGCUGGAUCAAGAAGGCCGAGAUCAUCGUCGAGCUGUACGUGUGCUGAACGCGGAGGUGCCGUCCGUUCGGUACUAGAUCGUGGGACUGAUCGCGGGAUUGUUCGCGGGGCGGAUCGAGGGACGUGAGGACGUUCCACUACAUCAACCGCGUUCACUAACGCUUCUGCUGUACGAUCUACAAGGGUACGUAGAUCAGUCAUCCCCUCUCGUAGAUGGACAUCACCAUGAUAGGUCUUCGUGCGCGUAGGAAAAUUUUUGUUUCCCAUGCGACGUUCCCCAACAAUUUUAACAUCAAUUCACCGUAAUUUUACGUUUCAUAAUUUUUGUCUUAUUUUAUACGUAAAAAGAGACCAUAAAAUAAUAUAAUCAAUGUAAAAAAAAUUAUGUCACAUAAAACUACGUACAUACAAAACUAGUGCAAAAAAUACAAUAAAUUCAAUUUUUUCUGGUCUUGUGAUCUAUAUUUUUGUUUUCCUUUUAUCAAAUUUUACGUAGUGAUUCAAUAUAAAUGUAACUAUUUGUAUUUAAAAUUUAAUUUAUUUGUAAAUUGAUCGUAAGAUUAUCUCGGGUGAAGAAUAAACUAUUCUGCGUCCUGGGUGAUGAAUAGAGUUUCUAUAUAUAUAUAUAUAUAUAUAUAUAUAUGACAAAUUAUAUCUGNNNNNNNNNNNNNNNNNNNNNNNNNNNNNNNNNNNNNNNNNNNNNNNNNNNNNNNNNNNNNNNNNNNNNNNNNNNNNNNNNNNNNNNNNNNNNNNNNNNNAACAAAAUAGAUAAUAGUUUGGAUAGUCAAAAUUAUUAAUUAUGAAAAUAAGAAGUAGUUUUGCAUUAUUUAUUCAAUUUGAAACACUUUUCAUUAUCAUAGUUUUGUCAAAUUCUCAAAUAUGCAAAAAGAAUUUUUAAUAAACAUAGUUUUUAAUUGAAAAUAACAAAAUAGAUAAUAGUUUGGAUAGUCAAAAUUAUUAAUUAUGAAAAUAAAAAAUAGUUUGAACUAUUUAUUCAAUUUGAAACACUUUUCAUUAUCAUAGUUUUGUCAAAUUCUCAAAUAUGCAAAAAGAAUUUUUAAUAAACAUAGUUUUUAAUUGAAAAUAACAAAAUAGAUAAUAGUUUGGAUAGUAAAAAUUAUUAAUUAUGAAAAUAAAAAAUAUUUUUGCAUUAUUUAUUCAAUUUGAAACACUUUUCAUUAUCAUAGUUUUGUCAAAUUCUCAAAUAUGCAAAAAGAAGUUUUAAUAAACAUAGUUUUUAAUUGAAAAUGAAAAAAUAAGUUAAUAGUUUGGAUAGUCAAAAUUAUUAAUUUGGAAAAUAUAAAAUAGUUUUGAAUUAUUUAUUCAAUUUCAAACACUUUUCACUAUCAUAGUUUUGUCAAAUUCUCAAAUAUGCAAAAAUAAUUUUUAAUAAACAUAGUUUUUAAUUGAAAAUAACAAAAUAAGUUAAUAGUUUGGAUAGUCAAAAUAAUUAAUUUUGAAAACAGAAAAAAAUUGAAACUAUAUGAGAAAUCAUGGACAAAAUUCGACCUGAAUUCACUUUGAAUUCAGAUUGAAUUUUAUCCACAAUUUCGAAUUUAGUUUCAAUUUUCAGUAAGUUUAGGCUUGUAAGCCUGCUUUAAGGAGGGGCUCGAUGGACAAGCUGCGACGGGGCUUAUAAACAAGUGUUAGUCCCCCUCGCUGGGCGAGGUGGGACUAAACUUAUCGUGCAGCCGAGGANNNNNNNNNNNNNNNNNNNNNNNNNNNNNNNNNNNNNNNNNNNNNNNNNNNNNNNNNNNNNNNNNNNNNNNNNNNNNNNNNNNNNNNNNNNNNNNNNNNNAGAAAAUUCAAUCUAAAUUCAAAUGAGAAUUUAGAUUGAAUUUUCUCUAUGAUUUCGAAUAUAGUUUCAAUUUUAUUCUAUUUUCAUAAUUAAUAAUUUUGACUAUCCAAACUAUUAUCUAUUUUGUUAUUUUCAAUUAAAAACUAUGUUUAUUAAAAAUUCUUUUUGCAUAUUUGAGAAUUUGACAAAACUAUGAUAAUGAAAAGUGUUUGAAAUUGAAUAAAUAAUGCAAAACUAUUUUUUAUUUUCAUAAUUAAUUAUUUUGACUAUCCAAACUAUUAUCUAUUUUGUUAUUUUCAAUUAAAAACUAUGUUUAUUAAAAAUUCUUUUUGCAUAUUUGAGAAUUUGACAAAACUAUGAUAAUGAAAAGUGUUUGAAAUUGAAUAAAUAAUGCAAAACUAUUUUCUAUUUUCAAAAGUAAUUAUUUUGACUUCGUGUACAAAACGGACAAUCUCUCUCGAAGUAGGAGCGUUUCGAACGAGAACUCAUCUCUUACAAAGGGAUUUCAUUUUUUUGAACUAGUUGACCCUGAAAUUGAAAAGCACUACAAAUGAACUCUGAAAAUGUUGAAAGUUGGCAUGCUAUCAUCAUUUCACCCACAUAGCAUGUGUUAAAAAGUUGAGAGGGCUACGACAAAAACUGGAUGCACUUCGUAUACAAAACGGACAAUCUCUCUCGAAGUAUCAGGGUUUCGAACGAGAACUCAUCUCUUACAAAAGGAUUUCAUUUUUUUGAACUUAUUUGAACUCCAUACUUUUUGUGUGUUCAAAAUGCACCAUUCUAAGGCACAUCACAAAAUUUCAACANNNNNNNNNNNNNNNNNNNNNNNNNNNNNNNNNNNNNNNNNNNNNNNNNNNNNNNNNNNNNNNNNNNNNNNNNNNNNNNNNNNNNNNNNNNNNNNNNNNNUAAUGAGUAGCAUAUGUGUGUGUGUGUGUGUGAUUAAUGUCUCAAGUCUUACGAAAUAACCUACUAUUAUGUUUUCCCAGACAUGUGAAGUUUUAUGUGGAAAGAUGUAAUAAUAUUUAGCAGUUAGAGGAUGUAGAUCUCCAACUGUUAAUUGAAACGUAUUUAUCUUCUUGAAAGACACACACAAAAAGCAUGAUGUAAAAAACUGCAGAGUACUCUGUUUUCUUCAGCUGCUGAUGAUGCUCGAAAUUUUUGGAGUGGGUAUGAACAGACCCAGCCUGUCCUGUAUGAAGUAUGAACCCUUGUGAUUGAUAAAGCUUGGGCUUAGUGUAUGGAGAUGAUGAUGAUUGCAGAGGAAUUCAUGUCGACGAUGGUGUUCACACUUUUAUCUAUUUUUCCUAAGGCUAAAUUCUUGUAACCAUGAAUGUGAGUGUGUACCUGCAGUCUAGUGUUGCAUAUUUUUUUUUGAUAAAGGGCUUUUAUUGUUGAGUUGUUACGUUCCUUGUGCAUUACGCUGCCUUGUACUUAUCCACUGUAACCACCAUACCUGGUCCUGGGGAUGACCGCGGCACCACCUCCUCCAUAUCCCUGCAUGUAGGGAUCGGUGGUGACCCUUGGCGUAUAUAUGUGUAAUCACUUGAUGAGUAAAGUGUGUGCAUUGUUUCACAAUUCUUCUUGGUAAUCAGAGCUACCGAUCUAUGUCUUCUCACCCCAACUCUCCACCUCCUGGCACUGCUGCCGCCGUAGCAGCCUCUGCCUCCCCGGAACGCCCCCACGCGACUCUCUCUCCCGAUCUCACCUCUGCCCCACCCGUCCCCGGUGCCUUCUCCCUCUCUACUGCCCCGGCUGAGACCCUCCCUGCUCCACCACCCUCUCGCCUCCCUUCCAGCAUCUCCGACGUCGUUGAUUUCAAGCUGGCCCUUGAUGGCACGAACUUCAUCCGGUGGCGCAACUUCCUCAACCUCAUCCUCGCCUGCUACCACGCCGAAAACCAUGUCUAGGACGGUGCGGUCGACCGCCUCUCCAACCCACAGUGGCGCGACGACGACAACACAAUCGUGCUGUGGUUCUUUGCCACAGUGGACGGGGCUCUCCUCGACAUCGUCGCCCCGGCCGACUCCACCGCCUACACCAUCUGGAAGCGCCUCUACGAGUUCUUCCUCGCGAACGAGGCGGAACUCGCGAUGCAUCUUGGAUAGGAGUUCCGGGCGUGCGUUCGCGGCGACCUCUCCGUCAACGACUACUGUCGUCGUCUGCAGAACAUCGCCGCCGCCCUCGCCGACGUCCGCGAACCCGUCUCUGAUCGUACCUUGACGCUGCAGAUGCUCGAUGGCAUCGGGAAAAAGUUCGAGCUUCAGGCCGCCAUCAUCCAGUCCACUGUGCCUCUUCCCUCCUUCGCCCAGGCCCGCUCGCGCCUCGCCCUUUUGGAGCUCACCCUAGACAAGCGGGCGCGCGCUGAGGGCGCGCACGUGAUGGCUGUCCAUGAUGAGCGCGGCGGCGGAUGCGGCGACCGCGGGGAUCGUGGCGAUCGUGGUCGUGGCGGUGGCAACCCUCCUGGCGGUGGGCGCGGCGGCGACAACCAAGGCGGCGCUCCCUACGCCGGUCGCGGUGGCGGCAACCGUGCUGGUGGUGGACGCGGGCGCGGCCGUGGCCGCGGCCGCGGUGAUGCCCCUCCAGUGGCGGUCGCGGCUCCCACCAGCAGCCCUGGCUGGGGUACUUUGCCCCUGUCGGGAUGCCGUUCCCACCGCCCCGCGCGCCGUGGAUCCCGCCCAACUUGGCCGGCAUCCUUGGUCCUCGUCCCGGCGCUCCGACGCAUGCCUACCCGGUGGUCCAGUCGACCGCGCCGCCUGUCCCCUACUCCGGCUCACCUCCCACUUGGGACGCGACGACCAUGUACCACGCUGCACCGAGAUAUGGGCCUACUUUUUCCCCUCAUGCCGAGUGGAUCAUGGACACAGGGGCUUCUUCCCACAUGACCGGGGACCCAGGUAUUCUGAUCAAGUCUCAUCCUUUAUUAGCGUCUCAUUCUCGCCACAUUAUUGUCGGUAAUGGGGCUCGCCUCCCGGUCGUCGCCAUUGGUAACGCCCGUCUUUCUUCUCGACCCUUCUACCUCACUCACAUUCUCCUCUCCCCCAACAUUGUCCAAAACCUCAUUUUCGUGCGUCAAUUCACUCGUGACAAUUUAUGUUCUGUGGAGUUUGACCCUUUUGGUUUUUCCAUGAAGGAUCUUCGCACCAAGGUGGUCCUUGUGAGGUGCAAUAGCUCCGGUGACCUCUACCGCGUCUCCCACGUCUCAGGCACUCCUGGUAGCGCUACACCGGUGGCCCUCGCUGCUACCUCAUCGGAUCUUUGGCAUAAGAGGCUCGGGCACCCGAGCUCCUCCACCCUAGUUUAUUUUCCCUUUGAUGUUCCUUCAAGAUUUAAUAAAACCCCCUUGUCACCCCUUUGUACUGCCUGCCAUUUAGGCAAGCACACACACCUUCCCUUCCCCACCUCUACUUCCUACACCACCGCGCCAUUUCAGCUCUUACAUUGUGACUUGUGGACCUCUCCCAUUGUUAGUUUUUCCGGCUAUAAAUACUAUCUUGUUAUUUUGGAUGAUUACACGCAAUACUCUUGGACUUUCCCCCCUUCAUGCCAAAUCCGAUACUUGUGCCACUUUGCAGCGCUUCUUCGCUUACGUUCUCACUCAGUAUCACGUCACUAUCCGCUGUUUGCAGUGCGACAAUGGCGGUGAGUUCCUCACCACGGUGCUCCGCGACUUCUUCUCCUCCCAUGGCAUCACGUUUCGUCUUACCUGCCCCCAUACAUCCCCACAAAAUGGCAAAGAGGAACGCCAUAUACGCACUACUAACGAUGUUAUCCGGACUCUCCUCUUCCAAGCACACCUCCCUCCGCCAUUUUGGGUCGAAGCCCUCCAUACCGCCACCACCCUCCUUAACAUCCGCCCAUCCCGUGCCAUCCACCACUUCACCCCCACUUCCUUCUCUAUGGCGAACAUCCCACCUACGAUCACUUGCGCACCUUCGGAUGUCUUUGCUUUCCAAACCUCUCAGCCACUGCGCCACACAAACUUUCUCCACGAUCCACACGCUGCGUCUUCCUUGGCUACCCACGCGAACAGAAGGGCUGUCGCUGCUUCGACCUCUCAUCUUGCAAAGUUAUUACCUCUCGCCAUGUCGUCUUUGACGAACACAACUUUCCUUAUAUCUCCUCUUCGCCUGCCACAGAAGAUCUGGCCACUAUCCACCCUGUUCCCCCCGCUCCAACCGGAUCUCUGGCGCCUGCCCAACCAGCUUCGCUCCCGCCUACCGCGCCUCGCCCGCCGCGCCCUCUGGGCCCCGCUGCCCAUGCACCACAUGCAACCUCCCCACCUGCAUGUCCGCGUCCCCUGCCUCCCCAUGCACCACAUGCCCUGCCUCCCCCCAUGCGCGCACUAGGCCCUGCCUCGCCUGCCGCUUCCCCACCUACUCCACCUCGUGACCCGCGCGUGUCGGUUACGCCCGCGCACACACCGCGUCCUCACCCCACGUCCUGUAGCUCCUCGAGCCCCACCACCCAUGCACGCCAUGCAGCUUCCCGCGCUGCCCGCCCGCCCGACUUGGCCUCCUCCACCACCCCACUACGCCCUACGUCUCCCUCGGCGCCUCCCAUCACACCAGCUUCCCCGCCCAGCUUUCCUGCUGCUGUACCGCCUUCCUCGCUACCACCUGCUGUUGUGCCCAUCUCUCCGCGCCACCACCCUCAUCCCAUGAUCACUCGGGGCAAACGCGGGUUUACCAUGCCUAAGCAACAUUUCGACCUGUCCGUUACCACCGCCCCUUCGCCCCUUCCCUCCUCCUACCACCCCGCCCUCCGUGAUCCCCAUUGGCACGACGCGAUGUUGGAUGAGUAUAAUGUGCUAAUACAGAAUGACACUUGGUCUUUGGUGCCUUGUCCUGCAGGUGUUAACGUGGUGACGGCAAAUGGAUCUUCUGUCAAAAACUCCGUCCCGAUGUGUCGGGGGAUAACUCCGGGGUAGGCUCAUCGAGCCUAUUCCUUCAUUCCUGGCCCAAUGGGCAUGAAGGCGCAGAGAUUCUCAAGGCCCAAGUCUUCUAACCGGCUAGGCAUCCCCUGCCGGCUGGAAGACGAGGCGACCACCUUUCUGGCCGGCCAGGCAACCCCUGCCGGCUAGAAUCCAGGCGGCCUCCCCUUCGGACCCGGCCUGGUCCCGCCAGCCGGGCUAAGGAGGAGGCGGCCACCCUCAAGCUGUCUGACCAAGCAGGCUAGCCGACCGAGGAUCACCAGUCACAUCAGAUCGUAGGUCAGGAAAGGACCUCACGAUUAAAGGUAGCUACGCGUCAGCAAAGGUACUGAAUCAGGGCGCCCGGCUGGUACGAGCGUCGGUGGCCACGCCGCUGACCUACCCCGGCUCUGAUCCAUCACCUAGCCUGAUGUCGGACCGUCACACUCCCACUCCAUUACUGCACUCGGCGUGGGGAACAGUGGAGGCGGUCGUACUGCCUGCCCAUGAAGAAUCUCGCGGGGCGACGCUCGACGUACAGCGUGUGCUCAGCGUCAACCUUACGCGGGAGCCCCAUUGGCCAGCUGGCGGGUCCCACAGCAAUCGAGACCAUGCAGCCGGCGGGCCCCUCAUCGACAAGACAAGACCCUUGUGGGCCCCUGGCCAGCCGGCGAAGCAGCCAGCCGAGUCCCACGCAUGUACCCUUUAUCCAUAUUGUAGGCCGGCGGGUUCGUCUAUAAAACCCCCCGGCCGCCCCCGAUGCAAGGAGGCCGAUCACUUACCAGUCAUUCAACACUACACACUCACCAACCAACAGAGAGCGAGGUAGAGACGAGUCGGCUGCUCCCCUCUUCCUCCUCCCAACACAGCUCCAGGAGCAACAUUGUACUAUGUUCCCAUACAUCAAACACACAAGCAGGAUUAGGGGUAUUAUCUCUACGGAGAGCCCUGAACCUGGGUACAUCGUGCGUCCCAUGCGUGUACCAACCUCGUUCCCAGCGCCCACCUUUGUCCCUUCGGUUCUCAUCGACUUUAGCCUACCUAUGUCAUAUGUUGUGAGUAUUCACCAACAUUUGGCGCCCACCGUGGGAACGAUCGCGGCAUCGGCUGGCUUCACGCGCUGGGCGGGGGCCCGCACCUACACCACCGGAUGCAUCGCGUCCGGAUCAGUUUGCAUGCCCGUGGAGCUCGCUUUCGACGAGGCGACGCUCAUGAUGAUCGACGUCCCCGUCCGCCAUGCGGAUUCGGACGAAGAUUCAGAUGACGAGGCGCUCCCUAGCGUCGCCGUCGCUGCUAUGGAGAACCUCAGCGUUCUCUUCAGCGAUCUUCGCCUCAACGACGGCCCAUGCUACUUCGGCGAGGACUACGACGUUGAGGCGCUCUGCGCCAGCUUCAGCAUGCUCUCUAUCGCUGAGACGCCUGCCCACUACGUUUACCCCAGUAACGUCCUCAUCUUCGAUGGCCCUUCACCGUCGGUGGGGUUCUUCACCCCAUACCACGUCGCUGCCGUCUCCAACGCCGCGGAGGUGAUGGUUAUCGGCGCCGGCACCGGCACGUCUCCCCGCAAGGCCUCCGCGGGCGCUAGCGAGCCCGCUGUGGCCGCCGCAGACACUCUUCGGGAUGCCAUCGUCGGCCUGAAGACACCGGUCACUGCUUCCGCCGACCCUGCAGACGCUCGGGCCUCACUGGAGGAGGCUCGCAAGCGUAUCUUGGAGGAGGGCAUCGCCGUGGCCUCGGCAAAACGUCGGCUGGAGGCUACACAUCGUGAGUAUAACUCCGCAUAUGGUCUUACUCCGAUUUCCGAGGCCCCCAGCCGGCUUGGAUCGGUCCGCAGUCGCGGACGAUUCGUCGCCGAGGUUCUAGGCGGGGACCUGCCCACCUACGAGACUCCUGCGGCCAACAUGCGGGCGGGACAGGCGGCCAUGGAGGAGAUGGCAAGCUUCGAAGGCGAGGAGUGCCCCUUCCAGGAGAUGCGUGUCAAGGAUCUCCUUGACGCUGCUACCCAGCAGUACGCUCGGUUCGACCCUGGCCAGGCUCAUUCAGAGUCCCCGGGACCAAACUCGGGAGCUCGCCGCAACCCUAGCGGCCAGCACCACGCCGAAGGAUCUUCCUCGCAUCGCCCUUCCGGCUGGAGGGGCGAGGGAAGCCAAGGCCGGCGCUCGCAGCACCAGAGCGAGCACACUUCAGGCCUACGUCGCGGAGGCAACGAGGGCGACUCGGAGUACGGGGAUCUUCCCCCGCGAAGAACUCACGCAUCCGGCUCCCGAGGAGCCUCCCCUCUCGCCACCAGGGCUGGCGCCCCCGCCUCCUAGAACGAGCGGGACGCCCGCCGCCGUAUCAUCGCCCUGGCCCAUUCGGCCCUCCUAGAGGAAGACGGACCCGUCGGUCCGGCUUGCUUCGGCCCCCGGAUCCGAGGGGAGCCGUUCCCCCGAGGUUUCACCCUACCUCGGGAUACGCUGAAAUACAACGGCACGGCCAAGCCAGAAGAUUGGCUGAUCGACUACACCACGGCCAUAGGCAUCGCCAGGGGCAACAAGCGUGUAGCGGUUCGCUACGUGCCACUCGUGCUGGCCGGCUCGGCUCGGACCUGGCUUAACAGCCUCCUGGCCGGCAGCAUCAACUCCUGGGUGGACUUCGAGGAGGCGUUCGUCCGCAACUUCACCGACACCUACAAGCGCCCUGGUCGGCCUCGCGAGCUGGCCAUGUGCGUCUAGAAGGCCGACGAACCCCUCGGCGACUACGUCACCUGGUCGACCGAGCUCCGCAACUCCUGUGAGGGGGUGCAUGAGGUACAAGCCAUACAGUAAUUCAUUGACGGAUGCCGAGACGGCACCCUCCUCAAGCACAAGCUCAUGUGCGCCGAGCCCACCUCCUUGGCGGUGCUCAUGGCCAAGGCGGACAAGUACGCCACGGCGGACUCCGCAAUGUGCAUCAAGGUGACCGCCUCGGAAAAGGUUGUGCCUGCGCCGGCUACUCCCAAGCCGGCUGGGGACAACCGAGGCGGACAGAACAACUACAAGCGCAAGGCGGAUCAGAUGGCUAACAACAAGCUAGUGGCCAACAUGGAGGGAGAGGCAUCGGCUUCCCAAGCCAGCCCUCCACGAAAGUGUCGCAAUCAGGGCGACCCCAACUGGCUGCCCAAGCAGUCUCUCGAGCAGCUGCUCGACGCCCCCUGCAAGAUACAUUCGGGGGCGGCGCCGUCUACCCAUACCCUUGGAUAGUGCAGCGUUGCACGCUGGCUGUCGCAAGGGGAGGGCCUGCCGGCUCCUCCGGGUGCGCAGGCGGCGCCCCGUGCACCGGCUCCCCAUCACGCUCCUCUUCCGCCGCCGCCGCCUCGCGACGACGGCCCACACCAUGACGACUACCCGCAUCAAGAUAGAGCGUUCGUCAUCUUCACCAGUGAAGGCGACGACAAGCACAACCUGCGCCAAAGGUGGCACGAGGUAAACGCCACUGUCCCCCCGGUUCCCCAGUACAUGCAUUCGUCUAACAAACCAAUUACAUGGAGCCGGGUGGACCACCCUGCCGUGAUGCCCAACCCGGGGUCAUACGCACUCGUCGUCGACCCCACCUUCGCCUCGAAGAGGCUCACCUGCUGAUUCUCCCGGGUGCUGGUCGACGGUGGCAGCAGCAUCAACAUCCUCUACCUCGACACUCUCCGCAAGCUUGGGCUCAAGGAGACGGACGUCCUUCCAACCAGCACUGUCUUCCAUGGCAUCGUGCAUGGGCGGUCGUGCUCGCCCAUCGGCAAGAUCCAGCUGGACGUCCUCUUCAGCGACAAGGCCCACUUCCGUCGCGAGUUCAUAUGGUUCGAGGUGGUGGACCUCAGCAGCCCGUAUCACGCGCUGCUGGGGAGACCGGCUCUGGCCAAAUUCAUGGCUAUCCCGCACUACGCCUACCUGAAAAUGAAGAUGUCGGGUCCCAAGGGCAUCAUCGCUGUUGUUGGCGACUACAAGAAGUCGCUCGAGUGUGCCCAAGAUAGCAGCCGCCUCGCCGACGCCUUGGUGAUUGCCGAGGAGAAGCGGUAGAUUGACCGGCUCGUGGCCCAGGCUACCGAGCAGCCGGCGAUUCCUUCUCCUCUGUCCCAAUCGGCCGGCGAGGGCUCUUUCAAGCCGGCUAAAGAGACCAAGCAGGUCCCACUCUACCCUGCCAACCCAAAGCAGUGCAUCACCAUCGGGGCUGGCCUCAGCCCCAAAUAGAAAGGCGAGCUCGUCGACUUCCUCCGUGAGAAUCGGGACAUCUUUGCAUGGUCCCUCAAGGACAUGCUGGGUGUUCCGAGGAAGUACGCCGAGCAAAAACUUCACGUGCGACCGGAUGCAAAUCCGGUGAAACAACCUUUGCGCCGCUUCGCCGAGGGGAAGCGGCGCACAAUCGGAGAAGAGAUCACCCGGCUCCUUGCAGCUGGCUUCAUCAUGGAGGUUUUACACCCGGACUGGCUGGCGAACCCAGUCGUGGUGCUGAAGAAGAACAACACAUGGCGAAUGUGCAUCGACUACACUAGCCUGAAUAAGGCCUGUCCGAAAGACCCUUUCGCGUUGCCUAGGAUAGAUCAAGUAAUCGACUCCACUGCAGGCUGUGAACUACUGUCAUUUCUUGAUGCUUAUUCAGGCUACCAUCAAAUCAAGGUGGAUCCAGCUAAUUGCCAGAUGACCUCCUUCAUCACGCCCUUCGGGGCCUACUGCUACACCAACAUGAUGUUCGGUCUGAAGAACGCAGGUGCGACGUUCCAACGCUGCAUGCAACAGUGCCUACUUCCACAGAUUGGCAGAAACAUCCACGUCUAUGUAAAUGACAUCGUCGUCAAGACGAAGCAGCACUUCAGCCUCCUCGACGACCUGCGAGAGACAUUUGCCAAUCUGCGCGAAUACAAGAUCCGGCUCAAUCCUGAGAAGUGCGUCUUCGGGUCCCAGGCGGCAAACUCUUGGGGUUCUUCGUAUCCGCCCGCGACAUCGAAGCGAACCCUGAGAAGAUCAGCACCAUCGAGCGGAUGGUGCGGUCGGCUCGGAUGCUCGAUGUCCAGAAGUUUGCCGGCUUCUUGGCAUCCCUCAGCCGGUUCGUCAGCCGGCUUGGCGAGAAGGCCCUUCCACUCUACCAGCUCAUGACGAAGACGGCGAAGUUCGAGUGGAACGACCAGGCGGACGAAGCCUUCCGCGACCUCAAGCGGGUAAUCUCGAGCCUGCCAAUCUUGGCAGCCCCAUGUGAAAGGGAAACCAUACUCAUAUAUAUCGCGGCGACCACUCGCGUGGUCAGCGUAGUGUUGGUAGUUCAGCAUAAAGAGGAAGGCAAGGCCCUGCCAGUACAGCGCCAUGUCUACUACCUUAGCGAGGUCUUGUCCGCCUCUAAGCAGAACUACCCUCAUUAUCAGAAAAUGUGUUAUGGUGUUUACCUUGCUGCAAAGAAAUUAAAAUAAUACUUCCAAGAGCAUGCCAUCACUGUGGUGAGCACGGCUCCACUAUCAGAGAUCAUGGGCAACCGUGAUGCCACGGGCAGAAUUGCCAAAUGGUCCAUCGCCAUGGCGGACCAGGACAUUCAGUACGAGCCUCGCACCGUCUCCAGACUCCACGCAUUGGCGGAUGCACUUCGACGGCUCGAAGAUGCGGACGGGACUGGGAGCCGGCAUCAUCUUGACGUCUCCGAAAGGGGACCAGCUUAAGUACGCUCUCCAGAUCCACUUCGCCGCCUCCAACAACGUCGCCGAGUACGAAGCACUGGCCCACGGCCACCGGCUUGCCAAGGAGAUUGGCAUCCGGCGGCUCAUAUGCUUCGGCGAUUCGGACUUGGUGGUGCAGCAGGUCUCUGGCGAGUGGGACGCCAGGGACGCCAACAUGGCAAGCUACCGCUUCCUCAUCCAGCAGCUCAACGGCCCCUUCGAGGGUUGUGAGUUCCACCAUGUUCCCAGGGCAGACAAUGAGGUGGCAGAUACGCUAGCAAAGAUCGGCUCCACAAGGGAGGCCAUCCCGGCCGUCGUCUCCCUCGAGCAACUCCACAAGCCGUCUAUCAAGCCGUCUCUGGAGUCGGCAUCAAUCUUCGUACCAGCCGACUCCAUGAUACAAGCGCCGCCGGCUCCGCCAGUUAUGUCGGCUGCGGACCCCAUGCCGGUUGCACUGACGGCUCCGACUCCAAAUGCGGCACCGACUAAGUCUAUGGUGCAAGCGCCGUCGGCUCCACCAACUACGUAGGCUUCAGAUCCUAAUCCGGCUCCAUUGGUCCACCCGACUCCAACAACGACAACCCCGGCUCUGCCCGGGUUCGAAUCCUCCCAGUGGGUGGACGUCAUGGAGAUAGACGAGGAGCCGGCUGCAGCAAUAGCACCAAAGACGCCAUCAAGCUCGGGGGCUGCAGAAGCCCCCAACAGUCAAGACGAAGCGGAGGCGACCCUUGUGUCGGCUCCAUUAUGGGCUCAGGCCAUUCUGGCCUUCCUUCUUCGCGGCGAACUUCCUCAAAAUGAGGCGGAGGCGAGACAGACCCAGCGCAGGUCCACCGCGUACGCCAUCAACAAUCGCGAGCUGGUGCGACGCAACACGACCGACGUGUUCCAACGUUGCGUCGAAUCAGAAAAAGGGCAGGAGAUCCUUAGAGACAUCCACCAGGGGGAGUGUGGGCAUCAUGCCGCCUCCAGAACCCUGGUGGCCAAAGCAUUCCGCCAUGGAUUCUACUGGCCCACGACCCUCGAGGAGGCUGUGGAUCUGGUGGACAAAUGUGAAGGCUGCCAACGCUUCAGUGCACAGAGCCAUAUGCCGCCUUCAACACUGAAAACCAUCCCCUUAUCUUGGCCAUUCGCCGUCUGGGGACUGGACAUGGUUGGGCCCUUCAAGAGGGCUCGCGGAGGGAUGACACAUCUUUUGGUAGCCGUCGACAAGUUCACCAAGUGGAUCGAAGCCAGGCCUAUCAAGAAGCUUGACGGCCCCACUCCUGUCAGGUUUAUCUCGGACAUCUCUGUCCGAUAUGGCGUUCCCCACAACAUCAUCACCGACAACGGCACCAACUUCGCCAAGGGCGCCCUGGCGUUCUACUAUUCCAAGGUAGGCAUCCGGCUCGACCUGGCCUCGAUGGCACACCCCCAGUCAAACGGCCAAGGGGAGAGGCCCAACGGCCUGAUCCUAGCCGGCAUCAAGCCAAGGCUGGUGGCACCACUGGUCAGGUCAGCCGGUUGCUGGAUCGAAGAACUGCCGGCUGUGCUAUGGAACCUCCGCACCACGCCCAACCGGUCGACCGGCUUCACUCCAUUCUUCCUGGUAUACGGGUCUAAGGCUAUCAUCCCCACGGAUAUCGAAUUCGACUCGCCUUGGGUCACCCUAUACACAGAAACGGAGGCGAAGGAGGCCAGAGAGGACGGUGUGGAUCUCCUCGAGGAAGCAAGGGACUUGGCUUUGAGCCGGACGGACAUGUACCAACAGAAGCUGAGAUACUACCAAAACAAAAGGAUCAGGCCUCUCUCUUUCAGAGAGGGAGACUUGGUCCUCAGAAGAAUCCAGCGCACUGUCGGCCGGCACAAGCUCUCACCCCCUUGGGAGGGACCCUUCAUCAUCAGUAGGGCGUUACACAACAACGCUUACUACCUGAUUGAUGCCUAGAAGCCAAGGAAGCGCAAGAGGGACGACUCUGGCCAAGAAACGGAGCGCCCAUGGUACGCGGCGUUGCUUCGCCCGUUCUAUUGCUAAAAGGCAGAAGACAAGAAAAGGAAAGAGCAUGCACAUGUAUCUUCCUCCCUCUUCAGGGAACAAAGAAGGCAAUAAAAAGGACAUGCUCCAUGUUUCUUUUUGUCAAGAGUUCUCACUCACGUGUACGGGCUACACAACGUACCACCUCUUGCUGGCUUGCUCAAGCUCGGAGGCUACGCGGCGCGGCCCCUUGCUAGCUUUAAACAAGCUCGGGGGCUCGCCAGCUGCCUGAACGGUCAAACCCUUAUAACGGACACAUAGUGUAUCGGCUAACCCCUGGUCCGUCGCUUGAACCUGCGGGCUGACUCUGGUCGCUCGGUUCGCGAUAUGACGCCAGGUAAGGUCAAAUACAUGCAAAGUCCGGCUAUACUUGGGACGUCCGGCUCGGGCCGGCUCGAUCGUAUAUACGAUCUCCUUCAAGACUCAAGACGGCCUCUGAUUGCCGAGACUCAAGACGGCCUCUGACUCCCGAGAACCACAAAUAUGGUGAAAAAAGCAGGCUCCAUGCUUUCUCUUGCUAAAAGAGUUUUCACUCAGUGUACGGGCUACACCGCGUACCACCUCUUGCUGGCUUGCUCAAGCUCGGAGGCUACGCAACGCGGCCCCUUGCUAGCUUUAAACAAGCUCGGGGGCUCGCCAGCCGCUCGGACAGUCAAUCCUUGUAGUCGGGCACAUAGUGUACCGGCUGAUUCCCGGUCCAUCGCUUGAACCUGCGGGCAGGCUCCGGUCGCUCGGUUCGCGAUGUGACGCCGGGUCAGGUCGAAUACAUGCACAGUCCGGCUAUACUAGUGACGACCGGCUCGAGUUGGUUCAUUCAAGUCGGCCUCUGAUUGGCUUAUGUCUUGUUCUUUAUGUCUUGAUGGCUUCGGAUAAGAGAAGUCAACCAGGAAUCAAAAGACGGGAUCAUAAGACAACACGCUUGGUGACGAAUAUAAUGCUGAAUAUAUACAUUCAUAAAAAGCAUUGGCCCACGGCCCACGUUCGUUACAUCCCUCCGGGGGUAGAACCAAAAACACAAAAGGACACGAGUAACGGGAAAGCGGCCUCAGUGGUCGUCUCGGCUGCUGCUCCUGAUGUGGUAACAUCGCCGCCUCAGGCUUCUCCCGAGGUGGAUGCGUCGUCUCCCUCAUUGCGGCCCCCGGCUCCGCUGAUCCCGGAGUCGGCAUACGCCCCACCGCUGGAGGCGGCUGCAGAUUCCGCAGCCCGGGCCACCUUGUCGGAGCAGCCAUCGGCGUCGUAGGGCUGAAGGCCGUGCAGAUCCUCAGCGAUCACACCGCCGUCUUCACCCAGCUCCAAGACGAAGUCGUCCCAGGCUGCGUACUCAGCCACGACGUUGGCCCUCACCGGGAGCUCCUCCUCCAGGCCUUGCAACUCCGCCUCUGAGCCAUCGCGCUGGGCAGCCAGCUUGCCCAAGUUCAGGUUGCGAUACCAUGACUUGGCCAAGCGCAGGUCCAUAUAAGCCCCAGACCACGCUGCGGAGGCUCGCCAGGCGUCCAGGCGCUCUUCACCCGCCGCGAGCCAACGGGCAAGACGGCUUAUGGUCAUCGGCUCCACGCCCACCUGCCACAGGGCCGUCACCAUCGACGAACCCGCAACUUGGAGCUGAGUCACAGACUCGCCCAGGACGUGUAAGCGGGCCCGAAGCCCCACACCAAUCUCCUCGAUGCUCCAGCCGGAGGUAGUAUCUACCACCUGCCCGGCCGCGCGGCGCUCCUCGCGGCACACCUCAACGGCGGUGUCGGCUGCGACCUGGGUCUCGGAGAAGAGAUCUGGGGUAAAGACAACCAGGACGUAAGAACACAGCAAGAGGAGGAGACAGCCAAAAAAACCAAACGCAAAACAAGGAAAGGAAACCUACGCUGGUAGGCACCGUCGGUCUCAUGAAAGACCUCGAGGACCUCACGCUCCCGCACCUCACUCGCAUGAGUGAGGCGGGCGAUUUCCUCCUGGAGGGUCGCGGCGGACUCCAGCGCCUUACCCAGAUGCACUUGCUUCUGGGUAAGGGCUUCAUCCUUCGCCCUCAACGCGGCGUCCUUGAGGUUCGCCUCCUCAAGAUGGAGCGACGCGAGGCGGUCCAUGUCAGGAGAGUAAGAGGCCUCCUUCUCCUGCAGCAUGGCCCGCAGCCGCUCCAGCUCGACCCGACUGGCCGCCUCGAGCUCCUUCUUCUCCGGCUGAAGAAGGUCCAGCUGCUCUUGGAGCUGGCCGCCGGCUUCGCGAAGGGCAUCACGCUCCGCGGCGGCCUCGCCUAGCCGGACUUCAAGCUCGGCGAUCCGGCGAUCAGCCCCCAGGUGCUGGUCCCGAAGCUCGUUGUACGCCUGUACCUGAGCAUCGUAUAGCGCCUGUCAAAGGGGAGAGAAAGGGAACAUGAUUACGAUUCGAGUGGGUUAAAAGGAUAACCAGCCCGAUUCUCGGGGGCUACACCCAGUGGGUGCGCUUGCGCGCCCCCACUGAAGAAAAAUAUGCAGAAGAAAAGGCCUCCAAGAGAUUCAAACCGGUUGGCAAUCGACCCGCCCGAUUCUCGGGGGCUACACCCAGUGGGUGCGCUGUCGCGCCCCCACUGACGUCAAGAGAAGAGAAAAAAGUGCAAAGAAAAACCAAAAAAGGCAAGGCCUACCUGGGUACAGGCUUCCAGGUGCUCCAUGUCGCCGCAUACCACGCGGGCCGCCUGCUCCACCUUCGACCGGCCGCUGCCAAACAGAGUCACCAGCUCCGGCAUGCCGGAAAGAACGGUGCCGGCGGGCAUUCGCAGGCGGGCCGCAUUCGCCGCCCACCAUGACUUCAUGGGCCGGCUCGCAGGCCGGCCCCCUGCCCUUGGCGCGACAGGGCCCUGCUGGGGGACGACGAUGGCGCCGGCUCCUGGUGCCGGCUCAACGGCCGGCUCGGGCGCCGCCCCAGCCGGCGCUACCUCCUCCACACGAGGCGGAUGAGCCACGUCCGACGCAUCCAUGGUUGCCCCUGGGGCGUCAGGGGCUGCGUUUGGCGCGGCCAGAUCCAGCACCGGCUCCAGGUCCACCUGCUCUGGGGAGAAACCGGGAUCGUCUCCAGGUCCACCUGCUCCGGCGCUGCUGGCUCAGGCGGCUGGGUCCCUUCAGUCCUCGGGGUCGGCCUCGAAGCGGCCUCGCUAGCUGCCUCCUCCACACGAGCGUGUGCGGAUGGGUCCUGUCUAGCCUUCGCACGCUUCUCCGCCUGCCUCUCGACCCGGCUGGGGCAAGUCUGAUCCACGGCAGCCUUCCCCACAGCUGUGUGCCACCGGCGCUUGGACUCUAUCUCCAGCUCCCUAUCGGCAGCAUCAGCUGUUGCCCAGCCGGCCCGCUCGGCCGCGGAGGCGGUGUCUUCAUCCGCAUCCUCCGCCUCCCUGUCAAGCCAAGCUUCUCAGGAACAAAGUUCAUCUCAAGAUAUGGAAGGGAGAAGAGGAGGAAACCAUACCCGACAACUACCGGGACCUGCCUCCGGCAACCGCCACGGCGCCUCUUGGUGCCGCCUGCUCGCUGCCCGGCUAGGGGACCCGGCGCCGGUCGCUUAGAGGCCGGCCGGGAAGUUGUGUCACCAUUGCCCUUCUUCCCGGCUGCCUCGUCAGCAGCGGUUGCUCCGCCACCUUGACACCGGUCGCGCGACGGUAGUGGGCCGGUGACCUCCUCCACCUCGUCGGAGUCUCCCUCGAACGCUGCAUCAGAGAAGAAUGAGGCUUCCUCAUCGUCGUCCGUCCAGUCUGCCACGGCGUGCCGCGGGUACUCACUAGACGGCUCGGUCCCUUCUGACUCCAGGGAAUCUCCCGAGCUGGCGGAGGAGUCUGAGCGGGGCUCCAUCGCAUCCUCGUCCUCCAUCUCGGAGGCGCCGUGCGCCUCCACAUCAGGAGCAGGCGGACGGAGGGACCCCUGCAUGGUUUGGAACAUCUACUAGAAAGGAAUUCAAGUAGGCUCAGCAAACGCCACCGGCUUCAGAACAAAACGACAGAAAAGAAGGGAGAAAGGCUACCACCAGAGGCGGAUGAGACCGGUUGAACAGGGCCAUCCCCAUGUCCAUUCCCCGCCCUCAUCCAUGCGGGUGGUGGAGAUCAGGUUCACCCUUCGCGCCACAGCACCCGGGGUGAACCUAUUGAUGGACAGCCGGCAUGGAUCAAGCCGGCCGCUCAUCUGGCAGACCAGAUGCGGCCGCCUUUGCAGAGGCAGAAUCCGGCGGACCACCAUGGUGGCAAGAAGGUCGCGGCCGAGGAGGCCGCUCUCCCUCAAGACAUCAAGGUAGGCGCGAAUAGGCGCCACCUCAGGAUGCGGCUUGGGAGUCUUCGCGUCCCAAUUUUUCCACGUCGGAGGGGCGAUGGUGAACGGGGGCAUGUUGAGAGCGUCCUGGGACGGGUCGGUGCUCCUCACGUAGAAGAACCCCUUCUGCCAAUGCUUGACGGAGUCUUGCAAAGGCAUCUGGGGAAAGCCGAACUUCGGGCGGUGAUGCACCAACGCAGCCCCGCACGGCGUCAUGGGGUGCGGCCCCUUGAGCUUCUCCACCUCAGAUUUUUCCAUGUCGAUGGAUUGCUGCUUAAAAAAGAACAGGUUGCGCCACAGAUCGACGCGAGACUCGAUUCCCACGAAGCCCUUGCACAGGACCACGAAGGCGGCCAGCUGCAGUAUGGCGUUCGGCGCCAAAUGAUGCGGUUGCAGGCCGAAGAACUGGAGCCACUCGGUGAAGAAUGAGCUAGCCAGGAGCCCGAAACCCCGGUAGAAGUGCUCGGCGAAGACCACAACCUCUCCCACGAGAGGCGCGGGAGAGACCUCGGAGCCAGGAAGGCGCACCGACACUUGGGAGACCGGGGGCAGCAGACGAUGAUGAUGGAGCGCAUCAAUGAGCUCCUCGUCGACAUCGCUGCCCAGCCAGGCCCCGUGCAAGGACGCCUGCUGCGCUGUCGACUUCCUCCAUGAAGAUCUACCGGCCAUGGCUGCGGGUGGCGAGAGCUCGGAGCGGUCGGCGGAGGUCUCGGCGGCGAAGAAGAAGGAGACAAAGGGCGCGAGCUCUUCCUCUUAGGACGCAAGGAGGAAGAAAGCAUGGAGCAGGGCAAGAAGAGGGGGCGAAUGGCCUCCUUGAAGCCCUCGCGUCCCAUUUAAACGCCACGAAGCGUCGUGGGGAGGGGAUCCAGUGCGCGCCGGCCCCAUUCAUUCCGUGUAUUACGGGCGGUAACGCCCCCAAAGCCCAACCAUCGCGGAGUAAAUCCGCAGAGGAUCUCCCGUGCGGAGGCCGAGGGGGCAUCGUGGCGGGACCCAGGGCCCAGGCCCGGUCCCGUCAGCAGUAAUUGCCAUCAUUACGCGCCUGGCACGUGGCGCUCUCCGCGCCAGUUACGACUAGACCGAAGCAUCACUUCGAAGCUACCCGGCUCCAAAGCCGGUGUCCUGUUGGGGAACGUCGCAUGGGAAACAAAAAAUUUCCUACGCGCACGAAGACCUAUCAUGGUGAUGUCCAUCUACGAGAGGGGAUGAGUGAUCUACGUACCCUUGUAGAUUGUACUGCAGAAGUGUUAGUGAACGCGGUUGAUGUAGUGGAACGUCGUCACGUCCCUCGAUCCGCCCCGCGAACUAUCCCGCGAACAGUCCCACGAUCUAGUGCCGAACGGACGGCACCUCCGCGUUCAGCACACGUACAGCUCGACGAUGAUCUCGGCCUUCUUGAUCCAGCAAGAGAGACGAAGAGGUAGAAGAGUUCUCCGGCAGCGUGACGGUGCUCCGGAGGUUGGUGAUGAUCUUGUCUCAGUAGGGCUCCGCCCGAGCUCCGCAGAAACUCGAUCUAGAUGUGAAACCGUGGAGAUAUGUGGUCGGGCUGCCGUGGCAAAGUUGUGUCAAAUCAGCCCUAAAACCCCACUAUAUAUAGGAGGAGGAGGGGGGAGACUUGCCUUGGGGUCCAAGGACUCCCAAGGGGGUCGGCCGAGCCAAGGGGGAAGGCCUACCCUUCCCAAACCGAAUUCUACUUGGUUUGGAAGGUGGAGUCCUUCUUCCCUUUCCCACCUCCUUCUUUUUUUUCCUUUCCUCUUUGAUUUUCUUCCCAAUGCGCAUAUGGCCUUCUUGGGCUGUCCCACCAGCCCACUAAGGGCUGGUGCGCCACCCCCAAGGCCUAUGGGCUUCCCCGGGGUGGGUUGACCCCCCCCCCGGUGAACUCCCGGAACCCAUUCGUCAUUCCCGGUACAUUCCCGGUAAUUCCGAAAACCUUCCGGUAAUCAAAUGAGGUCAUCCUAUAUAUCAGUCUUUGUUUCCGGACCAUUCCGGAAACCCUCGUGACGUCCGUGAUCUCAUCCGGGACUCCGAACAACAUUCGGUAACCAACCUUAUAACUCAAAUACGCAUAAAAUAACGUCAAACCUUAAGUGUGCAGACCCUACGGGUUCGAGAACUAUGUAGACAUGACCCGAGAGACUCCUCGGUCAAUAUCCAAUAGUGGGACCUGGAUGCCCAUAUUGGAUCCUACAUAUUCUAUGAAGUUCUUAUCGUUUGAACCUCAGUGUCAAGGAUUCAUAUAAUCCCGUAUGUCAUUCCCUUUGUCCUUCGGUAUGUUACUUGCCCGAGAUUCGAUCGUCAGUAUCCGUAUACCUAUUUCAAUCUCGUUUACCGGCAAGUCUCUUUACUCGUUCCGUAAUACAAGAUCCCGCAACUUACAUUAAGUCACAUUGCUUGCAAGGCUUGUGUGUGAUGUUGUAUUAUCGAGUGGGCCCCGAGAUACCUCUCUGUCACACGGAGUGACAAAUCCCAGUCUCGAUCCAUACUAACUCAACGAACACCUUCGGAGAUACCUGUAGAGCAUCUUUAUAGUCACCCAGUUACGUUGCGACGUUUGAUACACACGAAGCAUUCCUCCGGUGUCCGUGAGUUAUAUGAUCUCAUGGUCAUAGGAAGAAAUACUUGACACGCAGAAAACAGUAGCAACAAAAUGACACGAUCAACAUGCUACGUCUAUUAGUUUGGGUCUAGUCCAUCACAUGAUUCUCCUAAUGAUGUGAUCCCGUUAUCAAGUGAAAACACUUGCCUAUGGUUAGGAAACCUUGACCAUCUUUGAUCAACGAGCUAGUCAACUAGAGGCUUACUAGGGACAGUGUUUUGUCUAUAUAUCCACACAUGCACUGUGUUUCCAAUCAAUACAAUUAUAGCAUGGAUAAUAAACGAUUAUCAUGAACUAAGAAAUAUAAUAAUAACUAAUUUAUUAUUGCCUCUACGGCAUAUUUCCAACAGUCUCCCACUUGCACUAGAGUCAAUAAUCUAGUUCACAUCACCAUGUGAUUCCAACGAAUCCAACACCCAUAUAGUUAUGGGGUCUGAUCACGUCUUUGCUCGUGAGAGAGGUUUUAGUCAACGGUUCUGAAACUGUCAGAUCCGUGCGUUCUUUACAAAUCUUUAUGUCAUCUUAUAGAUGCUGCUACUACGUGCUAUUCGGAAAUGCUCCAAAUAUCUACUCUACUAUACGAAUCCGUUUCACUACACAUAGUUAUUCGGAUUAGUGUCAAAGCUUGCAUCGACGUAACCCUUUACGACGAACUCUUUAACCACCUCCAUAAUCGAGAAAAAUUCCUUAGUCCAUUAGUUACUAAGGAUAAAUUUUGACCGCUGCUAGUGAUUCAAUCAUGGAUCACUCUCUGUACCUCUCAACAGACUUUGAGUCAAGGCACACAUCAGGUGCGGUACACAGCAUGGCAUACUUUAGAUUCUACGGCUAAGGCAUAGAAGACGACCUUCGUCUAUUCUCUUUAUUCUGCCGUGGUUGGGUUUUGAGUCUUACUCAAAUUCACACCUUACAAUGCAACUAAGAACUCCUUAUUUGCUGAUCUAUUUUGAACUCCUUCAAACACUUGUCAAGGCAUGCAUCUUGUUGAAACUUCCAUUAAGCGCUUUCAAUCUAUCUCCAUAGAUCUUUGAUGUUCAACGUUCAAGUAGCUCAAUCCAGGUAUUCCUUUGAAAACUCCUUUCAAACAACCUUGUAUGCUUUACAGAAAUUCUACAUUACUUCUGAUCCACAAUAUGUCAACCACAUAUACUUAUUGUAAAUUCUAUAGUGCUCCCACUCACUUCUUUGGAAAUACAAGUUUCUCAUAAACCUUGUACAAACCCAAAAUCUUUGAUCAGCUCAUCAAAGUGUAUAUUCCAACUCCGAGAUGCUUGCACCAGUCCAUUGAAGGAUCACUGGAGCUUGCAUACUUGCUAGUAUCUUUAGGAUCGACAAAACCUCCUGGUUGUAUCACAUACAAUGUUUGCUCAAGGAAACCGUCGAGGAAACAAUGUUUUGACAUCCUACAUGCAAUAUUUCAUAAAUAAUGCAGCAACUACUAACAUAAUUCUAACAGACUUCUAGCAUCGCUACGAGUGAGAAAGUCUCAUCAUAGUCAAAUGUUUGAUCUUGUCGGAAACAUCUUUGCGACAAGUCGAGCUUUUCAUAAUAGUGACUUAUCACCAUCAUCGUCUGUCUUCCUUUUAAAGAUCCAUCUUUACUCAAUAGUCCUCUGACCAUCAAGUAGUUCUUCCAAAGUCUACACUUUGUUUUCAUACAUGGAUCCUCUCUCGGAUUUCAUGGCUUUCAGCCAUUUGUCGGAAUCCGGGCCCACCAUUUCUUUCUUCAUAACUCGUAAGUUCAUUGUUGCUCAACAACAUGACCUCCAAGACAGGGUUACCGUACCACUCUGCAGUAGUACGCGACCUUGUCAACCUACGAGGCUUGUAGUAACUUGAACCGAUGCUCGAUGAUCACCAUCAUCAGCUUCCACUUCAAUUGGUGUAGGCGCCACAGGAACAACUUCCUGCGCCCUACUACACACUGGUUGAAGUGAUGGUUCAAUAACCUCAUCAAGUUCUACUACCCUCUCACUCAAUUCUUUCAAGAGAAACCUUUCCUCGAGAAAGGAUCCGUUUCUAGAAACAAACACUUUGCUUUCGGAUCUGAGAUAGGAGAUGUACCCAACUGUUUUGGAUAUCCUAUGAAGAUGCAUUUAUCCGCUUUGGGUUCGAGCUUAUCAGACUGAAACAUUUUCACAUAAGUGUCGAAGCCCCAAACUUUCAAGAAACGACAGUUUAGAUUUCUGUAAACCUCAGUCUAUACUGUGUCAUCUCAACGGAAAUAUGCGGUGCCCUAUUUAAAGUGAAUGCAGUUGUCUCUAAUGCAUAACCCAUAAACGAUAGUGGUAAUUCGAUAAGAGACAUCACAGCAUGCACCAUACCAAAUAGUGUGUUUCUAUGACGUUCAGACACAUCAUCACACUAUGAUGUUCUAGGUGGCAUAAACUGUGAAACAAUUUCCACAUUGUCUUAACUGCGUACCAAAACUCGUAACUCAGAUAUUCAUUUCUAUGAUCAUAUCGUAGACAGUUUAUCCUCUUGUUACGACGAACUUCACUCCGAAACAGAAUUGAACUUUUCAAUAUUUCAGACUUGUGACUCAUUAAGUAAAUAUUCUAGUAUCUACUCAAAUCGUCAUUGAAGUAAGAACAUAAUGAUAUCCACUGCGUGCCUCAGCACCCAUUGGACUGCAUACAUCAAAAUGUAUCACUUCCAACAAGUUACUAUCUUAUUUCAUCUCAAUGAAAACAAUGCCUUGCUCAUGUGGUAUGAUUUGCAUGUCACUAGUGAUUUGAAAUCAGGUGAGUACAAAGAUCCAUCAGCAUGGAGCCUCUUCAUGCAAUUUAUACCAACAUGACUCAAGCGGCAGUGCCACAAGUAAGUGGUACUAUCAUCAUUAACUCGUAUCUUUUGGUACCAAUAUCAUGAACAUGUGUAACACUACGAUCGAGAUUCAAUAAACCAUUGAAGGUGAUUAUUCAAAAAAAUAGAGUAACCAUUAUUCUCUUUAAAUGAAUAAUCGUAUUGCAAUAAACACGAUCCAAUCAUGUUCAUGCUUAACGCAAGCACCAAAUAACAAUUAUUUAGGUUUAACACCAAUCCCGAUGGUAGAGGGAGCGUGCGACGUUUUGAUCAUAUCAACCUUGGAAACACUUCCAACACGUAUCGUCACCUCGCCUUUAGCUAGUCUCCAUUUAUGCCGUAGCUUUCAUUUCGUGUUACUAAUCACUUAGCAACCGAACCGGUAUCCAAUACCCUCAUGCUACUAGGAGUACUAGUAAAGUACACAUCAACAUCAUGUAUAUCAAAUAUACUUCUCUCGACUUUUGCCAGCCUUCUUAUCUACCAAGUAUCUAGAGUUGCUCCGCCUCAGUUACUGUUCCCCUCAUUACAGAAGCACUUAGUCUCGGGUUUGGGUUUAAUCUUGGGUCUCUUCAUUAGUGCAGCAAAGGUUUUGCCGUUUCACGAAGUAUCCCUUCUAGCCCUUGCCUUUCUUGAAACUUAGUGGUUUUACUAACCAUCAACUAUUGAUGCUCCUUCUUGAUUUCCACUUUCGCAGUGUCAAACAUCGCGAACGCUCAAGGAUCAUUGUAUCUAUCCUUGAUAUGUUAUAGUUCAUCACGAAGCUCUCACAGCUUGGUUGCAGUGACUUUGGAGAACCAUCACUAUCUCAUCUGGAAGAUUAACUCCGACUUGAUUCAAGCGAUUGUCGUACUCAGACAAUCUGAGCACACGCUCAACGAUUGAGCUUUUCUCCUUUAAUUUGUGGACAAAGAAUCUUGUCGGAGGUCUUGUACCUCUUAACAAGGGCACAAGCAUGAAAUCACAAUUUCAUCUCUUUAGAACAUCACUUAUGUUCCGCGACGUUUUAAAACGUUUUCGGCGCCUUGCUUCUAAGCCAUUAAAUAUUUUGCACUGAACUAUCGUGUAGUCAUCAGAAACGUGUAUUUCAGAUGUUCACAGCAUCCACAGACGACGCUUGAGGUGCAGCACACCGAGUGGUGCAUAAAAUACAUAAGCCUUCUGCGCAGCAACGAGGACAAUCCUCGGUUUUACAAACUUAGUCUGCAAAGUUUGCUACUAUCAACUUUCAACUAAAUUUUCUCUAGGAACAUAUAAAAACAGUAGAGCUAUAGCGCAAGCUACAUUGUAAUUCGCAAAGACCAUUAGACUAUGUUCAUGACAAUUAGUUCAAUUAAUCAUAUUACUUAAGAACUCCCACUCAAAAAGUACAUCUCUCUAGUCAUUUGAGUGGUACCUGAUCCAAAUCCACUAUCUCAAGUCCGAUCAUCACGUGAGUCGAGAAUAGUUUCAUUGGUAAGCAUCUCUAUGCUAAUCAUAUCAACUAUACGAUUCAUGCUCGACCUUUCGGUCUCAUGUGUUCCGAGGCCAUGUCUACACAUGCUAGGCUCGUCAAGCUUAACCCGAGUGUUCCGCGUGUGCAACUGUUUUGCACCCGUUGUAUGUGAACGUUGAGUCUAUCACACCCGAUCAUCACGUGGUGUCUCGAAACGAAGAACUGUCGCAACGGUGCACAGUCGGGGAGAACACAAUUUCGUCUUGAAAUUUUAGUGAGAGAUCACCUCAUAAUGCUACCGUCGUUCUAAGCAAAAUAAGGUGCAUAAAAGGAUUAACAUCACAUGCAAUUCAUAAGUGACAUGAUAUGGCCAUCAUCAUGUGCUUCUUGAUCUCCAUCACCAAAGCACCGGCACGAUCUUCUUGUCACCGGCGUCACACCAUGAUCUCCAUCAUCAUGAUCUCCAUCAACGUGUCGCCAUCGGGGUUGUCGUGCUACUCAUGGUAUUACUACUAAAGCUACAUCCUAGCAAAAUAGUAAACGCAUCUGCAAGCACAAACGUUAGUUUAAAGACAACCCUAUGGCUCCUGCCGGUUGCCGUACCAUCGACGUGCAAGUCGAUAUUAACUAUUACAACAUGAUCAUCUCAUACAUCCAAUAUAUCACAUCACAUCGUUGGCCAUAUCACAUCACAAGCAUACCCUGCAAAAACAAGUUAGACGUCCUGUAAUUUUGUUGUUGCAUGUUUUACGUGGUGACCAUGGGUAUCUAGUAGGAUCGCAUCUUACUUACGCAAACACCACAACGGAGAUAUAUGAGUUGCUAUUUAACCUCAUCCAAGGACCUCCACGGUCAAUUCCGAUUCAACUAAAGUUGGAGAAACUGACACCCGCGAGUCAUCUUUGAGCAACGGAGUUACUCGUAGCGAUGAAACCAGUCUCUCGUAAGCGUACGAGUAAUGUCGGUCCGAGCCGCUUCGAUCCAACAAUGCCGCGGAAUCAAGAAAAGACUAAGGAGGGCAGCAAAACGCACAUCACCGCCCACAAAAACUUUUGUGUUCUACUUGAGAAGACAUCUACGCAUGAACCCAGCUCAUGAUGCCACUGUUGGGGAACGUCGCAUGGGAAACAAAAAUUUUCCUACGCGCACGAAGACCUAUCAUGGUGAUGUCCAUCUACGAGAGGGGAUGAGUGAUCUACGUACCCUUGUAGAUCGUACAGCAGAAGCGUUAGUGAACGCGGUUGAUGUAGUGGAACGUCUGUUGGAAAUAUGCCCUAGAGGCAAUAAUAAAUUAGUUAUUAUUAUAUUUCUUUGUUCAUGAUAAUCGUUUAUUAUCCAUGCUAUAAUUGUAUUGAUUGGAAACACAAUACUUGUGUGGAUACAUAGACAAAACACUGUCCCUAGUAAGCCUCUAGUUGACUAGCUCGUUGAUCAAAGAUGGUCAAGGUUUCCUGGCCAUAGGCAAGUGUUGUCACUUGAUAACGGGAUCACAUCAUUAGGAGAAUCAUGUGAUGGACUAGACCCAAACUAAUAGACGUAGCAUGUUGAUCGUGUCAUUUUGUUGCUACUGUUUUCUACGUGCCAAGUAUUUAUUCCUAUGACCAUGAGAUCAUAUAACUCACUAACACCGGAGGAAUGCUUUGUGUGUAUCAAACGUCGCAACGUAACUGGGUGACUAUAAAGAUGCUCUACAGGUAUCUCCGAAGGUGUUAGUUGAGUUAGUAUGGAUCAAGACUGGGAUUUGUCACUCCGUGUGACGGAGAGGUAUCUAUGGGCCCACUCGGUAAUACAACAUCACACACAAGCCUUGCAAGCAAUGUAACUUAGUGUAAGUUACGGGAUCUUGUAUUACGGAACGAGUAAAGAGACUUGCCGGUAAACGAGAUUGAAAUAGGUAUGCGGAUACUAACGAUCGAAUCUCGGGCAAGUAACAUACCGAAGGACAAAGGGAAUGACAUACGGGAUUAUAUGAAUCCUUGGCACUGAGGUUCAAACGAUAAGAUCUUUGUAGAAUAUGUAGGAUCCAAUAUGGGCAUCCAGGUCCCGCUAUUGGAUAUUGACCGAGGAGUCUCUCGGGUCAUGUCUACAUAGUUCUCGAACCCGCAGGGUCUGCACACUUAAGGUUCGACGUUGUUUUAUGCGUAUUUGAGUUAUAUGGUUGGUUACCGAAUGUUGUUCGGAGUCCCGGAUGAGAUCACGGAUGUCACGAGGGUUUCCGGAAUGGUCCGGAAACGAAGAUUGAUAUAUAGGAUGACCUCAUUUGGUUACCGGAAGGUUUCCGUGCAUUACCAGAAAAGUUUCGGGCUCAUCGGUAGUGUACCGGGAGUGCCGGGAGGGGUGCCGGGGACCAUCGGGAGGGGUGUCACGCCCCAAGGGGUCUCAUGGGCUAUGGGAAGAGAUAAACCAGCCCCUAGUGGGCUGGAAUAAGUUCCCACUAAGGCCCAUAAGGUUUGAGAAGGAAAAAACACAAGGUGGAAAGAGUUUCCAAGUGGGAAGGUGGAAUCCUACUCCAAGUAGGAUUGGAGUAGGACUCCUCCACCUCCAAUUUCGGCCAAACCUUUAGGUUUUGAGGCUGCCUCCUCCCCUCCCUCCCACCUAUAUAUACGGAGGUAUUAGGGCUGAUUUGAGACGACUUUUCCACGGCAGCCCGACCACAUACCUCCAUAGUUUUUCCUCUAGAUCGCGUUUCUGCGGAGCUCGGGCGGAGCCCUGCUGAGACGAGAUCAUCACCAACCUCCGGAGCGCCGUCACGCUGCCGGAGAACUCUUCUACCUCUCCGUCUCUCUUGCUGGAUCAAGAAGGCCGAGAUCAUCGUCGAGCUGUACGUGUGCUGAACGCGGAGGUGCCGUCCGUUCGGUACUAGAUCGUGGGACUGAUCGCGGGAUUGUUCGCGGGGCGGAUCGAGGGACGUGAGGACGUUCCACUACAUCAACCGCGAUCUCUAAUCGCUUCUGCUGUACGAUCUACAAGGGUACGUAGAUCACUCAUCCCCUCUCGUAGAUGGACAUCACCAUGAUAGGUCUUCGUGCGCGUAGGAAAAUUUUUGUUUCCCAUGCGAUGUUCCCCAACAGUGGCAUCAUGAGCUAGGUUCAUGCGUAUAUGUCUUCUCGAGUAGAACACAAAAGGUUUUGUGGGCGGUGAUGUGCGUUUUGCUGCCCUCCUUAGUCUUUUCUUGAUUCCGCGGUAUUGUUGGAUUGAAGCGGCUUGGACCGACAUUACUCGUACGCUUACGAGAGACUGGUUUCAUCGUUACGAGUAACCCCCUUUGCUCAAAGAUGACUGGCAAGUGACGGUUUCUCCAACUUUAGUUGAAUCGGAUUUGACCGAGGAGGUCCUUGGAUGAGGUUAAAUAGCAAUUCAUAUAUCUCCGUUGUGGUGUUUGCGUAAGUAAGAUGCGAUCCUACUAGAUACCCUUGGUCACCACGUAAAACAUGCAACAACAAAAUUAGAGGACGUCUAACUUGUUUUUGCAGGGUAUGAUUGUGAUGUGAUAUGGCCAAUGAUGUGAUGUGAUAUAUUGGAUGUAUGAGAUGAUCAUGUUGUAAUAGAAAUAUCGACUUGCACGUCGAUGGUACGGCAACCGGCAGGAGCCAUAGGGUUGUCUUUAUACUAACAUAUGUGCUUGCAGAUGCGUUUACUAUUUUGCUAGGAUGUAGCUUUAGUAGUAAUAGCAUAAGUAGCACGACAACCCCGAUGGCAACAUGUUGAUGGAUGAUCAUGGUGUGGCGCCGGUGACAAGAAGAUCGUGCCGGUGCUUUGGUGAUGGAGAUCAAGAAGCACGUGAUGAUGGCCAUAUCAUGUCACUUAUGAAUUGCAUGUGAUGUUAAUCCUUUUACGCACCUUAUUUUGCUUAGAACGACGGUAGCAUUAUGAGGUGAUCUCUCACUAAAAUUUCAAGACGAAAUUGUGUUCUCCCCGACUGUGCACCGUUGCGACAGUUCUUCGUUUUGAGACACCACGUGAUGAUCGGGUGUGAUAGACUCAACGUUCACAUACAACGGGUGCAAAACAGUUGCACACGCGGAACACUCGGGUUAAGCUUGACGAGCCUAGCAUGUGCAGACAUGGCCUCGGAACACAUGAGACCGAAAGGUCGAGCAUGAAUCGUAUAGUUGAUAUGAUUAGCAUAGGGAUGCUUACCACUGAAACUAUUCUCGACUCACGUGAUGAUCGGACUUGAGAUAGCGAAUUUGGAUCAUGUACCACUCAAAUGACUAGAGAGAUGUACUUUUUGAGUGGGAGUUCUUAAGUAAUAUGAUUAAUUGAACUAAUUGUCAUGAACAUAGUCUAAUGGUCUUUGCGAAUUAUGAUGUAGCUUGCGCUAUAGCUCUAUUGUUUUUAUAUGUUCCUAGAGAAAAUUUAGUUGAAAAUUGAUAGUAGCAACCUUUGCAGACUGAGUCUGUAAAACCGAGGAUUGUCCUCGUUGCUACGCAGAAGGCUUAUGUCCUUAAUGCACCACUCGGUGUGCUGCACCUCGAGCGUCGUCUGUGGAUGCUAUGAACAUCCGACAUACACGUUACUGAUGACUACACGAUAGUUCAGUGCAAGAUACUUGAUGGCUUAGAAGCAAGGCGCCGAAAACGUUGUAAAACGUCACGGAACAUAAGUGAUGUUCCGAAGAGAUGAAAUUGUGAUUUCAUGCUUGUGCCCUUGUUAAGAGGUACGAGACCUCCAAACAAGAUUCUUUGUCCACAAAGUAAAGGAGAAAAGCUCAAUCGUUGAGCAUGUGCUCAGAUUGUCUGAGUACGACAAUCGCUUGAAUCAAGUGGGAGUUAAUCUUCCAGAUGAGAUAGUGAUGGUUCUCCAAAGUCACUGCCACCAAGCUAUGAGAGCUUCGUGAUGAACUAUAACAUAUCAAGGAUAGAUACUAUGAUCUUUUGAGUGAUUCGCGAUGUUUGACACUGCGAAAGUAGAAAUCAAGAAGGAGCAUCAAUAGUUGAUGGUUAGUAAAACCACUAAGUUUCAAGAAAGGCAAGGGCUAGAAGGGAUACUUCGUGAAACAGCAAAACAGUUGCUGCACUAAUGAAGAGACCCAAGAUUAAACCCAAAACCCGAGACUAAGUGCUUCUGUAAUAAGGGGAACAGUCGCUGAGGCGGAGCAACUCUAGAUACUUGGUGGAUAAGAAGGCUGGCAAAAGUCGAGAGAAGUAUAUUUGAUAUACAUAAUGUUGAUGUGUACUUUACUAGUACUCCUAGUAGCACAAGGGUAUUGGAUACCGGUUCGGUUGCUAAGUGAUUAGUAACGCGAAAUGAAAGCUACGACAUAAACGAAGACUAGCUAAAGGCGAGGUGACGAUACGUGUUGGAAGUGUUUCCAAGGUUGAUAUAAUCAAACGUCGCACGCUCCCUCUACCAUCGGGAUUGGUGUUGAACCUAAAUAAUUGUUAUUUGGUGUUUGCGUUAAGCGUGAACAUGAUUGGAUCAUGUUCAUUGCGAUACGAUUAUUCAUUCAAAGAGAAUAAUGGUUACUCUAUUUGCUUGAAUGAUCACCUUCAAUGGUUUAUUGAAUCUCGAUUGUAGUGUUACACAUUGGUGCCAAAAGAUACGAGUUAAUAAUGAUAGUACCACUUACUUGUGGAACUGCCGCUUGAGUCAUGUCAGUAUAAAUUGCAUGAAGAGGCUCCAUGCUGAUGGAUCUUUGUACUCACCUGAUUUCGAAUCACUAGUGACAUGCAAAUCAUACCACGUGAGCAAGGCCUUGUUUUCAUUGAGAUGAAAUAAGAUAGUAACUUAUUGGAAGUGAUACAUUUUGAUGUAUGCAGUCCAAUGGGUGCUGAGGCACGCAGUGGAUAUCAUUAUGUUCUUACUUCACUGACCACUUGAGUAGAUACAGGAGUAUUUACUUAAUGAAUCACAAGUCUGAAAUAUUGAAAAGUUCAAUUCCGUUUCAGAGUGAAGUUCGUCGUAACAAGAGGAUGAAGUGUCUACGAUAUGAUCAUAGAAAUGAAUAUCUGAGUUACGAGUUUUGGUACGCAGUUAAGACAAUGUGGAAGUUAUUUCGCAGUUCAUGCCACCUGGAACAUCAUAGUGUGAUGAUGUGUCUGAACAUCAUAGCCACGCACUAUUUGGUAUAAUAUAUACUAUGGUGUCUCUUAUCGAAUUACCACUAUCGUUUAUGGGUUAUGCAUUAGAGACAACCGCACUCACUUUAAAUAGGGCACCGCGUAUUUCCGUUGAAGAUGACACAGUAUAGACUGAGGUUUAGAGAAAUCUAAACUGUCGUUUCUUGAAAGUUUGGGGUUUCGACACUUAUGUGAAAAAGUUUCAGUCUGAUAAGCUCGAACCCAAAGCGGAUAAAUGCAUCUUCAUAGGAUAUCCAAAACAGUUGGGUACAUCUCCUAUCUCAGAUCCGAAAGCAAAGUGUUUGUUUCUAGAAACGGAUCCUUUCUCGAGGAAAGGUUUCUCUUGAAAGAAUUGAGUGGGAGGGUAGUAGAACUUGAUGAGGUCAUUGAACCAUCACUUCAACCAGUGUGUAGCAGGGCGCAGGAAGUUGUUCAUGUGGCGCCUACACCAAUUGAAGUGGAAGCUGAUGAUGAUGAUCAUUGAGCUUCGAAUCAAGUUACUACAAAACCUCGUAGGUCGACAAGGUCGCGUACUGCUGCAGAGUAGUACGGUAACCCUGUCUUGGAGGUCAUGUUGUUGAGCAACAGUGAACCUACGAGUUAUGGAGAAAGCGAUGGUGGGCCCGGGUUCCGACAAAUGGCUGGAAGCCAUGAAAUCCGAGAGAGGAUCCAUGUAUGAAACCAAAGUGUAGACUUUGGAAGAACUACUUGAUGGUCAUAGGACUAUUGAGUAAAGAUGGAUCUUUAAAAGGAAGACAGACGAUGAUAGUGAUAAGUCGCUAUUAAGAAAAGCUCGACUUGUCGCAAAGAUGUUUCCGACAAGAUCAAACAGUUGACUAUGAUGAGACUUUCUCACUCGUAGCGAUGCUGAAAGGCUGUUAGAAUUAUGUUAGUAGUUGCUGCAUUAUUUAUGAAAUAUUGCAUGUAGGAUGUCAAAACAUUGUUUCCUCAACGGUUUCCUUGAGCAAACAUUGUAUGAGAUACAACCAUGAGGUUUUGUCGAUCCUAAAGAUACUAGCAAGUAUGCAAGCUCCAGUGAUCCUUCAAUGGACUGGUGCAAGCAUCUCGGAGUUGGAAUAUACACUUUGAUGAGAUGAUCAAAGAUUUUGGGUUUUUUACAAAGUUUAUGAGAAACCUGUAUUUCCAAAGAAGUGAGUGGGAGCACUAUAGAAUUUCUGAUAGGUAUAUGUGGUCGACAUAUUGUGGAUCAGAAGUAAUGUAGAAUUUCUGUAAAGCAUACAAGGUUGUUUUGAAAGAAGUUUUCAAAGGAGUACCUGGAUUACGCUACUUGAACGUUGAGCAUCAAAGAUCUAUGGAGAUAGAUCGAAAAGCACUUAACGGAAGUUUCAACAAGAUGCAUGCCUUGACAAGUUUUUGAAAGGAGUUCAAAAUAGGUCAGCAAAGAAGGAGUUCUUGGUUGCGUUGUGAGGUGUGAAUUUGAGUAAGACUCAAAACCCGACCCCGGCAGAAUAAAGAGAAUAGACGAAGGUCGUCUUCUAUGCCUUAGCCGUAGAAUCUAAAGUAUGCCAUGCUGUGUACCGCACCUGAUGUGUGCCUUGACUCAAAGUAUGUUGAGAGGUACAGAGAGUGAUCCAUGAUUGAAUCACUAGCAGCGGUCAAAAUUUAUCCUUAGUAACUAAUGGACUAAGGAAUUUCUUUCUCGAUUAUGGAGGUGGUUAAAGAGUUCGUCGUAAAGGGUUACGUUGAUGCAAGCUUUGACACUAAUCCGAAUAACUAUGAGUAGUGAAACGGAUUCGUAUAGUAGAGUAGAUAUUUGGAGCAUUUCCGAAUAGCACGUAGUAGCAGCAUCUAUAAGAUGGCAUAAAGAUUUGUAAAGAACACACGGAUCUGAAAGUUUCAGAACCAUUGACUAAAACCUCUCUCACGAGCAAGACGUGAUCAGACCCCAUAACUAUAUGGGUGUUGGAUUCGUUGGAAUCACAUGGUGAUGUGAACUAGAUUAUUGACUCCAGUGCAAGUGGGAGACUGUUGGAAAUAUGCCCUAGAGGCAAUAAUAAAUUAGUUAUUAUUAUAUUUCUUUGUUCAUGAUAAUCGUUUAUUAUCCAUGCUAUAAUUGUAUUGAUUGGAAACACAAUACUUGUGUGGAUACAUAGACAAAACACUGUCCCUAGUAAGCCUCUAGUUGACUAGCUCGUUGAUCAAAGAUGGUCAAGGUUUCCUGGCCAUAGGCAAGUGUUGUCACUUGAUAACGGGAUCACAUCAUUAGGAGAAUCAUGUGAUGGACUAGACCCAAACUAAUAGACGUAGCAUGUUGAUCGUGUCAUUUUGUUGCUACUGUUUUCUACGUGCCAAGUAUUUAUUCCUAUGACCAUGAGAUCAUAUAACUCACUAACACCGGAGGAAUGCUUUGUGUGUAUCAAACGUCGCAACGUAACUGGGUGACUAUAAAGAUGCUCUACAGGUAUCUCCGAAGGUGUUAGUUGAGUUAGUAUGGAUCAAGACUGGGAUUUGUCACUCCGUGUGACGGAGAGGUAUCUCGGGGCCCACUCGGUAAUACAACAUCACACACAAGCCUUGCAAGCAAUGUAACUUAGUGUAAGUUACGGGAUCUUGUAUUACGGAACGAGUAAAGAGACUUGCCGGUAAACGAGAUUGAAAUAGGUAUGCGGAUACUAACGAUCGAAUCUCGGGCAAGUAACAUACCGAAGGACAAAGGGAAUGACAUACGGGAUUAUAUGAAUCCUUGGCACUGAGGUUCAAACGAUAAGAUCUUUGUAGAAUAUGUAGGAUCCAAUAUGGGCAUCCAGGUCCCGCUAUUGGAUAUUGACCGAGGAGUCUCUCGGGUCAUGUCUACAUAGUUCUCGAACCCGCAGGGUCUGCACACUUAAGGUUCGACGUUGUUUUAUGCGUAUUUGAGUUAUAUGGUUGGUUACCGAAUGUUGUUCGGAGUCCCGGAUGAGAUCACGGAUGUCACGAGGGUUUCCGGAAUGGUCCGGAAACGAAGAUUGAUAUAUAGGAUGACCUCAUUUGGUUACCGGAAGGUUUCCGUGCAUUACCAGAAAAGUUUCGGGCUCAUCGGCUAUGGGAAGAGAUAAACCAGCCCCUAGUGGGCUGGAAUAAGUUCCCACUAAGGCCCAUAAGGUUUGAGAAGGAAAAAACACAAGGUGGAAAGAGUUUCCAAGUGGGAAGGUGGAAUCCUACUCCAAGUAGGAUUGGAGUAGGACUCCUCCACCUCCAAUUUCGGCCAAACCUUUAGGUUUUGAGGCUGCCUCCUCCCCUCCCUCCCACCUAUAUAUACGGAGGUAUUAGGGCUGAUUUGAGACGACUUUUCCACGGCAGCCCGACCACAUACCUCCAUAGUUUUUCCUCUAGAUCGCGUUUCUGCGGAGCUCGGGCGGAGCCCUGCUGAGACGAGAUCAUCACCAACCUCCGGAGCGCCGUCACGCUGCCGGAGAACUCUUCUACCUCUCCGUCUCUCUUGCUGGAUCAAGAAGGCCGAGAUCAUCAUCGAGCUGUACGUGUGCUGAACGCGGAGGUGCCGUCCGUUCGGUACUAGAUCGUGGGACUGAUCGCGGGAUUGUUCGCGGGGCGGAUCGAGGGACGUGAGGACGUUCCACUACAUCAACCGCGAUCUCUAAUCGCUUCUGCUGUACGAUCUACAAGGGUACGUAGAUCACUCAUCCCCUCUCGUAGAUGGACAUCACCAUGAUAGGUCUUCGUGCGUGUAGGAAAAUUUUUGUUUCCCAUGCGACGUUCCCCAACAACGUCUUCACGUCCCUCGAUCCGCCCCGCGAACUAUCCCGCGAACAGUCCCACGAUCUAGUGCCGAACGGACGGCACCUCCGCGUUCAGCACACGUACAGCUCGACGAUGAUCUCGGCCUUCUUGAUCCAGCAAGAGAGACGUAGAGGUAGACGAGUUCUCCGGCAGCGUGGCGGCGCUCCGGAGGUUGGUGAUGAUCUUGUCUCAGCAGGGCUUCGCCCGAGCUCCGCAGAAACUCGAUCUAGAUGUGAAACCGUGGAGAUAUGUGGUCGGGCUGCCGUGGCAAAGUUGUGUCAAAUCAGCCCUAAAACCCCACUAUAUAUAGGAGGAGGAGGGGGAGACCUGCCUUGGGGUCCAAGGACUCCCAAGGGGGUCGGCCGAGCCAAGGGGGAAGGCCUCCCCCUCCCAAACCGAAUUCUACUUGGUUUGGAAGGUGGAGUCCUUCUUCCCUUUCCCACCUCCUUCUUUUUUUUUCCUUUCUUCUUUGAUUUUCUUCCCAAUGCGCAUAUGGCCUUCUUGGGCUGUCCCACCAGCCCACUAAGGGCUGGUUCGCCACCCCCAAGGCCUAUGGGCUUCCCCGGGGUGGGUUGCCCCCCCCCCCGGUNCCCCCCCCCGGUGAACUCCCGGAACCCAUUCGUCAUUCCCGGUACAUUCCCGGUAAUUCCGAAAACCUUCCGGUAAUCAAAUGAGGUCAUCCUAUAUAUCAAUCUUUGUUUCCGGACCAUUCCGGAAACCCUCGUGACGUCCAUGAUCUCAUCCGGGACUCCGAACAACAUUCGGUAACCAACCAUAUAACUCAAAUACGCAUAAAAUAACGUCGAUCCUUAAGUGUGCAGACCCUACGGGUUCGAGAACUAUGUAGACAUGACCCGAGAGACUCCUCGGUCAAUAUCCAAUAGCGGGACAUGGAUGCCCAUAUUGGAUCCUACAUAUUCUACGAAGAUCUUAUCGUUUGAACCUCAGUGUCAAGGAUUCAUAUAAUCCCGUAUGUCAUUCCCUUUGUCCUUCGGUAUGUUACUUGCCCGAGAUUCGAUCGUCAGUAUCCGUAUACCUAUUUCAAUCUCGUUUACCGGCAAGUCUCUUUACUCGUUCCGUAAUACAAGAUCCCGCAACUUACAUUAAGUCACAUUGCUUGCAAGGCUUGUGUGUGAUGUUGUAUUACCGAGUGGGCCCCAAGAUACCUCUCCGUCACACGGAGUGACAAAUCCCAGUCUCGAUCCAUACUAACUCAACGAACACCUUCGGAGAUACCUGUAGAGCAUCUUUAUAGUCACCCAGUUACGUUGCGACGUUUGAUACACACAAAGCAUUCCUCUGGUGUCCGUGAGUUAUAUGAUCUCAUGGUCAUAGGAACAAAUACUUGACACGCAUAAAACAGUAGCAACAAAAUGACACGAUCAACAUGCUACGUCUAUUAGUUUGGGUCUAGUCCAUCACAUGAUUCUCCUAAUGAUGUGAUCCCUUUAUCAAGUGAUAACACUUGCAUAUGGUCAGGAAACCUUGACCAUCUUUGAUCAACGAGCUAGUCAACUAGAGGCUUACUAGGGACAGUGUUUUGUCUAUGUAUCCACACAUGCACUGUGUUUCCAAUCAAUACAAUUAUAGCAUGGAUAAUAAACGAUUAUCAUGAACUAAGAAAUAUAAUAAUAACUAAUUUAUUAUUGCCUCUAGGGCAUAUUUCCAACAUGUCCUUCGUUGCAAACAACGACCAAAAUAUCAAGACAAAUCAACAAGCCGGUGAGGCCGCCCGCCAGCAGGCGGCAGACCUCGCCAGCUUUGGGGACUACUGUCGGGGGGAUAACCCCGGGGUAGGCUCAUCGAGCCUGUUCCUUCAUUCCCGGCCCAAUGGGCAUGAAGGCGCAGAGAUUCUCAAGGCCCAAGUCUACUGACCGGCUAGGCAUCCCCUGCCGGUUGGAAGACGAGGCGGCCACCUUUCUGGCCGGCCAGGCAACCCCUGCCGGCUAGAAUCCAGGCGGCCUCCCCUUCGGACCCGGCCUGGUCCCGCCAACUGGGCUAAGGAGGAGGCGGCCACCCUCAAGCCGGCUGACCAAGCAGACUAGCCGGCCGAGGAUCACCAGUCACAUCAGAUCGUAGUUCAGGAAAGGACCUCACGAUUAAAGGUAGCUACGCAUCAGCAAAGGUAUUGAAUUAGGGUGCCCGGCAGGUACAUGCGUCGACGGCCACACCGCUGACCUACCCCGGCUCUGAUCCAUCACCUAGCCUGAUGUUGGACCGUCACACUCCCACUCCAUUACCGCACUCAGCGUGGGGAACAGUGGAGCCGGUCGUACUGCCUGCCCAUGAAGAAUCUCGCGGGGCAACGCUCGACGUACAACGCGUGCUCAGCGUCAACCUUACGCGGGAGCCCCAUUGGCCAGCCAGCGGGUCCCACAACAAUCGAGACCAUGCAGCCGGCGGGCCCCUCAUCGACAAGAUAAGACCCUUGUGGGCCCCUGGACAACCGGCGAAGCAGCCAGCCGGGUCCCACACAUGUACCCUUUAUCCAUAUUGUAGCCUGGUGGGUUCGUCUAUAAAACUCCCCGGCCGCCCCCCAUGCAAGGGGGCCGAUCACUUACCAGUCAUUCAACACUACACACUCACCAACCAACAGAGAGCGAGGUAGAAACGAGCCGGCUGCUCCCCUCUUCCUCCUCCCAACACAGCUCCAGGAGCAACAUUGUACUCUGUUCCCAUACAUCAAACACACAAGCAAGAUUAGGGGUAUUAUAUCUACGGAGAGCCCUGAACCUGGGUACAUCGUGCGUCCCAUGCGUGUACCAACCUCGUUCCCAGCGCCCACUUUUGUCCCUUCGGUUCUCAUCGACUUUAGCCUACCUAUGGCAUAUGUUGUGAGUAUUCACCCACACGAUGUCUCCUUGAAUCGCUACAAGGCAUGAUGGGUGGUUCGUGGUUUCACACAGCAGGCUGGCGUUGACUAUGUGGAGACCUUCAGCCCCGUGGUCAAGCUCGCUACAAUCCGCGUCGUGCUCAGCCUUGCCACCGUCAACAACUGGCCACUCCGGCAAAUGGAUGUCAAGAAUGCCUUCCUCCAUGGAGAUCUCGUUGAGACAGUCUACUGCCAACAACCCUCCGGCUUCGUCGAUACCACUCAUCCCACGCAUGGCUGCCGCCUCAACAAGUCCCUCUAUGGCCUCAAGCAGGCUCCCCGGACUUGGUUUCUUCUCUUCACUGGGUUUCUCCACACGCUUGGCUUUGUCUCAUCCAAGUGUGACACCUCGCUCUUCAUUCUUCGCCGAGAUUCCUCCAUGGCGUAUCUCCUUUUGUAUGUCGACGACAUCAUCUUGACAGCCAGCAACACCUCCCUCCUUGAGUCGCUUGUGUCAUCGCUUGCUCGCGAGUUCUCUAUGAGCGAUCUCGGAGAUAUUCACCACUUCCUAGGCAUCAACGUGCAUCGCAACACUGCCGGGUUGUUCUUGUCUCAGGAACAUUACGCCCUUGAGGUUUUGGAUCGUGCCAACAUGCUCAAUUGCCAUCUCGGCUCCACACCGAUUGACACCCGCUCUAAGCUCACGAGUGCGGUUGGCACCCCCUUCUCCGAUCCCACCAAAUAUUGUAGUAUCGCCGGUUGUCGGGGGGAUAAUCCCGGGGUAGGCUCAUCGAGCCUGUUCCUUCAUUCCCGGUCCAAUGGGCAUGAAGGCGCAGAGAUUCUCAAGGCCCAAGUCUUCUAACCGGCUAGGCAUCCCCUACCGGCUGGAAGACGAGGCAGCCACCUUUCUGGCCGGCCAGGCAACCCCUGUCGGCUAGAAUCCAGGCGGCCUCCCCUUCGGACCCGGCCUGGUCCCGCCAGCCGGGCUAAGGAGGAGGCGGCCACCCUCAAGCCGGCUGACCAAGCAGGCUAGCCAGCCGAGGAUCACCAGUCACAUCAGAUCGUAGGUCAGGAAAGGACCUCACGAUUAAAGGUAGCUACGCGUCAGCAAAGGUACUGAAUCAGGGCUCUCGGCAGGUACGAGCGUCGGCGGCCACGCCGCUGACCUACCGCGGCUCCGAUCCAUCACCUACCCUUAUGUCGGACCGUCACACUCCCACUCCAUUACUGCACUCGGCGUGGGGAACAGUGGAGGCAGUCGUACUGCCUGCCCAUGAAGAAUCUCGUGGGGCAACGCUCGACGUACAGCGUGUGCUCAGCGUCAACCGUACGCGGGCGCCCCAUUGGCCAGCCGGCGGGUCCCACAGCAAUCGAGACCAUGCAGCCGGCGGGCCCCUCAUCGACAAGACAAGACCCUUGUGGGCCCCUGGCCAACCGGCGAAGCAGCCAGCAGGGUCCCACGCAUGUACCCUUUAUCCAUAUUGUAGGCCGGCGGGUUCGUCUAUAAAACCCCCCGGCCGCCCCCCAAUGCAAGGAGGCCGAUCACUUACCAGUCAUUCAACACUACACACUCACCAACCAACAGAGAGCGAGGUAGAGACGAGCCGGCUGCUCCCCUCUUCCUCCUCCCAACACAGCUCCAGGAGCAACAUUGUACUCUGUUCCCAUACAUCACACACACAAGCAGGAUUAGGUGUAUUAUCUCUAUGGAGAGCCCUGAACCUGGGUACAUCGUGCGUCCCAUGCGUGUACCAACCUUGUUCCCAGCGCCCACCUUUGUCCCUUUGGUUCUCACCGACUUUAGCCUACCUAUGGCAUAUGUUGUGAGUAUUCACUGACAUUUGGCGCCCACUGUGGGGCCGAUCGCGGCAUCAGCUGGCUUCACGCGCUGGGCGGGGCCCCGCACCUACACCACCAGAUUCAUCGCGUCCGGAUCAGUUUGCAUGCCCGUGGAGCUCGCUUUCGACGAGGCGACGCCCAUGAUGAUCGACGUCCCCGUCCGCCAUGCGGAUUCGGACGAAGAUUCCGAUGACGAGGCACUCCCUAGCGUCAUCGUCGCUGCUAUGGGGAACCUGAGUGCUCUUCGCCUCAAUGACGGCCCAUGCUACUUCGGCGAGGACUACGACGUUGAGGCACUCUGCGCCAGCUUCAGCACGCUCUCUAUCGCUGAGACGCCUGCCCAGGACGUUUAGCCCAGUAACGUCCUCAUCUUCGAUGGCCCUCCACCGUCUGUGGGGUUCUUCACCCCAUACCACGUCGCUGCCGUCUCCAACGCCGUGGAGGUGAUGGUUAUCGGCGCCGGCACCAGCACGGCUCCCGGCAAGGCCUCCAGGGAGCUGGCGAGCCCGCUGCAGCCGCCGCAGACACUCUUCGGGACGCCAUCGCCGGCCUGAAGACACCGAUUACCGCUUCUGCCGACCCUGUAGACGCUCGGGCCUCACUGGAGGAGGCUCGCAAGCGUAUCUUGGAGGAGGUCAUCGCCGUGGCCUCGGCAAAACAUCGGUUGGAGGCUACACAUCGUGAGUAUAACUCCGCAUAUGGUCUUACUCCGAUUUACGAGGCCCCCAGUCGGCUUGGAUCGGUCCGCAGUCGCGGACGGUUCGUCGCCGAAGUUCUAGGCGGGGACCUGCCCACCUACGAGACUCCUGCGGCCAACAUGCGGACGGCGCACGCGGCCAUGGAGGAGAUGGCAAGCCUGGAAGGCGAGGAGCGCGCCUUCCAGGAGAAGCGUGUCAAGGAUCUCCUUGACGCUGCUACCCAGCAGCACGCUCGGUUCGACCCUGGCCAGGCUCAUUCAGAGUCCCCGGGACCAAACUCGGGGGCUCGCCGCAACCCUAGUGGCCAGCACCACGCUGAAGGAUCUUCCUCGCAUCGCCCUUCCGGCUGGAGGGGCGAGGGAAGCCAAGGCCGGCACUCGCAGCACCAGAGCGAGCACACAUCGGGCCUAUGUCGCGGAGGCGACGAUGGCGACUCGGAGUACGGGGAUCUUCCCCCGCGAAGAACUCACGCAUCCGGCUCCCAAGGAGCCUCCCCUCUCGCCACCGGGGCUGGCGCCCCCGCCUCCCAGGACGAGCGGGACGCCCGCCGGCGUAUCAUCGCCCUGGCCUAUUCGGACCUCCUAGAGGAAGACGGACCCGUCGAUCCGGCUUGCUUCGGUCCCCGGAUCCGAGGGGAGCCGUUCCCCCGAGGUUUCACCCUACCUCGGGAUACGUCGAAAUAUAACGGCACGGCUAAGCCAGAAGACUGGCUGAUCGACUACACCACGGCCGUAGGCAUCGCGAGGGGCAACAAGCGCGUAGCGGUUCCCUACGUGCCACUCAUGCUAGCCGGCUCGGCCCGGACCUGGCUUAACAGCCUCCCGGCCGGCAGCGUCAACUCCUGGGUGGACUUCGAGGAGGCGUUCGUCCACAACUUCACCGGCACCUACAAGCGCCCUGGUCGGCCUUGCGAGCUGGCCAUUUUCGUCCAGAAGGCCGACGAACCCCUCCGAGACUACGUCACCCGGCCGGUGGACCGAGCUCCGCAACUCCUAUGAGGGGGUGCAUGAGGUACAAGCCAUACAGUACUUCAUUGACGGAUGCCGAGACGGCACCCUCCUCAAGCACAAGCUCAUGUGCGCCGAGCCCAGCUCCUUGGCGGUGCUCAUGGCCAAGACGGACAAGUACGCCACGGCCGACUCCGGAAUGUGCAUCAAGGUGACCGCCUCGGACAAGGUUGUGCCUGCGCCGGCUACUCCCAAGCCGGCUGGGGACAACCGAGGCGGCCAGAACAACUACAAGCGCAAGGCCAAUCAGAUGGCUAACAACAAGCUAGUGGCCAACAUGGAGGGAGAGGCGUCGGCUUCCCAAGCCGGCCCUCCACGAAAGCGUCGCAAUCAGGGCAACCCCAACUGGCUGCCCAAGCAGUCUCUCGAGAAGCUGCUCAACGCCCCCUGCAAGAUACAUUUGGGGGCGGCGCCGUCUACCCAUACCCUUCGAUAGUGCAGCAUCGCACGCCGGCUGUCGCAAGGGGAGGGCCUGCCGGCUCCUCCGGGUGCGCAGGCGGCGCCCUGUGCACCGGCUCCCCAUCACGCUCCGCUUCCACCGCCGCCGCCUCGCGACGACGGCCCACACCCUGACGACUACCCGCAUCAAGACGGAGCGUUCGUUGUCUUCACCAGUGAAGGCGACGACAAGCACAGCCUGCGCCAAAGGCGGCGCGAGGUAAACGCCACUGUCCCCCUCCCCCCGGUUCCCCAGUACAUGCAUUUGUCUGACAAACCAAUUACAUGGAGCCGGGUGGAACACCCUGUGGUGAUGCCCAACCCGGGGUCAUACGCACUUGUCCUCGACCCCACCUUCGCCUCCAAAAGGCUAACCUGCCGAUUCUCCCGGGUGCUGGUCAACGGCGGCAGCAGCAUUAACAUCCUCUACCUCGACACUCUCCGCAAGCUCGGGCUCAAGGAGACGGACGUCCUGCCAACCAGCACUGUCUUCCAUGGCAUCGUGCCUCCACUACAGGAAUCGGGCAUUUUGCCGUCAAGACGCUAAAGACGGCAAAGAGAGAAUUACAGACGGCAAAUUUUUUGCCGUCAGCCCAUGACGGCAAAAAAUGUCGUCAGACCAUGUGCCCGCAAAGGGUAAUUUCGCCGUCAGCAUUUUUUCGGGCAGACGGCUAAAUAUUUUCCGUUAGUGAAAAUGGUUUGCCGUCAUCUAUUAUGAGGCAGACGGCAAAAAACCUAAAAUAACCACCCGGACCGCGUUAACUCUUUGCCGUCAUCCGACCGGAAUGCAAGACGACAAAGAUUACGGGUUUGCCGUCAGUUGUUAUCAAUACCAGACGGCAAAGAAAUUUUCUUUUAAAAAUAAAAUAAACAACAAUCCUCAGUUAUCAAAAAAUGUAUUGCAUAACACAUAAUCUUCAUUAUUAAAAAACCCAAAAUAUAAACAACAAUCCUCAGUUAUCAAAAAGGCUCAAUCAUCAAUUAUCACAAAAUAUAUACACACUAUAAUGUACAUAAUACACACAAUGCAUCAUAAUACAUCGAGCGGAACCAGCCCCUUCUCCCGUCCUGACGCCCCCGCACAGGAGCGUCACUGCCCAACGCCCAGCCGCAUCGCGCUCUCGUCGACCUCGCCGGCCGGUCGCCGGUCGGAGCCCAGCCUCUUAUUCCUGCCCGCCUGGCGCGGUAGCGCUCCCCUGCGUGCGCUCGUGCUCCCGCCCCUGCGUCGUCUCCUGUAACGGAUGGAUGGAUGGAUGCGGAUGAAUGAUUUGUUGCUUGUUGGUAGAUGGAUGGAUGCAACGGAUCAGGAUUUGGGAAAGGUCACUCACGGACCCCAGCGGAGCCUGAGCAACCCACACCAUACGAACGUGCCAAUGGAGAUGGAGCUCUGGCCAUGGCCGAUAUGUGCGACGCUGGCGGUCGCCACGCUCCUCUACUACCUGGCCAGCCCGACACGCAGCCGCAGUGUGGGCACGGGGCUGAUGCGGAUGUCGUCGAGCCCCACGCCGCUGCCCGUCGCCGGCAACCUGCUCAGCCUCCGUCGCGGCAACCUCCACCACAUGGCCCCGUCAUGACGCUCCGUGGUGUCCUCGCGCGACGCGGCCCGGGAGGCGUUCACGAGGCACGACCCGCGCCUGGCCGCGCGCGUCGUGGAUAGGGGCGGCGGGGAGAUGGAUGGGGGCGGCGGGGGAGAUGGAUGGGGGCGGCGGGGGAGAUGGAUGGGGGCGGCGGGUGCGACGGGGGAGAUGGAUGGGGGCGGCGGGGGAGAUGGAUGGGUACGAGAGAGAAGACAGGUGGGGAGAGGAUAAGGUCGGGUGGAGGUGAGUGGUGGGCCAGCUGGGUUUUUUUUUGAGGGGACCAGCCGGGUUGAGUGGGUGGGAGAGCCAGCGACGGUGGGAUGGGCCGUCACGUCAUCGAUCGGUGGGAUCGAUCCGCGUGGUGUGCUUUCUCUUUGCCGUCAUCCGGUUAUUUUUCAAGACGGCAAAUUAAGUAUUUGCCGUCAUCCGGUUAUUUUUCAAGACGGCAAAUUAAGUCUUUGCCGUCAUCCGGUUAUUUUUCAAGACGGCAAAAUAUUUUUUCACCCACGUCCGUGCGUGGUGCGAUGGGGUGGGCUGGUGUGUCUCAGAUCUUUCCACGUCAUUGAUCCGCGUGAUCAAUCUGUGCGUUGUGCUUCUUAUUUUGCCGUCAUCUAGUUACUUUUACAGAGGGCAAAAUUAUUUUGCCAUCAUCCAGUUAUUUUCAAAGACGGCAAAAUAAUUUUGCCGUCAUCUAGUUAUUUUUACAGACGGAAAAAUACAUCUUUGCCGUCAUCCAGUUAUUUUUACAGAUGGCAAAAUAUUUUUUCACCCAUGUCCGUGCGUGGUGGGAUGGGGUAGGCUGGUGUGUCUCAGAUCUUGCCACGUCAUCGAUCCGCGUGAUCGAUCCGUGUGAUGUGCUUCUUCUUUGCCGUCAUCACUUUCUAUUACAGGCGGCAAAUUAUGUCUUUUCCGUCAUCCGCUUAUUUUUACAGACGGCAAAAUAAUUUUGCCGUCUGCAAUUUUUAUUAUAGACGGCAAAAUAAGUUUACGCCGGCAGUCAUUCUUUGCCGUCAGCAGCUGACGGCAACUGACGGCAAAAGUGCUCUUUGCCGUCAUCCACGAAGAAAAGCUGACGGCAAAGAUCUGAACAGACGGCAAAUUACCUGAUUCCCGUAGUGCUCGGCAGUCGUGCUCACCCAUCGGCAAGAUCCAGCUGGACGUCCUCUUCGGCGACAAGGCCCACUUCCGCCGAGAGUCCAUAUGGUUCGAGGUGGUGGACCUCAGCAGCCCGUAUCACACGUUGCUGGGGAGACUGGCUCUGGCCAAAUUCAUGGCUAUCCCGCACUACGCCUACCUGAAAAUGAAGAUGCUGGGUCCCAAGGCCAUCAUCACUGUUGUUGGCGACUACAAGAAGUCGCUCGAGUGUGCCCAAGAUAGCAGCCGCCUCGCCGACGCCUUGGUGAUUGCCGAGGAGAAGCGGCAGAUCGACCGGCUCGUGGCCCAGGCUACCGAGCAGCCGGCGAUUCCUUCUCCUCCGUCCCAAUCGGCCGGCGAGGGCUCUUUCAAGCCGGCUAAAGAGACCAAGCAGGUCCCACUCGACCCUGCCAACCCAAAGUAGUGCAUCACCAUCGGGGCUGGCCUCAGCCCCAAAUAGGAAGGCGAGCUCGUCGACUUCCUCCAUGAGAAUCGGGACAUCUUUGCAUGGUCCCCCAAGGACAUGUCGGGUGUUCCGAGGAAGUACGCCGAGCACAAACUUCACGUGCGACCGGAUGCAAAGCCGGUGAAACAACCUUUGCGCCGCUUCACCGAGGGGAAGCGGCGCACAAUUGGAGAAGAGAUUACCCAGCUCCUUGCAGCCGGCUUCAUCAUGGAGGUUUUCCACCCGGACUGGCUGGCGAACCCAGUCCUGGCGCUGAAGAAGAACAACACAUGGAGAAUGUGCAUCGACUACACUAGCCUGAAUAAGGCCUAUCCGAAAGACCCUUUCGUGUUGCCUAGGAUAGAUCAUGUGAUCGACUCCACUACAGGCUGCGAACUGCUGUCAUUUCUGGAUGCUUAUUCAGGCUACCAUCAAAUCAAGCGGGAUCCAGCUGAUCGCCUGAAGACCUCCUUCAUCAUGCCCUUCGGGGCCUACUGCUACACCACCAUGACGUUCGGUCUGAAGAACGCAUGUGCGACGUUCCAACGCUGCAUGCAGAAGUGCCUACUGUCACAGAUUGGUAGAAACAUCCACGUCUAUGUGGAUGACAUCAUCGUCAAGACGAAGCAGCACUUCAGCCUCCUCGACGACCUGCGAGAGACAUUCGCCAAUCUGCGCGAAUACAAGAUCCGGCUCAAUCCUGAGAAGUACGUCUUCGGGGUCCCAGACGGCAAACUCUUGGGGUUCUUCGUAUCUGUCCGCGGCAUCGAAGCGAACCCUGAGAAGAUCAGCACCAUCGAGCGGAUGGUGCGGCCGGCUCGGAUCCUCGACGUCCAGAAGCUUGCCGGCUGCUUGGCAUCCCUCAGCCGGUUCAUCAGCUGGCUUGGCGAGAAGGCCCUUCCACUCUACCAGCUCAUGAAGAAGACGACGAAGUUCGAGUGGGACGACCAGGCGGACGAAGCCUUCCGUGACCUCAAGCGGGUAAUCUCUAGCUUGCCAAUCUUGGCAGCCCCAUCUGAAAGGGAACCUGUUGGGGAACGUCGCAUGGGAAACAAAAAUUUUCCUACGCGCACGAAGACCUAGCAUGGUGAUGUCCAUCUACGAGAGGGGAUGAGUGAUCUACGUACCCUUGUAGAUCGUACAGCAGAAGCGUUAGUGAACGCGGUUGAUGUAGUGGAACGUCCUCACGUCCCUCGAUCCGCCCCGCGAACAAUCCCGCGAUCAGUCCCACGAUCUAGUACCGAACGGACGGCACCUCCGCGUUCAGCACACGUACAGCUCGACGAUGAUCUCGGUCUUCUUGAUCCAGCAAGAGAGACGGAGAGGUAGAAGAGUUCUCCGGCAGCGUGACGGCGCUCCGGAGGUUGGUUAUGACCUUGUCUCAGCAGGGCUCCGCUCGAGCUCCGCAGAAACGCGAUCUAGAGGAAAAACCGUGGAGGUAUGUGGUCAGGCUGCCGUGGAAAAGUCGUCUCAAAUCAGCCCUAAAACCUCCGUAUAUAUAGGUGGGAGGGAGGGGACCUUGCCUUGGGGCUCAAGGAGCCCCAAGGGGGUCGGCCGAGUCCAAGGGGGAAGGCUCGCCCCCCCAAACCGAGUUGGACUUGGUUUGGUGGGUGGGAGUCCUUCCUUCCCUUCCCACCUCCUUUUUUUUAUUUUCUCUUUGGUUUUCUUUCCUAGGCGCAUAGGGCCCUUUUGGGCUGUCCCACCAGCCCACUAAGGGCUGGUGUGCCACCCUCAAGGCCUAUGGGCUUCCCCAGGGUGGGUUGACCCCCCCCCCCCCCGGUGAACUCCCGGAACCCAUUCGUCAUUCCCGGUACAUUCCCGGUAACUCCGAAAACCUUCCGGUAAUCAAAUGAGGUCAUCCUAUAUAUCAAUCUUCGUUUCCGGACCAUUCCGGAAACCCUCGUGACGUCUGUGAUCUCAUCCGGGACUCCGAACAACAUUCGGUAACCAACCAUAUAACUCAAAUACGCAUAAAACAACGUCGAACCUUAAGUGUGCAGACCCUGCCGGUUCGAGAACUAUGUAGACAUGACCCGAGAGACUCCUCGGUCAAUAUCCAAUAGCGGGACCUGGAUGCCCAUAUUGGAUCCUACAUAUUCUACGAAGAUCUUAUCGUUUGAACGUCAGUGCCAAGGAUUCAUAUAAUCCCGUAUGCCAUUCCCUUUGUCCUUCGUUCUGUUACUUGCCCGAGAUUCGAUCGUCAGUAUCCGCAUACCUAUUUCAAUCUCGUUUACCGGCAAGUCUCUUUACUCGUUCCGCAAUACAAGAUCCCGCAACUUACACUAAGUUACAUUGCUUGCAAGGCUUGUGUGUGAUGUUGUAUUACCGAGUGGGCCCCGAGAUACCUCUCUGUCACACGGAGUGACAAAUCCCAGUCUUGAUCCAUACUAACUCAACUAACACCUUCGGAGAUACCUGUAGAGCAUCUUUAUAGUCACCCAAUUACGUUGCGACGUUUGAUACACACAAAGCAUUCCUCCGGUGUCAGUGAGUUAUAUGAUCUCAUGGUCAUAGGAAUAAAUACUUGACACGCAGAAAACAGUAGCAACAAUAUGACACGAUCAACAUGCUACGUCUAUUAGUUUGGGCCUAGCCCAUCACGUGAUUCUCUUAAUGACGUGAUCCAGUUAUCAACCAACAACACUUUGUUCAUAAUCAGAAGACACUGACUAUCUUUGAUCAACUGGCUAGCCAACUAGAGGCUUGCUAGGGACGGUGUUUUGUCUAUGUAUCCACACAUGUAAAUGAGUCUUCAUUCAAUACAAUUAUAGCAUGGAUAAUAAAGAUUAUCUUGAUACAGGAAUUAUAAUAAUAACUAUAUUUAUUAUUGCCUCUAGGGCAUAAUUCCAACAGUCUCCCACUUGCACUAGAGUCAAUAAUCUAGCCCUCACAUCAUCAUGUGAAUUACAUUGUAAUAAAUCUAACACCCAUACAGUUCUGGUGUUGAUCAUGCUUUGGCCGUGGAAGAGGUUUAGUCAGCGGGUCUGCUACAUUCAGAUCCGUGUGCACUUUGCAUAUAUUUACGUCCUCUCCCUCGACGUAGUCGCGGAUGAGGUUGAAGCGUCGUUUGAUGUGUCUGGUCUUCUUGUGAAACCGUGGUUCCUUUGCUAAGGCAAUGACACCCGUGUUGUCACAGAACAAGGUUAUUGGAUUCAGUGCGCUUGGCACCACUCCAAGAUCCGUCAUGAACUGCUUCAUCCAGACACUCUCCUUAGCCGCCUCCGAGGCAGCCAUGUACUCCGCUUCACAUGUAGAAUCUGCUACGACGCUUUGCUUGGAACUGCACCAGCUUACCGCACCCCCAUUAAGAAUAAAUACGUAUCCGGUUUGCGACUUAGAGUCGUCCGGAUCUGUGUCAAAGCUUGCAUCGACGUAACCUUUUACGACGAGCUCUUCGUCACCUCCAUACACGAGAAACAUCUCCUUAGUCCUUUUCAGGUACUUCAGGAUAUUCUUGACCGCUGUCCAGUGAUCCACUCCUGGAUUACUCUGGAACCUACCAGCCAUACUUAUGGCCAGGCUAACAUCCGGUCUUGUGCACAACAUUGCAUACAUGAUAGAACCUAUGGCUAAAGCAUAGGGGACGGAGCGCAUAUGUUCUCUAUCUUCAUCAGUUGCUGGGCACUGAGUCUUACUCAAUCUCGUACCUUGUAAAACUGGCAAGAACCCUUUCUUGGACUGUUCCAUUUUGAACCUCUUCAAAACAUUAUCAAGGUAUGUGCUUUGUGAAAGUCCUAUCACGCGUUUUGAUCUAUCCCUAUAGAUCUUAAUGCCUAGAAUGUAAGAAGCUUCUCCUAGGUCCUUCAUAGAGAAACUCUUAUUCAAGUAAUCCUUUAUGCUCUCUAAAAACUCCACGUUGUUUCCAAUCAGCAAUAUGUCAUCCACAUAUAAUCUUAGAAAUGCCACAGAGCUCCCACUCACUUUCUUGUAAAUACAAGAUUCUCCAACCACUUGUAUAAAUCCAAAUGGUUUGAUCACCUCAUCAAAGCGUUUGUUCCAACUCCAAGAUGCUUGCACCAGUCUAUAAAUGGAUCGCUGGAGCUUGCACACCUUGUUAGCAUUCUUAGGAUCGACAAAACCUUCGGGUUGUAUCAUAUACAACUCUUCCUUAAGGAAACCGUUAAGGAACGCCGUUUUGACAUCCAUCUGCCAGAUUUCAUAAUCGAAAAAUGCAGCUAUUGCUAACAUGAUUCUGACGGACUUAAGCAUCGCUACGGGUGAGAAUGUCUCAUCGUAGUCAACUCCUUGAACUUGUGAAAAACCCUUUGCCACAAGUCGAGCUUUAUAAACGGUCACAUUGCCGUCAGCGUCCGUCUUCCUCUUAAAAAUCCAUUUGUUCUGAAUAGCCUUGCGGCCCUCAGGUAGUACCUCCAAAGUCCACACGUUGUUCUCAUACAUGGAUCCUUUCUCGGACUUCAUCGCUUCUAGCCAUUUGUUGGAAUCUGGGCCCACCAUUGCUUCUUCAUAAUUUGCAGGUUCAUUGUUGUCUAACAACAUGAUUGAUAAGACGGGAUUACCGUACCACUCUGGAGCAGCACGUGGUCUCGUCGACCUGCGUGGUUCGACAGAAACUUGAACCGGAGUUUCAUGAUCAUCAUCAUUAACUUCCUCCUCAACCGGCGUCGCAACGACACAGGUUUCCCCUUGCCCUGUGCCACCAUCCAGAGGGAUGAGAGGUUCGACAACCUCGUCAAGUUCUAUCUUCCUCCCACUCAAUUCUCUCGAGAGAAACUCCUUCUCGAGAAAAGCUCCAUUUUUAGCAACAAACACUUUGCCCUCGGAUUUGAGAUAGAAGGUGUACCCAACUGUCUCUUUUGGGUAACCUAUGAAGACGCACUUUUCCGCUUUGGGUUCCAGCUUUUCAGGCUGAAGCUUUUUGACAUAAGCAUCACAUCCCCAAACUUUAAGAAACGACAACUUUGGCCUUUUGCCAUACCACAGUUCGUAUGGUGUCGUCUCAACGGAUUUUGAUGGUGCCCUAUUUAAAGUGAAUGCAGUUGUUUCUAAUGCAUAACCCCAAAACGAUAACGGCAAAUCGGUAAGAGACAUCAUAGAUCGCACCAUCUCUAAUAAAGUACGAUUACGACGUUCGGACACACCAUUACGCUGUGGUGUUCCAGGCAGUGUUAACUGUGAAACAAUUCCACAUUGUCUUAAGUGAGCACCAAACUCGAAACUCAGAUAUUCACCCCCACGAUCAGACCGUAGGAACUUGAUCUUCUUGUUACGAUGAUUUUCAACUUCACUCUGCAAUUGCUUGAACCUUUCAAAUGUUUCAGACUUGUGCUUCAUCAAGUAGACAUAACCAUAUCUACUCAAAUCGUCAGUGAAGGUGAGAAAAUAACGAUAUCCGCCGCGUGCCUCCACGCUCAUCGGACCACACACAUCGGUAUGUAUGAUUUCCAACAAGUCACUUGUACGCUCCAUUGUUCCGGAGAACGGAGUCUUAGUCAUCUUGCCCAUGAGGCAUGGUUCGCACGUGUCAAGUGAAUCAAAGUCAAGUGACUCCAAAAGUCCAUCAGCAUGGAGUUUCUUCAUGCGCUUUACACCAAUAUGACCUAAGCGGCAGUGCCAAAAAAUAUGGCGCUAUCAUUGUUAACUCUAACUCUUUUGGUCUCAAUGUUAUGUAUAUGCGUAUCGCUAUCAAGAUUCAAUAUGAACAAUCCUCUCACAUUAGGUGCAUGACCAUAAAAGAUGUUACUCAUAGAAAUAGAACAACCAUUAUUCUCUGACUUAAAAGAGUAACCGUCUCGCAAUAAACAAGAUCCAGAUAUAAUGUUCAUGCUCAACGCAGGCACUAAAUAACAAUGAUUUAAGUUCAUCACUAAUCCUGAUGGCAACUGAAGUGAAACUGUGCCGACGGCGAUUGCAUCAACCUUGGAACCAUUUCCUACGCGCAUCGUCACUUCAUCCUUUGCCAGCCUUCGUCUAUUCCGCAGUUCCUGUUUCGAGUUGCAAAUAUGAGCAACAGAACCGGUAUCGAAUACCCAGGCACUACUACGAGAGCCGGUUAAGUACACAUCAAUAACAUGUAUAUCAAAUAUACCUGAUUUUUCUUUGCCCGCCUUCUUAUCUGCCAGAUACUUGGGGCAAUUGCGCUUCCAGUGACACAUACCCUUGCAAUAGUAACACUCCGUUUCAGGCUUAGGUCCAGCUUUGGGUUUCUUCGUCGGAUUGGCAACAAGCUUGCCGCUCUUCUUUGAAUUACCCUUAUUGCCUUUGCCGUUUCUCUUGAAACUAGUGGUCUUAUUCACCAUCAACACUUGACGCUCUUUACGGAGUUCAGACUCUGCGACUUUCAGCAUCGCAAACAACUCGCCGGGAGACUUGUUCAUCCCUUGCAUGUUGUAGUUCAACACAAAGCCUUUAUAGCUUGGCGGCAGUUAUUGAAAGAUUCUGUCAGUGAUAGCCUCUUGCGGGAGUUCAAUACCCAGCUCAGCUAGACGGUUUGAGUACCCAGACAUUUUGAGCACAUGUUCACUUACAGACGAGUUCUCCUCCAUCUUGCAAGCAUAGAAUUUAUCGGAGGUCUCAUACCUCUCGAUCCGGGCGUUCUUCUGAAAGAUAAACUUCAACUCCUGGAACAUCUCAAAUGCUCCAUGACGCUCAAAGCGACGUUGAAGUCCCGGUUCUAAGCCAUACAAGACUGCACAUUGAACUAUUGAGUAGUCCUCCUUACGUGCCAACCAAGCGUUCUUAACAUCCUGAUCAGCCGUAGAGGGUGGUUCAUCUCCUAACGCAGCAUUAAGGACAUAAUCCUUCUUCCCAGCUUGUAAGAUUAGCUUAAGAUUACGAGCCCAGUCUACAAACUUGCUUCCAUCAUCUUUCAACUUAGCUUUCUCUAGGAACGUAUUAAAAAUCAGGAUGACUGUAGCGUGAGCCAUGAUCUACAACACAAAUAUAUUCAAAGUGGACUUAGACUAUGAUCAAGAUAAUUAGAGUUUAACUUAAUCAAAUUAUUCGCUAAACUCCCACUCGAAAAGUACAUCUCUCUAGUCAUUUGAGUGGUUCAUGAUCCACUUACACUAGCUUAAGUCCGAACAUCACGUGAGUUGAGUAUAGUUUCAGUGGUAAGCAUCUCUAUGCUAACCAUAUCAUCUAUAUGAUUCAUGAUCGACCUUUCGGUCUCAUGUGUUCCGAGGCCAUGUCUGCACAUGCUAGGCUCGUCAAGCUUAACCCGAGUGUUCCGCGUGCGCAACUGUUUUGCACCCGUUGUAUGUGAACAUUGAGUCUAUCACACCCGAUCAUCACGUGGUGUCUCGAAACGACGAACUGUAGCAACGGUGCACAGUCGGGGAGAACACAAUUUCGUCUUGAAAUUUUAGUGAGAGAUCACCUCAUAAUGCUACCGUCGUUCUAAGCAAAAUAAGGUGCAUAAAAGGAUUAACAUCACAUGCAAUUCAUAAGUGACAUGAUAUGGCCAUCAUCACGUGCUUCUUGAUCUCCAUCACCAAAGCACCGGCACGAUCUUCUUGUCACCGGCGCCACACCAUGAUCUCUAUCAACGUGUUGCCAUCGGGGCUGUCGUGCUACUCAUGCUAUUACUACUAAAGCUACAUCCUAGCAAAAUAGUAAACGCAUCUGCAAGCACAAACGUUAGUAUAAAGACAACCCUAUGGCUCCUGCCGGUUGCCGUACCAUCGACGUGCAAGUCGAUAUUUUCUAUUACAACAUGAUCGUCUCAUACAUCCAAUAUAUCACAUCACAUCGUUGGCCAUAUCACAUCACAAGCAUACCCUGCAAAAACAAGUUAGACGUCCUGUAAUUUUGUUGUUGCAUGUUUUACGUGGUGACCAUGGGUAUCUAGUAGGAUCGCAUCUUACUUACGCAAACACCACAACGGAGAUAUAUGAGUUGCUAUUUAACCUCAUCCAAGGACCUCCUCGGUCAAAUCCGAUUCAACUAAAGUUGGAGAAACCGACACUUGCCAGUCAUCUUUGAGCAACGGGGUUACUCGUAGCGAUGAAACCAGUCUCUCGUAAGCGUACGAGUAAUGUCGGUCCAAGCCGCUUCAAUCCAACAAUACCGCGGAAUCAAGAAAAGACUAAGGAGGGCAGCAAAACGCACAUCACCGCCCACAAAAACUUUUGUGUUCUACUUGAGAAGACAUCUGCGCAUGAACCUAGCUCAUGAUGCCACUGUUGGGGAACGUCGCAUGGGAAACAAAAAUUUUCCUACGCGCACGAAGACCUAUCAUGGUGAUGUCCAUCUACGAGAGGGGAUGAGUGAUCUACGUACCCUUGUAGAUCGUACAGCAGAAGCGUUAGUGAACGCGGUUGAUGUAGUGGAACGUCCUCACGUCCCUCGAUCCGCCCCGCGAACAAUCCCGCGAUCAGUCCCACGAUCUAGUACCGAACGGACGGCACCUCCGCGUUCAGCACACGUACAGCUCGACGAUGAUCUCGGCCUUCUUGAUCCAGCAAGAGAGACGGAGAGGUAGAAGAGUUCUCCGGCAGCGUGACGGCACUCCGGAGGUUGGUGAUGACCUUGUCUCAGCAGGGCUCCGCCCGAGCUCCGCAGAAACGCGAUCUAGAGGAAAAACCGUGGAGGUAUGUGGUCGGGCUGCCGUGGAAAAGUUGUCUCAAAUCAGCCCUAAAACCUCCGUAUAUAUAGGUGGGAGGGAGGGGACCUUGCCUUGGGGCCCAAGGAGCCCCAAGGGGGUCGUCCGAGUCCAAGGGGGAAGCCUCCCCCCCCCAAACCGAGUUGGACUUGGUUUGGUGGGUGGGAGUCCUUCCUUCCCUUCCCACCUCCUUAUUUUUCUUUUCUCUUUGAUUUUCUUUCCUAGGCGCAUAGGGCCCUUUUGGGCUGUCCCACCAGACCACUAAGGGCUGGUGUGCCACCCUCAAGGCCUAUGGGCUUCCCCAGGGUGGGUUGACCCCCCCCCCCCGGUGAACUCCCGGAACCCAUUCGUCAUUCCCGGUACAUUCCCGGUAACUCCGAAAACCUUCCGGUAAUCAAAUGAGGUCAUCCUAUAUAUCAAUCUUCGUUUCCGGACCAUUCCGGAAACCCUCGUGACGUCCGUGAUCUCAUCCGGGACUCCGAACAACAUUCGGUAACCAACCAUACAACUCAAAUACGCAUAAAACAACGUCGAACCUUAAGUGUGCAGACCCUACGGGUUCGAGAACUAUGUAGACAUGACCCAAGAGACUCCUCGGUCAAUAUCCAAUAGCGGGACCUGGAUGCCCAUAUUGGAUCCUACAUAUUCUACGAAGAUCUUAUCGUUUGAACCUCAGUGCCAAGGAUUCAUAUAAUCCCGUAUGUCAUUCCCUUUGUCCUUCGGUAUGUUACUUGCCCGAGAUUCGAUCGUCAGUAUCCGCAUACCUAUUUCAAUCUCGUUUACCGGCAAGUCUCUUUACUCGUUCUGCAAUACAAGAUCCCGCAACUUACACUAAGUUACAUUGCUUGCAAGGCUUGUGUGUGAUGUUGUAUUACCGAGUGGGCCCCGGGAUACCUCUCCGUCACACGGAGUGACAAAUCCCAGUCUUGAUCCAUACUAACUCAACUAACACCUUCGGAGAUACCUGUAGAGCAUCUUUAGAGUCACCCAGUUACGUUGCGACGUUUGAUACACACAAAGCAUUCCUCCGGUGUCAGUGAGUUAUAUGAUCUCAUGGUCAUAGGAAUAAAUACUUGACACGCAGAAAACAGUAGCAACAAAAUGACACGAUCAACAUGCUACGUCUAUUAGUUUGGGUCUAGUCCAUCACGUGAUUCUCCUAAUGACGUGAUCCAGUUAUCAAGCAACAACACUUUGUUCAUAAUCAGAAGACACUGACUAUCUUUGAUCAACUGGCUAGCCAACUAGAGGCUUGCUAGGGACGGUGUUUUGUCUAUGUAUCCACACAUGUAAAUGAGUCUUCAUUCAAUACAAUUAUAGCAUGGAUAAUAAACGAUUAUCUUGAUACAGGAAUUAUAAUAAUAACUAUAUUUAUUAUUGCCUCUAGGGCAUAAUUCCAACAGAACCCAUACUCAUAUAUAUCACGGUGACCACUCGCGUGGUCAGCGUAGUGUUGGUAGUUCAGCGUAAAGAGGAAGGCAAGGCCCUGCCAGUACAGCGCCCUGUCUACUACCUUAGCGAUUUCUUCUCCGCCUCUAAGCAGAACUACCCUCAUUAUCAGAAAAUGUGUUAUGGUGUUUACCUUGGUGCAAAGAAAUUAAAACAAUACUUCCAAGAGCGUGCCAUCACUGGGGUGAGCACGGCUCCACUCUCAGAGAUCGUGGGCAAGUAGGUUACCGUGAUGCCACGAGCAGAAUUGCCCAAUGGUCCAUCGCCAUGGCGGACCAUGACUUUCAGUACGAGCCUCGCACCGCCAUCAAAUCACAGGUGGUGGCCGACUUCUUAGUCGACUGAGCCGAGACCCAGUUCGAGCCACCGCCUCCAGACUCCACGCAUUGGCGGAUGCACUUCGACGGCUCGAAGAUGCGGACGAGACUAGGAGCCGGCAUCAUCUUGACGUCUCCGAAAGGGAACCAGCUCAAGUACGCUCUCCAGAUCCACUUCGCCGCCUCCAACAACGUCACCGAGUACGAAGCACUGGCCCACGGCCUCCGGCUUGCCAAGGAGAUUGGCAUCCGACGGCUCAUAUGCUUCGGCGAUUCGGACUUGGUGGUGCAGCAGGUCUCUGGCGAAUGGGAUGCCAGGGACGCCAACAUGGCAAGCUACCGCUUCCUCAUCCAGCAGCUCAGCGGCCCCUUCGAGGGUUGUGAGUUCCACCAUGUUCGCAUGGCAGAAAAUGAGGCGGCACACACACUAGCAAAGAUCGGCUCCACAAGGCAGGCCAUCCGAGCUGGCAUCUCCCUCGAGCAACUCCACAAGCCGUCUCCGGAGUCGGCAUCAAUCUUCGUACCGGUCAAAUCCACGAUACAAGUGCCGUCGGCUCCGCCAGUUAUGCCGGCUGCGGACCCCACGCCGGCUGCACUGACGGCUCCGGCUCCAAAUGCGGCACCGACUGAGUCUACGGUGCAAGCGCCGUCGGCUCCACCAACUACACCGGCUUCGGAUCCUAAUUCGGCUCCAUUGGUCCACCCAACUCCAACAACGACAACCCCGGCUCUGCCCGGGUUCGAAUCCUCCCAGUGGGUGGACGUCAUGGAGAUAGACGAGGAACCGGCUGCAGCAAUAGCACCAAAGAUGCCAUCAAGCUCGGGGGUUGCAGAAGCCCCAAACAGUCAAGACGAAGCGGAGGCGACUCUUGUGUCGGCUCCAUCAUGGGCUCAGGCCAUUCUGGCCUUCCUUCUUCGUGGCGAACUUCCUCAAAAUGAGGCGGAGGUGAGACAGACCCAGUGCACGUCCGCCGCUUACGCCAUCAUCAAUCGUGAGCUGGUGCGACGCAGCACGACCGGCGUGUUCCAACGUUGCGUCGAAUCAGAAAAAGGGCAGGAGAUCCUCAGAGACAUCCACUAGGGGGAGUGUGGGCAUCAUGCCGCCUCCAGAACCCUGGUAGCCAAAGCAUUCCGCCAUGGAUUCUACUGGCCCACGGCCCUCGAGGAGGUUGUGGAUCUGGUGGACAAAUGUGAAGGCUGCCAACGCUUUAGUGCACAGAGCCAUAUGCCGCCUUCAGCACUGAAAACCAUCCCCUUAUCAUGGACAUUCGCCGUCUGGGGACUGGACAUGGUUGGGCCCUUCAAGACGGCUCGCGGAGGGAUGACACAUCUUCUUGUAGCCGUCGACAAGUUCACCAAGUGGAUCGAAGCCAGGCCUAUCAAGAAGCUUGACGGCCCCACUGCUGUGAGGUUUAUCACGGACAUCUCUGUCCGAUAUGGCGUUCCCCACAACAUCAUCACCGACAACGACACCAACUUCGCCAAGGGCGCCCUGGCGCUCUACUGUUCCAAGGUAGGCAUCCGGCUCGACCUGGCCUCGGUGGCACACCCCCAGUCAAACGGCCAAGCGGAGAGGGCCAACGGCCUGAUCCUAGCCGGCAUCAAGCCAAGGCUGGUGGCACCACUGGUCAGGUCAGCCGGCUGCUGGAUCAAAGAACUGCCGGCUGUGCUAUGGAGCCUCCGCACCAUGCCCAACCGGUCGACCGGCUUCACUUCAUUCUUUCUGGUAUACGGGUCUGAGGCUAUCAUUCCCACGGAUGUCGAAUUCGACUCGCCUUGGGUCAACCUAUACACAGAAACGGAGGCAAAGGAGGCCAGAGAGGACGGUGUGGAUCUCCUCGCGGAAGCAAGGGACUUGGCUUUGAGCCGGACGGCCAUCUACCAACAGAAGCUAAGAUACUACCACAGCAAAAGGAUCAGGCCUCUCUCUUUUAGGGAGGGAGACUUGGUCCUCAGAAGAAUCCAGCGCACUGCCGGCCGGCACAAGCUCUCACCCCCUUGGGAGGGACCCUUCAUCAGUAGGGCGUUACACAACAACGCUUACUACCUGAUUGACGCCCAGAAGCCAAGGAAGCGCAAGAAGGACGACUCCGGCCAAGAAACAGAGCGCCCAUGGAACACGGCGUUGCUUCGCCCGUUCUAUUGCUAAAAGGCAGAAGACAAGCAAAGGAAAGAGCAUGCACAUGUAUCUUCCUCCCUCUUCAGGGAACAAAGAAGGCAAUAAAAAGGACAUGCUCCAUGUUUCUUUUUGUCAAGAGUUCUCACUCACGUUUACGGGCUACACAGCGUACCACCUCUUGCUGGCUUGCUCAAGCUCGGAGGCUACGCGGCGCGGCCCCUUGCUAGCUUAUAACAAGCUCGGGGGCUCGCCAGCCGCCUGAACGGUCAAACCCUUAUAACGGACACAUAGUGUACUGGCUAACCCCUGGUCCAUCGCUUGAACCUGCGGGCUGACUCCGGUCGCUCGGUUCGCGAUAUGACGCCAGGUAAGGUCGAAUACAUGCAAAGUCCGGCUAUACUUGGGACGACCGUCUCGUGCGGGCUCGAUCGUAUAUACGAUCUCCUUUAAGACUCAAGACGGACUCUGAUUGCCGAGACUCAAGACGGCCUCUGACUGCCGAGAACCACAAAUAUGGUGAAAAAAGCAGGCUCCAUGCUUUCUCUUGCUAAAAGAGUUUUCACUCAGUGUACGGGCUACACCACGUACCACCUCUUGCUGGCUUGCUCAAGCUCGGAGGCUACGCAGCGCGGCCCCUUGCUAGCUUUAAACAAGCUCGGGGGCUCGCCAGCCGCUCGGACGGUCAAUCCUUGUAGUCGGGCACAUAGUGUACAGGCUGAUUCCCGGUCCAUCUCUUGAACCUGCGGGCAGGCUCCGGUCGCUCGGUUCGCGAUGUGACGCCGGGUCAGGUCGAAUACAUGCACAGUCCGGCUAUACUAGUGACGACCGGCUCAAGUUGGUUCAUUCAAGCCGGCCUUUUAUUGGCUUAUGUCUUGUUCUUUACGUCUUGAUGGCUUCGGAUAAGAGAAGUCAACCAGGAAUCAAAAGACGGGAUCAUAAGACAACACGCUUGGUGACGAAUAUAAUGCUGAAUAUAUACAUUCAUAAAAAGCAUUGGCCCACGGCCCGCGUUCGUUACAUCCCUCCGGGGGUACAACCAAAAACACAAAAGGACAUCAGUCACGGGACAGCGGCCUCAAUGGUCAUCUCGGCUGCUGCUCCUGAUGUGGUAGCAUCGCCGCCUCCGGCUCCUCCCGAGGUGGAUGCGCCGUCUCCCCCGUUGCGGCCCCCGGCUCCGCUGAUCCCGGAGUUGGCAUACUCCCCACCGCUGGAGGCGGCUGCAGAUUUCCGCAGCCCAGGCCGCCUCGUCGGAGCUGCCAUCGGUGUCGUAGGGCUGAAGGCCGUGCACAUCCUCAGCGAUCAUACCGCCGUCUUCAUCCCACUCCAAGACGAAGUCGUCCCAGGCUGCGUACUCAGCCACGGCGCUGGCCCUCACCAGGAGCUCCUCCUCCAGGCCUUGCAGCUCCGCCUCUGAGCCGUCGCGCUGGGCAGCCAGCUUGCCCAUGUUCAGGUUGCGAUACCAUGACUUGGCCAAGCGCAGGGCCAUAUAAGCUCCAGACCACGCUGCGGAGGCUCGCCAGGCGUCGAGGCGCUCUCCACCCGCCGUGAGCCAACGGGCAAGACGGCUCAUGGUCGUCAGCUCCACGCCCUCCGGCCACAGGGCCGCCACCAUUGACGAACCCGCAACCUGGAGCUGAGUCACAGACUCGCCCACGACGUGCAGGCGGGCCCGAAGCCCCCACACCAAUCUCCUCGACGCUCCAGCCGGAGGUAGUAUCUACCUCCUCUCCAGCCACGCGGCGCUCCUCGCGGCACACCUCAACGGCAGUGUCGGCUGCGACCUGGGUCUCGGAGAAGAGAUCUGGGGUAAAGAUAGCCAGGACGUAAGAACACAGCAAGAGGAGGAGACGGCCAAAAAAACGCAAAACAAGGAAAGGAAACCUACGCUGGAAGGCGUUGUCGGUCUCAUGAAAGACCUCGAGGACCUCGCGCUCCCGCACCUCACUCGCAUGAGUGAGGCGGGCGAUUUCCUCCUAGAGGGUCCCGGCGGACUCCAGCGCCUUACCCAGCUGCGCUUGCUUCUGUGUAAGGGCUUCAUCCUUCGCCCUCAAGGCGGCGUCCUUGAGGUUCGCCUCCUCAAGAUGGAGCGACGCGAGGCGGUCCAUGUCAGCAGAGUUGGAGGCCUCCUUCUCCUGCAGCAUGGCCCGCAGCCGCUCCAGCUCGACCCGGCCGGUCGCCUGGAGCUCCUUCUUCUCCGCCUGAAGAAGGUCCAGCUGCUCUUGGAGCCGGCCGCCGGCUUCACGAAGGGCAUCACGCUCCGCGGCGGCCUCGCCUAGUCGGACUUCAAGCUCGGCGAUCUGGCUAUCAGCCCCCAGGUGCUGGUCCCGAAGCUCGUUGUACGCCUGUACCUGAGCAUCGUAUAGCGCCUGCCAAAGGGGAGAGAAAGCGAACAUGAUUAAGAUUCGACCUGGUUAAAAGCAUAACCAGCCCGAUUCUCGGGGGCUACACCGAGUGGGUGCGCUUGCGCGCCCCCACUGAAGAAAAAUAUGCAGAAGAAAAAGGCCUCCAAGAGAUUCGGACCGGUUGGCAAUCAACCCGCCCAAUUCUCGGGGGCUACACCUAGUGGGUGCGCUGUCGCGCCCCCACUGACGUCAAGAGAAGAGAAAAAAGCAAAAGAAAAACCAAAAAAGGCAAGGCCUACCUGGGUACGGGCUUCCAGGCGCUCCAUGUCGCCGCAUACCACGCGGGCCGCCUGCUCCACCUUCGACCGGCCGCUGUCAAACAGCAUCACCAGCUCCGGCACGCCGGAAAGAACGGUGCGAGCGGGCAUUCGCAGGCGGGCUGCGUUUGCCGCCCGUCAUGACUUCAUGGGCCGGCUCCCAGGCCGGCCCCCUGCCCUUGGCGCGACAUGGCCCUGCUGGGGGACGACGAUGGCGCCGGCUCCUGGUGCCGGCUCAACGGCCGGCUCGGGCGCCGCACCAGCCGGCGCUACCUCCUCCACAGGAGGCGGAUGAGCCGCGUCCGGCGCAUCCAUGGUCGCCCCUGGGGCGUCAGGGGCCGCGUCCGGCGCGGCCAGAUCCAGCACCGGCGCAUCAGGAGCUGCUUCGGCCCGGGGAGAAACCGGGAUCGUCUCUAGGUCCACCUGCUCCGGGGCUGCCGGCUCAGGCGGCUGGGUCCCUUCGGUCCUCGGGGUCGGCCUGGAGGCGGCCUCGCUAGCUGGCUCCUCCACACGAGCGUGUGCGGAGGGGUCCUGUCUAGCCUUUGCACGCUUCUCCGCCGGCCUCUCGACCCGGCUGAGGCAAGGCUGAUCUACGGCGGCCUUCCCCACAGCCGUGUCCCACCGGCGCUUGGACUCUAUCUCCAGCUCCCUAUCGGCAGCAACAGCUGCUGCCCAGCCGGCCCGCUCGGCCGCGGAGGCGGUGUCUUCAUCCGCAUCCUCCGCAUCCCUGUCAAGCCAAGCUUCUCAGGAACAAAGUUCAUCUCAAGAUAUGGACGGAAGAAGAGGAGGAAACCAUACCCGACAACUACUGGGACCUGCCUCCGACCACCGCCACGGCGCCUCUUGGCGUCGCCUGCUCGCUGCCUGGCUAGGGGACCCGACGCCGGUCGCUUAGAGGCCGGCCGGGAAGUUGUGGCACCCUUGCCCUUCUUCCCGACUGCCUUGUCUGCAGCGGUCGCUCCGCCACCUUGACGCCGGACGCGAGAUGGUAGUGGGCCGGUGACCUCCUCCACCUCGUCGGAGAGUCCCUCGAAGGCUACAUCAGAGUAGAAUGAGGCUUCCUCAUCGUCGUCCGUCCAGUCUGCUAGGGCGUGCCUCGGGUACUCACCAGACGGCUCGGUACCUUCCGACUCCAGGGGAUCUCCCGAGCCGGCGGAGGAGUCUGAGCGGGGCUCCAUCGCAUCCUCGUCCUCCAUCUCGGAGGCGCCGGACACCUCCACCUCAGGAGCAGGCGGACGGAGGGACCCCUGCAGGGUCUGGAACAUCUACAAGAAAGGAAUUUAACCAGGCUUAGCAAAUGCCACCGACUUCAGAACAAAACGACAGAAAAGAAGGGAGAAAGGCUACCAUCAGAGGCGGAUGCGCCUGGUUGAACGGGGCCAUCCCCCAUGUCCAUUUCCCGCCCUCAUCCAUGCGGGCGGUGGAGAUCAAGUUCACCCUUCACGCCACAGCACCCGGGGUGAACCUCUUGAUGGACAGCCGGUAUGGAUCAAGCCGGCCGCUCAUCUGGCAGACCAGAUGUGGCCGCCUCUGCAGAGGCAGAAUCUGGCGGACCACCAUGGUGGCAAGAAGGUCGCGGCCGAGGAGGCCGCUCUCCCUCAAGACAUCAAGGUAGGCGCGAAUAGGCGCCACCUCAGGAUGCUGCUUGGGAGUCUUCGCGUCCCAGUUUUGCCGCGUCGGAUGAGCGACGGCGAACGGGGGCAUGUUGAGAGCGUCCUGGGCCGGGUCGGUCCUCCUCACAUAGAAGAACCCCUUUUGCCAAUGCUUGGCGGAGUCCUGCAAAGGCAUCUGGGGAAAGCCCUGUUGGGGAACGUCGCAUGGGAAACAAAAAUUUUCCUACGCGCACGAAGACCUAUCAUGAUGAUGUCCAUCUACGAGAGGGGAUGAGUGAUCUACGUACCCUUGUAGAUCGUACAGCAGAAGCGUUAGAGAACGCGGUUGAUGUAGUGGAACGUCCUCACGUCCCUCGAUCCGCCCCGCGAACAAUCCCGCGAUCAGUCCCACGAUCUAGUACCGAACGGACGGCACCUCCGCGUUCAGCACACGUACAGCUCGACGAUGAUCUCGGCCUUCUUGAUCCAGCAAGAGAGACGGAGAGGUAGAAGAGUUCUCCGGCAGCGUGACGGCGCUACAGAGGUUGGUGAUGAUCUCAUCUCAGCAGGGCUCCGCCCGAGCUCCGCAGAAACGCGAUCUAGAGGAAAAACUAUGGAGGUAUGUGGUCGGGCAGCCGUGAGAAAGUCGUCUCAAUUAUGCCCUAAAAGCUCCAUAUAUAUAGGAGGAGGGAGGGGGACCUUGCCUUGGGGUCCAAGGGACCCUCAAGGGGUCGGCCGAGCCAAGGGGGGAGGACUCCCCCCCAAACCGAGUUGGACUUGGUUUGGUGGGAGGAGUCCCCCUCCCUUCCCACUUCUUCCCUCUUUUUUUUUCUUUUCCUUUGAUUUCCUUCUCUUGGCGCAUAGGUCCCCUUGGGGCUGUCCCACCAGCCCACUAAGGGCUGGUGUGUCUCCCCAAAGCCUAUGGGCUUCCCCGGGGUCGGGUUGCCCAACCCCCCCCCCCCCGGUCGAACUCCCGGAACCCAUUCGUCAUUCCCGGUACAUUCCCGGUAACUCCGAAAACCUUCCGGUAAUCAAAUGAGGUCAUCCUAUAUAUCAAUCUUCGUUUCCGGACCAUUCCGGAAACCCUCGUGACGUCCGUGAUCUCAUCCGGGACUCCGAACAACAUUCGGUAACCAACCAUAUAACUCAAAUACGCAUAAAACAACGUCGAACCUUANAUUGUAUUUUUUGCACUAGUUUUGUAUGUACGUAGUUUUAUGUGACAUAAUUUUUUUACAUUGAUUAUAUUAUUUUAUGGUCUCUUUUUACGUAUAAAAUAAGACAAAAAUUAUGAAACGUAAAAUUACGGUGAAUUGAUGUUAAAAUUGUUGGGGAACGUCGCAUGGGAAACAAAAAUUUUCCUACGCGCACGAAGACCUAUCAUGGUGAUGUCCAUCUACGAGAGGGGAUGACUGAUCUACGUACCCUUGUAGAUCGUACAGCAGAAGCGUUAGUGAACGCGGUUGAUGUAGUGGAACGUCCUCACGUCCCUCGAUCCGCCCCGCGAACAAUCCCGCGAUCAGUCCCACGAUCUAGUACCGAACGGACGGCACCUCCGCGUUCAGCACACGUACAGCUCGACGAUGAUCUCGGCCUUCUUGAUCCAGCAAGAGAGACGGAGAGGUAGAAGAGUUCUCCGGCAGCGUGACGGCGCUCCGGAGGUUGGUGAUGACCUUGUCUCAGCAGGGCUCCGCCCGAGCUCUGCAGAAACGCGAUCUAGAGGAAAAACCGUGGAGGUAUGUGGUCGGGCUGCCGUGGAAAAGUCGUCCCAAAUAAGCCCUAAAACCUCCGUAUAUAUAGGUGGGAGGGAGGGGACCUUGCCUUCGGGCUCAAGGAGCCCCAAGGGGGUCGGCCGAGUCCAAGGGGGAAGGCUCCCCCCCAAACCGAGUUGGACUUGGUUUGGUGGGUGGGAGUCCUUCCUUCCCUUCCCACCUCCUUUUUUCUUUUCUUUUCUCUUUGAUUUUCUUUCCUAGGCGCAUAGGGCCCUUUUGGGCUGUCCCACCAGCCCACUAAGGGAUGGUGUGCCACCCUCAAGGUCUAUGGGCUUCCCCAGGGUGGGUUGUCCCCCUCGGUGAACUCCCGGAACCCAUUCGUCAUUCCCGGUACAUUCCCGGUAACUCCGAAAACCUUCCGGUAAUCAAAUGAGGUCAUCCUAUAUAUCAAUCUUCGUUUCCGGACCAUUUCGGAAACCCUCGUGACGUCCGUGAUCUCAUCCGGGACUCCGAACAACAUUCGGUAACCAACCAUAUAACUCAAAUACGCAUAAAACAACGUCGAACCUUAAGUGUGCAGACCCUGCGGGUUCGAGAACUAUGUAGACAUGACCCGAGAGACUCCUCGGUCAAUAUCCAAUAGCGGGACCUGGAUGCCCAUAUUGGAUCCUACAUAUUCUACGAAGAUCUUAUCGUUUGAACCUCAGUGGCAAGGAUUCAUAUAAUCCCGUAUGUCAUUCCCUUUGUCCUUCGGUAUGUUACUUGCCCGAGAUUCGAUCGUCAGUAUCCGCAUACCUAUUUCAAUCUCGUUUACCGGCAAGUCUCUUUACUCGUUCCGCAAUACAAGAUCCCCCAACUUACACUAAGUUACAUUGCUUGCAAGGCUUGAGUGUGAUGUUGUAUUACCGAGUGGGCCCCGAGAUACCUCUCCGUCACACGGAGUGACAAAUCCCAGUCUUGAUCCAUACUAACUCAACGAACACCUUCGGAGAUACCUGUAGAGCAUCUUUAUAGUCACCCAGUUACGUUGCGACGUUUGAUGCACGCAAAGCAUUCCUCCGGUGUCAGUGAGUUAUAUGAUCUCAUGGUCAUAGGAAUAAAUACUUGACACGCAGAAAACAGUAGCAACAAAAUGACACGAUCAACAUGCUACGUCUAUUAGUUUGGGUCUAGUCCAUCACGUGAUUCUCCUAAUGACGUGAUCCAGUUAUCAAGCAACAACACUUUGUUCAUAAUCAGAAGACACUGACUAUCUUUGAUCAACUCGCUAGCCAACUAGAGGCUUGCUAGGGACGGUGUUUUGUCUAUGUAUCCACACAUGUAAAUGAGUCUUCAUUCAAUACAAUUAUAGCAUGGAUAAUAAACGAUUAUCUUGAUACAGGAAUUAUAAUAAUAACUAUAUUUAUUAUUGCCUCUAGGGCAUAACUCCAACAGUCUCCCACUUGCACUAGAGUCAAUAAUCUAGCCCUCACAUCAUCAUGUGAAUUACAUUGUAAUAAAUCUAACACCCAUACAGUUCUGGUGUUGAUCAUGCUUUGGCCGUGGAAGAGGUUUAGUCAGCGGGUCUGCUACAUUCAGAUCCGUGUGCACUUUGCAUAUAUUUACGUCUUCUCCCUCGACGUAGUCGCGGAUGAGGUUGAAGCGUCGUUUGAUGUGUCUGGUCUUCUUGUGAAACCGUGGUUCCUUUGCUAAGGCAAUGGCACCCGUGUUGUCACAGAACAAGGUUAUUGGAUUCAGUGCGCUUGGUACCACUCCAAGAUCCUCAUGAACUGCUUCAUCCAGACACCCUCCUUAGCCGCCUCCGAGGCAGCCAUGUACUCCGCUUCACAUGUAGAAUCUGCUACGACGCUUUGCUUGGAACUGCACCAGCUUACCGCACCCCCAUUAAAAAUAAAUACGUAUCCGGUUUGCGACUUAGAGUCGUCCGGAUCUGUGUCAAAGCUUGCAUCGACGUAACCUUUUACGGCGAGCUCUUCGUCACCUCCAUACACGAGAAACAUAUCCUUAGUCCUUUUCAGGUACUUCAGGAUAUUCUUGACCGCUGUCCAGUGAUCCACUCCUGGAUUACUCUAGAACCUACCUGCCAUACUUAUGGCCAGGCUAACAUCCGGUCUUGUGCACAACAUUGCAUACAUGAUAGAACCUAUGGCUGAAGCAUAGGGGACGGAGCGCAUAUGCUCUCUAUCUUCAUCAGUUGCUGGGCACUGAGUCUUACUCAAUCUCGUACCUUGUAAAACUGGCAAGAACCCUUUCUUGGACUGUUCCACUUUGAACCUCUUCAAAACUUUAUCAAGGUAUGUGCUUUGUGAAAGUCCUAUCAGGCGUUUUGAUCUAUCCCUAUAGAUCUUAAUGCCUAGAAUGUAAGCAGCUUCUCCUAGGUCCUUCAUAGAGAAACUCAUAUUCAAGUAAUCCUUUAUGCUCUCUAAAAACUCCACGUUGUUUCCAAUCAGCAAUAUGUCAUCCACAUAUAAUAUUAGAAACGCCACAGAGCUCCCACUCACUUUCUUGUAAAUACAAGAUUCUCCAACCACUUGUAUAAACCCAAAUGCUUUGAUCACCUCAUCAAAGCGUUUGUUCCAACUCCGAGAUGCUUGCACCAGUCCAUAAAUGGAUCGCUGGAGCUUGCACACCUUGUUAGCAUUCUUAUGAUCGACAAAACCUUCGGGUUGUAUCAUAUACAACUCUUCCUUAAGGAAACCGUUAAGGAACGCCGUUUUGACAUCCAUCUGCCAGAUUUCAUAAUCGAAAAAUGCAGCUAUUGCUAACAUGAUUCUGACGGACUUAAGCAUCGCUACGGGUGAGAAUGUCUCAUCGUAGUCAACUCCUUGAACUUGUGAAAAACCCUUUGCCACAAGUCGAGCUUUAUAAACGGUCACAUUGCCGUCAGCGUCCGUCUUCCUCUUAAAAAUCCAUUUGUUCUGAAUAGCCUUGCGGCCCUCAGGUAGUACCUCCAAAGUCCACACUUUGUUCUCAUACAUGGAUCCUAUCUCGGACUUCAUGGCUUCUAGCCAUUUGUUGGAAUCUGGGCCCACCAUUGCUUCUUCAUAAUUUGCAGGUUCAUUGUUGUCUAACAACAUGAUUGAUAAGACAGGAUUACCGUACCACUCUGGAGCAGCACGUGGUCUCGUCGACCUGCGUGGUUUGACAGAAACUUGAACCGGAGUUUCAUGAUCAUCAUCAUUAACUUCCUCUUCAACCGGCGUCGCAACGACAGAGGUUUCCCCUUGCCCUGCGCCACCAUCCAGAGGGAUGAGAGGUUCGACAACCUCGUCAAGUUCUAUCUUCCUCCCACUCAAUUCUCUCGAGAGAAACUCCUUCUCGAGAAAAGCUCCGUUUUUAGCAACAAACACUUUGCCCUCGGAUUUGAGAUAGAAGGUGUACCCAACUGUCUCUUUUGGGUAACCUAUGAAGACGCACUUUUCCGCUUUGGGUUCCAGCUUUUCAGGCUGAAGCUUUUUGACAUAAGCAUCACAUCCCCAAACUUUAAGAAACGACAACUUUGGCCUUUUGCCAUACCACAGUUCGUAUGGUGUCGUCUCAACGGAUUUUGAUGGUGCCCUAUUUAAAGUGAAUGCAGCUGUUUCUAAUGCAUAACCCCAAAACGAUAACGGCAAAUCGGUAAGAGACAUCAUAGAUCGCACCAUCUCUAAUAAAGUACGAUUACGACGUUCGGACACACCAUUACGCUGUGGUGUUCCAGGCGGUGUUAACUGUGAAACAAUUCCACAUUGUCUUAAGUGAGCACCAAACUCGAAACUCAGAUAGUCACCCCCACGAUCAGACCGUAGGAACUUGAUCUUCUUGUUACGAUGAUUUUCAACUUCACUCUGAAAUUGCUUGAACCUUUCAAAUGUUUCAGACUUGUGCUUCAUCAAGUAGACAUAACCAUAUCUACUCAAAUCGUCAGUGAAGGUGAGAAAAUAACGAUAUCCGCCGCGUGCCUCCACGCUCAUCGGACCACACACAUCGGUAUGUAUGAUUUCCAACAAGUCACUUGCACGCUCCAUUGUUCCGGAGAACGGAGUCUUAGUCAUCUUGCCCAUGAGGCAUGGUUCGCACGUGUCAAGUGAAUCAAAGUCAAGUGACUCCAAAAGUCCAUCAGCAUGGAGUUUCUUCAUGCGCUUUACACCAAUAUGACCUAAGCGGCAGUGCCACAAAAAUAUGGCGCUAUCAUUGUUAACUCUAACUCUUUUGGUCUCAAUGUUAUGUAUAUGCGUAUCGCUAUCAAGAUUCAAUAUGAACAAUCCUCUCACAUUAGGUGCAUGACCAUAAAAGAUGUUACUCAUAGAAAUAGAACAACCAUUAUUCUCUGACUUAAAAGAGUAACCGUCUCGCAAUAAACAAGAUCCAGAUAUAAUGUUCAUGCUCAACGCAGACACUAAAUAACAAUGAUUUAAGUUCAUCACUAAUCCUGAUGGCAACUGAAGUGAAACUGUGCCGACGGCGAUUGCAUCAACCUUGGAACCAUUUCCUACGCGCAUCGUCACUUCAUCCUUUGCCAGCCUUCGUCUAUUCCGCAGUUCCUGUUUCGAGUUGCAAAUAUGAGCAAUAGAACCGGUAUCGAAUACCCAGGCACUACUACGAGAGCCGGUUAAGUACACAUCAAUAACAUGUAUAUCAAAUAUACCUGAUUUUUCUUUGGCCGCCUUCUUAUCUGCCAGAUACUUGGGGCAAUUGCGCUUCCAGUGACCCAUACCCUUGCAAUAGUAACACUCCGUUUCAGGCUUAGGUCCAGCUUUGGGUUUCUUCGUCGGAUUGGCAACAGGCUUGCCGCUCUUCUUUGAAUUACCCUUCUUGCCUUUGCCGUUUCUCUUGAAACUAGUGGUCUUAUUCACCAUCAACACUUGAUGCUCUUUAUGGAGUUCAGACUCUGCGACUUUCAGCAUCGCAAACAACUCGCCGAGAGACUUGUUCAUCCCUUGCAUGUUGUAGUUCAACACAAAGCCUUUAUAGCUUGGCGGCAGUGAUUGAAGGAUUCUGUCAAUGAUAGCCUCUUGCGGGAGUUCAAUACCCAGCUCAGCUAGACGGUUUGAGUAUCCAGACAUUUUGAGCACAUGUUCACUGACAGACGAGUUCUCCUCCAUCUUGCAAGCAUAGAAUUUAUCGGAGGUUUCAUACCUCUCGACCCGGGCGUUCUUCUGAAAGAUAAACUUCAACUCCUGGAACAUCUCAAAUGUUCCAUGACGCUCAAAGCGACGUUGAAGUCCCGGUUCUAAGCCAUACAAGACUGCACAUUGAACUAUUGAGUAGUCCUCCUUACGUGCCAACCAAGCGUUCUUAACAUCCUGAUCAGCCGUAGCGGGUGGUUCAUCUCCUAGCGCAACAUUAAGGACAUAAUCCUUCUUCCCAGCUUGUAAGAUUAGCUUAAGAUUACGAGCCCAGUCUACAAAGUUGCUUCCAUCAUCUUUCAACUUAGCUUUCUCUAGGAACGUAUUAAAAUUCAGGAUGACUGUAGCGUGAGCCAUGAUCUACAACACAAAUAUAUUCAAAGUGGACUUAGACUAUGAUCAAGAUAAUUAGAGUUUAACUUAAUCAAAUUAUUCGCUAAACUCCCACUCAAAAAGUACAUCUCUCUAGUCAUUUGAGUGGUUCAUGAUCCACUUACACUAGCUCAAGUCCGAUCAUCACGUGAGUUGAGUAUAGUUUCAGUGGUAAGCAUCCCUAUGCUAAUCAUAUCAUCUAUAUGAUUCAUGAUCGACCUUUCGGUCUCAUGUGUUCCGAGGCCAUGUCUGCACAUGCUAGGCUCGUCAAGCUUAACCCGAGUGUUCCGCGUGCGCAACUGUUUUGCACCCGUUGUAUGUAAACGUUGAGUCUAUCACACCCGAUCAUCACGUGGUGUCUCGAAACGACGAACUGUAGCAACGGUGCACAGUCGGGGAGAACACAAUUUCGUCUUGAAAUUUUAGUGAGAGAUCACCUCAUAAUGCUACCGUCGUUCUAAGCAAAAUAAGGUGCAUAAAAGGAUUUACAUCACAUGCAAUUCAUAAGUGACAUGAUAUGGCCAUCAUCACGUGCUUCUUGAUCUCCAUCACCAAAGCACCGACACGAUCUUCUUGUCACCGGCGCCACACCAUGAUCUCCAUCAACGUGUUGCCAUCGGGGUUGUCGUGCUACUCAUGCUAUUACUACUAAAGCUACAUCCUAGCAAAAUAGUAAACGCAUCUGCAAGCACAAACGUUAGUAUAAAGACAACCCUAUGACUCCUGCCGGUUUCCGUACCAUCGACGUGCAAGUCGAUAUUUUCUAUUACAACAUGAUCAUCUCAUACAUCCAAUAUAUCACAUCACAUCGUUGGCCAUAUCACAUCACAAGCAUACCCUGCAAAAACAAGUUAGACGUCCUGUAAUUUUGUUGUUGCAUGUUUUACGUGGUGACCAUGGGUAUCUAGUAGGAUCGUAUCUUACUUACGCAAACACCACAACGGAGAUAUAUGAGUUGCUAUUUAACCUCAUCCAAGGACCUCCUCGGUCAAAUCCGAUUCAAGAAACCGACACUUGCCAGUCAUCUUUGAGCAACGGGGUUAUUCGUAGCGAUGAAACCAGUCUCUCGUAAGCGUACGAGUAAUGUCGGUCCAAGCCGCUUCAAUCCAACAAUACCGCGGAAUCAAGAAAAGACUAAGGAGGGCAGCAAAACGCACAUCACCGCCCACAAAAACUUUUGUGUUCUACUCGAGAAGACAUCUACGCAUGAACCUAGCUCAUGAUGCCACUGUUGGGGAACGUCGCAUGGGAAACAAAAAUUUUCCUACGCGCACGAAGACCUAUCAUGGUGAUGUCCAUAUACGAGAGGGGAUGAGUGAUCUAUGUACCCUUGUAGAUCGUACAGCAGAAGCGUUAGUGAACGCGGUUGAUGUAGUGGAACGUCCUCACGUCCCUCGAUCCGCCCCGCGAACAAUCCCGCGAUCAGUCCCACGAUCUAGUACCGAACGGACGGCACCUCCGCGUUCAGCACACGUACAGCUCGACGAUGAUCUCGGCCUUCUUGACCCAGCAAGAGAGACGGAGAGGUAGAAGAGUUCUCCGGCAGCGUGACGGUGCUCCGGAGGUUGGUGAUGACCUUGUCUCAGCAGGGCUCCGCCCGAGCUCCGCAGAAACGCGAUCUAGAGGAAAAACCGUGGAGGUAUGUGGUCGGGCUGCCGUGGAAAAGUCGUCUCAAAUCAGCCCUAAAACCUCCGUAUAUAUAGGUGGGAGGGAGGGGACCUUGCCUUGGGGCUCAAGGAGCCCCAAGGGGGUCGGCCGAGUCCAAGGGGGAAGGCUCCCCCCAAACCGAGUUGGACUUGGUUUGGUGGGUGGGAGUCCUUCCUUCCCUUCCCACCUCCUUUUUUUUUCUUUUCUCUUUGAUUUUCUUUCCUAGGCGCAUAGGGCCCUUUUGGGCUGUCCCACCAGCCCACUAAGGGCUGGUGUGCCACCCUCAAGGCCUAUGGGCUUCCCCAGGGUGGGUUGACCCCCCCCCCCCGGUGAACUCCCGGAACCCAUUCGUCAUUCCCGGUACAUUCCCGGUAACUCCGAAAAUCUUCCGGUAAUCAAAUGAGGUCAUCCUAUAUAUCAAUCUUCGUUUCCGGACCAUUCCGGAAACCCUCGUGACGUCCGUGAUCUCAUCCGGGACUCCGAACAACAUUCGGUAACCAACCACAUAACUCAAAUACGCAUAAAACAACGUCGAACCUUAAGUGUGCAGACCCUGCGGGUUCGAGAACUAUGUAGACAUGACCCGAGAGACUCCUCAGUCAAUAUCCAAUAGCGGGACCUGGAUGCCCAUAUUGGAUCCUACAUAUUCUACGAAGAUCUUAUCGUUUGAACCUCAGUGCCAAGGAUUCAUAUAAUCCCGUAUGUCAUUCCCUUUGUCCUUCGGUAUGUUACUUGCCCGAGAUCCGAUCGUCAGUAUCCGCAUACCUAUUUCAAUCUCGUUUACCGGCAAGUCUCUUUACUCGUUCCGCAAUACAAGAUCCCGCAACUUACACUAAGUUACAUUGCUUGCAAGGCUUGUGUGUGAUGUUGUAUUACCGAGUGGGCCCCGAGAUACCUCUCCGUCACACGGAGUGACAAAUCCCAGUCUUGAUCCAUACUAACUCAACUAACACCUUCGGAGAUACCUGUAGAGCAUCUUUAUAGUCACCCAGUUACGUUGCGACGUUUGAUACACACAAAGCAUUCCUCCGGUGUCAGUGAGUUAUAUGAUCUCAUGGUCAUAGGAAUAAAUACUUGACACGCAGAAAACAGUAGCAACAAAAUGACACGAUCAACAUGCUACGUCUAUUAGUUUGGGUCUAGUCCAUCACGUGAUUCUCCUAAUGACGUGAUCCAGUUAUCAAGCAACAACACUUUGUUCAUAAUCAGAAGACACUGACUAUCUUUGAUCAACUCGCUAGCCAACUAGAGGCUUGCUAGGGACGGUGUUUUGUCUAUGUAUCCACACAUGUAAAUGAGUCUUCAUUCAAUACAAUUAUAGCAUGGAUAAUAAACGAUUAUCUUGAUACAGGAAUUAUAAUAAUAACUAUAUUUAUUAUUGCCUCUAGGGCAUAAUUCCAACAAAAAUAGAGGGGGUGAAGAAUAACUAUUCCUCACCCAGGGUGACGAAUAGCGCGACCCUGGAUUGCAUACGAGCAAUUCAAGAGGAAUUGACGGGAUUCUUUAUUGAGCAUGUCAUACCAUCAGAUGGAGAAUAUCAUCAGGAUUUCUUACCGAUUUUGGUGGGCGAUAGAUAUUAGCUAGUUAGGGAUUGCAAGAGAUAUUAUAUAUUGUAUAUAUGUAUGAUCCUGUACUAUAUGUAGUAGCGUCGAGUUGUUUGACCAAGCACGGAGAAAGAGAGGUCAUUUCACUCUAUAUAUGUUCAUGACGAUGUUGUGUAAUUAAUGGUUCCUUCAUUUACUUACUAGCUAACAUCAAGUUCUCUCUAUAUGUAGUAGGUACCGUCGACCAAGCACGGAGAAAGAAAUGUCACUUCUCUCUAUAUGUAGUAGCUAUCUAACACAAUAUGAAACCCCUAAUAAAACCCUCCAAAACCCCUACGCCCCCCUCAUUUAAAAAAACAAAGAACCCAACGCCUACGAGCUGCUGACGCGUGACUGCCUUUGGGUCCCGGUUGGUGUUACCAACCGGGACUAAAGGUCCUCCUGCCUGGGCGCCUCGCAACGGCCGCGUGGAGAUCCUUUGGGUCCGGUUCAUAAGCCAAUCGGGACUAAAUGUUUGGGCCUUUAGUCCCGAUUGUUUUGUCCCGGUUGAAGAACUGGGACUAAAGCCCCUCUGGAACCGAGACUAAAUCCCAAUUUUCUACUAGUGAUAUAUCAUAUUUGAUGCUUGAUUAUAUACUGUUUCAAUUUUUCAUGAUUUAACAGAAACGCUAAAUAAGGUUUAGAUCCGGUAUAGCUCCGCUAUAGCCUUUCAUAGCUUCUGAUCGAGUCGCUGCUAAAUGGCAUAGCCCACUAUUUAAAGCAUUGAAAAUAAUUGACCUGGCGUUAUGGAAAAUGCUUUUAGUUUGUCCUGUACAAAAAAAACUUCCACUUAAUAGUUUAUUUCAGUAUUUUUCAGUCGGGCGUAGUUUAAAUGAUGUCCAUUAUAAAUUGUAAUCUGCAGGCACUUGGAACCAAGGGAAAUAUCAAUGCAUCUGCCCAUUUAAUCUGCACGUGGUUUGAAGAUAUUCUGGGGAGUUAGUUUCAUAUUAGGAGGGGUUUAGCGAAGUAUUUCAACUAGAACUAGAUAAAAAUGAGGAAUUAGAUAAGCCUUAGUUUUUCAUCUUUGCAAAACAUGCCUUAGGUAAUCUCAAUAUCUCAAAUGAAUGAUAUUUUCUUAUUUUUCAUUUUUUAGUCCCUGAUAUUUGUCAUUUUCUCAAGGCACCAAAUUCCAUCUUACCAUGACUAGGACAGGAUUGGACCAGUACAGGAUGCUAUAGUAACACAAUUGGACUCUUCUGUUAACCAAGAGGUCAUCGGUCAAGAACAUCACCAUCACUUAGAUGAGCCAGUAGGUGGUAUGUAUCCAACUUUAGUUGGCGGCUAGUAGCCAAGUCUCCUAGUCAGCAACAUCACGUUCAUGUAGAGGCACUAGUUGGCAUGUAAUGUCCAUUCUUUGGAGUUCUAUUUUUAACUCUGGCAGCCACUCACUUAUUCAGCCAUUCAUCUGCACGUCUGUGCUUCUUUGUACAAGUCUGCCAUGGCGAUGCCCACUACCCUCAAGGUCUUAACUAUCUUGUAUGUGCUUGUACUUCUUGUUGCAUAUCAGGUUGAAGGGCGAAAUCAUCGGCCUGAUUGUCCUACUUUCUCAUGCGGCCCACUUGGAUACGUAUCAUCCCCAUUUCGUCAGGCAAGUGAUCCACCUGGGUGUGGUCAUCAAUCGUACGAGCUAGUUUGCAGUGAUACUAAGGCUACAAUUCACAUCGACAAUGCAACAUACUAUGUGUCUGGGAUCAACUACAGUGAUUCUACCUUCUGGAUCGUCGAUGCCGACAUAGAUUUAUACAACAGCUGCCCUCUACCGCGGUGGAAUUAUGAUCAGCAUCCAGCUGCUGGUUUCACGCUGAGAAACCGGCAACACGACACUCAUCACGCCAUCAAAGUUGAAUUGGCACCUGCAGCAUAUAAUCAGGCUAUAUUUGUUAAUUGUUCUCGGGAAGUGAAGGACAACGGUAUGUACAGGCCUGUUGCUUGCUUGAGCACCAGCCAUUCUUUUGUUUAUGUGUUAAUAACUGGUGGCCUAGGGAGAGGGAGUACUAUGGCGAACCUUGAGCCUUGUUGCGGUUAUUUGGCCAUGACUCCAUUAGGUGGCCAGGAAAUUGGCAUGAAGGGCACUGCACCGCUUGAGAAUGCAAGCUAUGCAGAUGUCGUAAAAUUCAUGACACACGGCUUCCGCGUUAAAUUUCCUUUCAGACUUCGCCAAUCUGGAGACUUCUUGGGAUGUCUGAUGGAUGAUUUGGCGCCGUGAGUUUGAGAUCUUGAUACCUCGUACUUGUAAGCUCUGCUUUUGUUUUUGCACAUGCACACCUGAUCAUUCUACAUUUUUCGUUUUUUUUUUUGCAGCACAUUCACUAAAGAUUGGAUUCUAACAAUUCUUUCGAUUGAUGUAAGUUUCAUGGGUUGCGCAGCUAAAGCAGUUCCAGAACCAUUUGAUAUUUGCUUGUAUAUAAUUAUGGCGUCAUUAGCAUAUGCCAGGCUUAUUGCUGGUACGUGAGAAUUACAUAUUCCAGUAUGGUUUACUGCCUGUGUCUAUAAAUCAGAUCACAAAUAAACCUGUUUUGUUUUAUGCAGUGUUCUGGAGGUUUGUAUUGGUGCCCCUGGUCGUAUUAAUCUUCCUUGCCCACAAGUAUUGGAAAACAAGGAUCACGAUGGAUGCUGUUGAGAAGUUCCUCCAGAUGCAGCAAAUGAUCGGCCCGUCAAGGUACGCCUAUACAGACAUCACCGCAGUCACCAGCCAUUUCAUAGAUAAGCUGGGUCAGGGAGGCUAUGGCUCCGUGUACAAGGGUGUGCUGCUCCCAGGCAAUGUCCAUGUCGGGGUCAAGAUGCUAGAGGGUAACUCCAACUGCAAUGGAGAAGAUUUCAUUAGUGAGGUUUCAACCAUUGGCAGGAUCCACCAUGUCAAUGUGGUGCGUUUAGUUGGCUUCUGCUCGGAGGAAAUGAGAAGGGCGCUUGUCUACGAGUACAUGCCUCGAGGUUCUCUGGACAAAUACAUCUUCUCGGCUGAGAAGACUUUCUCCUGGGACAAGCUCAACGAGAUCGCUUUGGGCAUUGCGAGGGGUAUCGACUACCUGCACCAGGGUUGCGAGAUGCAGAUUCUCCACUUUGACAUCAAGCCGCACAACAUCUUGCUAGACAGCAAUUUCAUCCCUAAAGUUGCUGAUUUCGGUCUCGCUAAACUAUACCCAAGGGACAAAAGUUUUGUGCCAUCGAGAGCCCUACGGGGAACAAUUGGGUACAUAGCUCCUGAGAUGAUAUCUCGUAGCUUUGGUGUCAUAUCGAGCAAGUCUGAUGUUUAUAGCUUUGGGAUGCUCCUGCUAGAGAUGGCCGGAGGAAGAAGGAAUGCUGAUCCAAAUGCGGCAAACACGAGCCAAGCGUACUAUCCGUCGUGGGUGUAUGACAAACUAACUGCUCCAGUGGUGGAUGCGAUAUGUCCAGUUGCUAGCAUGCAUGAAUUAGAGAGGAAGCUGUGCAUCGUUGGAUUAUGGUGCAUUCAGAUGAAGUCACAUGACAGGCCAACGAUGAGCGAGGUCAUAGACAUGUUGGAAGGUGGCUUUGAUGGCCUGCAGAUGCCUUCCAGGCCAUUCUUCUGCGACGACGAUCACACCGCUGUCCCGGAUUCUUACCCUUUGUUGUCCGAGCUGACAGAGAUCUCAGAGGAGGAUAAUGAGUAGCAUAUGUGUGUGUGUGUGUGUGAUUUAAUGUCUCAAGUCUUACGAAAUAACCUACUAUUAUGUUUUCCCAGACAUGUGAAGUUUUAUGUGGAAAGAUGUAAUAAUAUUUAGCAGUUAGAGGAUGUAGAUCUCCAACUGUUAAUUGAAACGUAUUUAUCUUCUUGAAAGACACACACAAA